rnacentral:lncRNA from 1 species
CUUGUCUUCCUUGUUGUUGAGAUCAUCUUUCUCCCAAAUAAAGACCACAUAAUAGUAUGGUCUCAUAGAGAAAAUACCAGAGACUGCAUCCCAUAGAGAAAACAACAUAGACUGCAGUCCACUGGACAAAAUAGCUCAUUCAUGCUAAUGUAUACAAAAGAACAAGUCGAGUCACAUAAAAAGUAGAUGAACAAAUACCAACAAGCAAAUAAGAAUUACAAAGUACUAAUAAAUACUCAUCGCACAUGCAUGGAACUAUAGAAAUAAAAUUAAUACAGGGAAUACGACACCACUUAUUCUAGAAAUAACACAUUGCGGCUCCAUAAGGGCUCUCCUUCAUCAACUGUUAUAUAUCAGUAUCCCGUCAAUUGUGAGCUACCGGUGGUUUGCACUUCGGAGGCGGCUUCGGUUUUGGUUCAGGUUUAGGCUUGGGCUCCAUCUUUGGUUCGGGUUUUGGCAUCGGCUUGGGCUUAGGCUCUGGCUUUGAUUUUGAGCAGGGCUCGGGCUUGGGCUUUGGCUUUGGUUUUGGCAUUGUCUUGGGCUUAGGUUCGGGUUCGGGCUUGCGUCCCGGCUUUGGUUUGGGUUUGGGCAUCGGUUCAGGUUUGCAGGGCUCCGACUCUGAGUGUGGCAUAGGUUUUGGCAUUGGCUCUGGUUUGGGUUCUGGCUUUGGCUUUGGCUCUGCAAACUUCUCGACGACAGCAAGGUCUCGUCCAGCGGUAGCUGAUUGCUGGAAAGCGGAGGCUGCAACUAUCCCGAUGAAGAUCACGACGAGGAGGAAGUGAUGCCUCGUCAUUGCUACCUAUUUCUUGUGCUUGCAGCUAGUGUUGCACCUGGUGUGAUUUCUAUGUGUGCACCUGUGUGUUGUGUGGAGAACUGGAGAUACAUAUCAUGCGGUUUUAUAGGGUGGGCGAAACAAAGCAGAUCUGGAGCCUGCAUCAAUUAACAUUGCAACUAGAUAGCUGGAGUGACAAGUAUUGAGUAACAUCGGAAUGAAGUUAUAUUGGUUAAUUACGAAUGAAGCAACCAAUGUACGUACCUACAAGGUGUUAAUAAGCACAGCUGGACUUUAAUUGCCUCGAUGCGAUGAUAGCAGAAGGGUAACAAUAUUUUAACUCUGUUAGUUGCCUCCCGCAAGCAGAAAAUUAUGUUAGUUGCACUGUCCCAUGCUCACACGUCUAUGUGAUCACCCAUCAUCUAGAAAUGACAAGCCACCGUGUAUACACGUUAGUGCAAUACAAAGUAAAAGGCAAUCGCUACCGUUCAAUUCACAAUGGAAAAGAAAGCCCGGUCGAUUGCUAAGAUGUAUAGAUGUGAUAGUUAUUUACUAUUUUGUGACGUGAUAGCCAUUUACUAUUUUGUUUGCAGCAAAGGCUGCAUGCAUUGGCUCACUAUGACUGUGAAGAUAUGGGAAUAUGAGACAAGCCUUGUAUUAUUUUGUCCAGAAGAAAUUUUGAACCACGCCUUCUAAACCCGGAUGGAGGGAGUAGGAAAGAGGCCUUUUGGACCUCAGAUUCCAUGGAUCCUUUUUUUCAAAAAAAAAUCAAAAAAUAUUGUUUGAAGUUUCAAAAAAAUGUUACAAAACAAACUGUGGAUUCUAUUUUUGCAGCUCACGUGUAAAAUGGUUUCAUUAUGAAAGUCUAUACACAUUUGAAGGUACAUGUGGAUUUUAUUUUUAAAUUUUCUGAAACUUGAAAACAUGAUUUUUGAAGUUUUCAUAAAAGGUCUCCAUGGAGCGCGAACUCCAGAACAAGCCAGGUUGCCGACUUUAACACCAUGAUAUAUUUAGAUAGGCUAAGAAUUAUNNNNNNNNNNNNNNNNNNNNNNNNNNNNNNNNNNNNNNNNNNNNNNNNNNNNNNNNNNNNNNNNNNNNNNNNNNNNNNNNNNNNNNNNNNNNNNNNNNNNUGUUCAUUGGACCACACACAUCAGUAUGCAUUAUUUCCAAUAAGUCGGUGGCUCCCUCCAUUAUUCCUGAGAAUGGAGUCUUAGUCAUCUUGCCCAUGAGGCACGGUUCGCAUGUGUCAAAUGAUUCAAAGUCAAGAGACUCUAGCAGUCCAUCAGUAUGGAGCUUCUUCAUGCGCUUAACGCCGAUAUGACCAAGGCGGCAGUGCCACAAGUAUGUGGGACUAUCAUUAUCAACUUUGCAUCUUUUGGUACUCACACUAUGAAUACGUGUAACAUCACAAUCGAGAUUCAUUAAGAAUAAACCAUUCACCAGCGGAGCAUGACCAUAAAACAUAUCACUCAUAUAAAUAGAACAACCAUUAUUCUCUGACUUAAAUGAGUAGCCGUAUCGCAUUAAGCAAGACCCUCAUACAAUGUUCAUGCUUAAAGUUGGUACUAAAUAACAAUUAUUAAGGUUUAAAACUAAUCCCGACGGUAGAUGUAGAGGUAGCGUGCCGACGGCGAUCACAUCGACCUUUGAACCAUUCCGGACGCGCAUCGUCACCUCAUCCUUGGCCAGUCUCCGCUUAUUCCGCAGUUUCUGCUUUGAGUUGCAAAUGUGAGCAACAACACCGAUAUCAAAUACCCAGGUGCUACUACGAGCGCUGGUAAGGUACACAUCAAUAACAUGUAUAUCACAUAUACCUUUAAUGUUGCCGGCCUUCUUGUCCGCUAAGUAUUUGGGGCAGUUCCGCUUCCANNNNNNNNNNNNNNNNNNNNNNNNNNNNNNNNNNNNNNNNNNNNNNNNNNNNNNNNNNNNNNNNNNNNNNNNNNNNNNNNNNNNNNNNNNNNNNNNNNNNGGGAGACGAGACGAGGUAGGGUUUGCUUGCACGGCCGGCGGCGACUGCAGAGAGACGAGACGAGGUAGGGUUUGCUUGCACGGCCGGCGGCGACUGCGGCGAGGAGAGACGAGGUAGGGUUUGCUUGCCCGCACGGAGAUUAAUUGGGAGAGAUAUGGACAGACCGGGAUCAAGUCGGUCUCUCGUUUUUUGUUUUUUUUUNNNNNNNNNNNNNNNNNNNNNNNNNNNNNNNNNNNNNNNNNNNNNNNNNNNNNNNNNNNNNNNNNNNNNNNNNNNNNGCCGUAGUAAACCGAGUCGGUCGUCCUCUUUUGCAAACCUUCUACAUCAGCUUGUGUAAAUAUGAAAGGAUUAAUAAAGGAGGUAAAUUCUCGGCUGUUUUCAGAAGAGUUUAGGGUUAAAACUUGAACCAAAUCAGACACAAGCUAGUUUAGGAGGGGGGGGGGGGGGNNNNNNNNNNNNNNNNNNNNNNNNNNNNNNNNNNNNNNNNNNNNNNNNNNNNNNNNNNNNNNNNNNNNNNNNNNNNNNNNNNNNNNNNNNNNNNNNNNNNNNNNNNNNNNNNNNNNNNNNNNNNNNNNNNNNNNGGAAAGACCCGUCACCUCGCAAACCGUCGGAUAUCAAAGAUUGAGUGGCCGAGCAUCUUGCUAGGUUUCGUUGCAUAAAUUUUCUAUAAUACGGGUCAUGUUGCAUAAAUUUUUACAACAUAGGUCAAGUUGUAGAAUCGUUUUUACAAUAAAAAUCUUGCUGCAAUUUUUCCCUUGUUGCAUAAAUUUUCAUGACAAAAGUCUUAUUAUAGAAAAAAAUUGUAUAAUUUUUUCACAGCAAAGGUCUUGUUGCAGAAUUAUUCUGCAAUGAAGAUCUUGUGACAAAAAUUUAUAGUCUUUUUAUAAUCGAUGUACGUACGAGUCGAGGCCCUGCAACUUUUCUUAUAUAAAAUGGAUAUGUUUCUGGGAAAGGAAAGGUGGAGAACGGAUGAGGCCACAUAGACACGUGGUAGAUGAUGGAUGCGGUUGACGCCCAGGAGCAAUCCGUCGAUGGAUGCUAAUCAUUUUACAUUGGACUUCCCUCCCUAUCAAAAUAUAUAAGACCUUUUUAGUCUAAAAUUAAACUAAAAAGAGUCUUAUAUUUUAGAGUGAUUGACGAAAAAACUAUCACUUUAGGGGCUGUCAUCCCAAAGAGCUAUCAUUUUCAAAAAAAGUGAUUGAAAACUACUAAAAAAUUCAUAAUUUUGUUAUUAAAAACUACCAGUUUCGAAUAAUGGCCGGUUUAGACGAUUUAAACACACUUAUGACGGAUGGGCCCGUUUGUCAGUGAUGACGUGCUGAAAAAGUUAACUUUGUUAUUUCAGACCGUUAUGACUGGUGGACCCCACAUGUCAGUAUUAGUCAUCUUCUUCCUCGUCCCCUCUCUUGCUUUGGCAUUUUUUGAGGUGAACAACAGGAGCUCUGCCUUUGGAUUAAAGAAAAAAGAAAUCACGAGUCAUACAAGAACGCGGGAGAAAACCUGGAUAGUCCAAGUUAGAUCCCCAAGCAGCAAACCAAGAGAAAAAAGGAAAAAACAUAUUACAGGAGCACAACUAUAACACUACAUACCGAAAAAGGCUUUCGUCCCGCUUUAUAUGUAAAACAAAUCACCAGAGCACAGUAUCCAACAAAUGUUCACCGAACACACAGACACAGACAUACACACACACACACACACACACAAACGGAGUGGCACAAGAUAGUAUCGCAGGGUUCUGCUGAGGGAACAACUCAACAAGCCCUAAAGGAAGAACAAACAAAAACAACAACAAGCGGGCCUCAACAAGGCUAAUCCGGCUCGGGGGGGGGGGGGGGGGGNNNNNNNNNNNNNNNNNNNNNNNNNNNNNNNNNNNNNNNNNNNNNNNNNNNNNNNNNNNNNNNNNNNNNNNNNNNNNNNNNNNNNNNNNNNNNNNNNNNNNNNNNNNNNNNNNNNNNNNNNNNNNNNNNNNNCAUCGAGCGUAGGUCGGCGAUGAUGGAGUUGAUGGUGGCUCGUUCCCGGGAGUGGCUAAGUGACCGCCAAAGCUGCAGGUAACGACACAUUUUAAACACCGCAUCAGUGGCACGUCGAAGAAGAACACGUUGAAGCACAAGUUUAUUGCGAACGGUGUCCAGAGAGUCCAUGCGAGCACCCCCAAUGAUCAAUGCACAUUCUAGGCAAGCAACCCUAUCGAUUCUACAACAAUCAUAGCCAUGAACACGCACCAGCAAUCCUAAAAAUCUUAGCAAUUAUACACCGAUCAUAGUCAUAACGGCUUGGCUCAAAUCGAACCGAAUCGACGCAACCGCAACAAAAAACCCUAACCGCCCCGUCAUUGGCGUUCGCAACAUUCACUUGAAGCACUCCUAGAUGGCCAUGAGAUUUGGGCAACGAAGCACAGGGAGGCGGGGCUUGCAGCAUCCCGUGGUCGCCUUGCAGCAGCACGGCCCGGAUAUGUAGAGCGAGCUCAGCCGGCGACGUCCGUCGCAAUGGGAGAGGGUGCCAGGAAAGACGAAGGAGCGGAGAUUUUCAAGAUGAGGGGACGAGACUGGAUCGUGGGAGAGGCGGAGGUCGAUGGGUGGGCCAAGGGGCAUGUGUCGGUCGAUGGAGGCGGGUGUAGGUUGACCGUAAACAGUCGGUCGAUUUUAGUCAUUUCCCCCUCUUUUUUUUUUUUUUUUUUGCCUAGUGGUAUGCUAGCUUUUUGUAUUUUUGAGAAUAUAAUGCAAGUUUGGGUUUGGACGGCCAUAAGAUCUUGUGUCUAUUUGCAACUGUCAAACCAUAAUUCCCUUUUUUUAAUACUAACUCGGCUAAGCAAGUUGGUAAGUAGAUACGCACACGCCACAAAUGAAGCGGGUUUCUUAAACUCGACGGAAGAGAAGGCACGCGCCGCCGCGGGGUGGAGACGAUGGCCCCCGCCGCCGCGGCGCCGGCGCCGGCCGCCACCGCCUGCUCCUCGUCGGCGAGCUCCGCGCGCCCGCCCUCCACCGCCUCCUCCUCCCAGUCGCCGCCCAGGCGCACGGUCCCGGCGCUCCUCCUCUUCAUCUCCCUCGCCGCUCUCCUCAUCCUCUCCUCCGGCGAGGCCCACGACCCCGACGCCGACUCCGGGCGCCCCCUCAAAGGUUCGCGCGCCCCGCCCCGCCCCGCGACCGCUCUCUGUGCUCGGAUUUGGGUCCGUGCUGCGCGCGCGCGUGGGGAUCGGUUCCGGCCUCCCGCUAGGGUUUAGGGUUUUUCCGCGGUCCUGCCUGCCUUCGAGUUCGGGAUGCGUCCCCUCCCCGUGACUGUUGGUUGGGGCUUCGUUUCCGAAUAGGAUUUUUUUAGGUCGAUUUUCUCUUCGCUUGCAGUAUUGCGUCACCUUCUUUUUGGUCAAAUAUGUUCAGCAAUUUGCCCUCAGAACUCGUGAUCUGGGGUCAACUACUGGGGGGGUCGAGUGUUCAUUUCUUCUUGUCGCAGUAUCACACACACGCCUGUACCAAUGUUGGACUAACUAUUUAUUCAUUACUGCAGACGUUAGCUUGGAAUAUCCGGAGGUGACUUUUGCUCCCUCAUCCAUGGGUGGAAUUUUCUGUGAGCGAAUCCGCAUAUCUAAAAUACCAAGGUGGCAGUUUCAAAGCUAUGCAAAUCAAAUACAUAUAAGAAUGAAUGUCUCGCAUUCAUUGCCAGAAAAGUUCCAUUGGAAAAUACAGAUUUGCUUUCAUGGGUAAGUCUUGCAUUGUCUGAAGAAAAAGAAUGAAUAUAUGCAUCUUUGCUAUGCAGCAAAUUGAAGCGGUUUUCAUUUCCAGGAAUGUUUCUACCGGUCUGUGCCAAUGUGAGAUGGGUGAAUGGCAAGCUCUGCAAGGUGGCACGUGGAAUGCUGUCAAGUCUCCGUAUAACAGCAGAUAUGUUGAUGUGAAACUUACUGAUAAGAAAUCUGCUGUCUUCAGCCUUUCCAUUCAAGAAGGUAAAGAUUUCUUUCCCUGAAACCCUUCUGUUUCUACCAGUCAUACAUAUUUAAGAGCAUAUGUAUCUGCCCUUUUCUCUGAAAUACUAAUUCAUCCUCGUUCCGUGUAAUCAAAAUUUGCAGAGCUUCAGAAGUGGCGUUUAGCUUGCCUUGGUAUUGGAUUUGUUCUGCUAUUCCUGUCACCCAUCGUUAGUAAAUGGGCACCAUUUUACUAUAGCAGCUCUAUGGCUCUUGGAAUCCUACUUGUGGUGCUGAUUGUCCUUUUCCAGGUACUGUUUUAGUCAAAUACUUGUAUAUGAUUCUCUUGAUAAAGAUUUCAUUAUUAAAAGAAGUGAAAUGAAAUUAAUGCAUUAUGUUAGGAUGACCUAUUUUUCAAGGCUUUCUUGAAAGUUUUUCUAUUAAUCUAGUUGAUUGAUGUUCCAUAUUCUUAAGUACAUGUAAGCUGCAUGGAUGCAGGUUAAAUAGGCUUUGUUAUUAUGCUAGUUUCAAGUAGAGUACGCCAUGAAUCAAGUUUAAAGCUUGGCACCAUGAGGAUUCUUGCAGUUAUAUGCAAAGUGUUAAUGCUGACAUUUUUUAGCAAACCUAGAAACUUGAGUACACUACAUUAAGUAAGAUACUUAUGCCCUGUAAACUUGAUUUCGAUGGAGAUUCAACAUAGCACUAUAGUAAUUCAGUAGUCCCUCGAUCAACCAUGCCGUAGUAGUAUCUGAAGUUCUCUUGUACAAAUACUUGAAAGUCAGGUCCAUCUUGGUGAUUUAGACAUGAACAGCAAGCUUUUUAAGAUAAUACCUUAACGGUGUCUCUUAUUUUAUUGAACUUUGUAGCUCCUUGUAGCAUCAGGUUGUGUACAGAUGGACUAGCAUCUUGUGAGUCUUCAGUGUUUGAACCAUGUGAAGUUUUUUAGUGUAUCAGUGGGAGGGUCUGAUUGAUCAACCAACAACGAAGUUUGGUGUUUACUUUAGUACAUUUAAUUAAUACGGAAUAUUUUCUUGUAACUGGUACUGAUUUUGCUGGUUGGGGAAUCGUGAGCAUUUCUGACGAGGGAGUUAAUUUUUUAUUAUGUUCCUGUUUGUUUGUUUGUUCUCUACUCUUGUAGAUAACUAGUUACUGAUUUAAUUUGAUGUUACAGUAAUCAAAACUGUACACCCCCAAGUUCCAUAAUCUUUGCUCAGUGCACAUGAUGCCAAGUUAUCAGUGUGGCCCUGGCUACAAUUUAUGAUAAAGAACAGUCAUUCUCAAUCAUGUUUCUAUUUAUUUGCUGAUGGAUAAUUGGGUCCCUUAAUGUUUUGACCUUGUUCUUGUUAUAGGGGAUGAAACUGCUACCAAUGGGCAAGAAAGGUUUAUUUUACCUUACAAUUUACGGAUCUGUUGUAAGUUUUCUAUAUCGUCAGCAUUCUGCUAUAACAUUUUAUUACACCAUAAAUAUGCCUAUCUGAAUAUAUUCUCUCUAAUUCUUGAUAUAUGUUCAUUUCUUUUCCAAUAUUUAGUUGGGUGUUGGCUCCUACGCUGCACACUACUUCUCCUCAGUGGUUGCUUCUAUUCUGGAAAACUUUGGCUUGAGUGAGGAGAUGCACAAUCCUGUAAGUAAUUCAUCCAUCCAAGUAUCAACUAUAGAAUUGGUGAUCGAAUAAUACUUCUUUUUACCCAGCAAACAGCAUGAGAGGCUCUUACGGUAUAUUAUAUUAAUAGAAAUAGAAAAGGAUAAUCAUGGUAUGAUAUGUAAAGGCCACAUGGGCCAGAAGCCACAUGUUACAUCAAGAAUUAAUUAUCCCAAUGCCAUCACAGAAAUGCAUAAUUAUGAAAGCACCGUUGAGUGUGAGGAAGACAUUGUAUUGUCCUUGUCCAUAUUUGUGAUGGACUGACCUAGUUCCUAGGAUACGAUUUAGCCUAGUUUUUGUUCGCCCUUUUGCAUGGUACUAUAUCAUUUGCUAGCAAUCUUCUGACUUCUCAAUUAUUUUUCUUGUCAGAAAUGGUUCACAUUAUUUUGUCUUGUCUAGUAAUAAUACUCAUUUCCACUACUUUGGGUAAUCUUUAAGCUCUUCAAAUAACACAAUGUAUUGAAAUGAAUUAUAGGUGUCAAUCUUCCUGCUGGUAGCAGUUGUCUUGACUGGAGCUGGUUUUGGCUAUUGGAUGGUGAGGAGAUAUAUCAUUUCAAAAGAUGGCUGUGUUGAUGCCGGGAUAGCACAGUUUGUCAAGUGGGCUAUGCGUGUUGUUGGAAUGUUCUUUGUUAUGCAGGUGGUCUUCUUUUCAAAUGCUAAGUAUUCUUCUCAUGCAUCUAUGAGGACUCUGAAUCUCAGUCAGUGCCUACAUCAGAUUUUAUUCUCUUUGAAAUUCAUGUUUGACAUUAUCUUGUAGAGCACACUCGACCCUAUUCUAGCAUUCGCUGCUCUAGCUGCUACCUCGUGGGUUUGCUCUGUAUUGACAACAAAGAAAGUUCACAAGCCAACGGCACCGUGAGUGUCCCUUGAGUUAAUCACUGUUGUGAAUUUGCUGUUGCUAUUGAAGCCCUGAAUAUGCUGAUUCUGCUGCAGGAAGCGAAAACAAUCAAAUGUUUCUUCUCAUCCAAGGUUUACUCAAGUAUCACCGAACACUCGCCAGGUCCAGUUCUUAAGUCCAUCAUCAAGGGCGGGUACUGGAAGAGCCACAACAACACAGUAUGGUUGGAACUAUUUAGCCAAUGGAGGUAUAGUAACCACUAUCAUUGUCUGCAUACUACUGUGAGUCCAGUGUAACUGCCACAACUCGUAAGUCGUAAGUAACCUCAGCAUAUUUAAGGAUGCAAAUUGGUGGAUGCUCCCAUCGCAAAUAUAAAAUAAAAUUGGUGGAUGCUCGGGUGCCCUCUGCCCCCAGCUAGUUCAAUCAAAUGAAGCAUUUUAUUUUUUUGAAAAUACGUGUUUUGGGAAUUUUUACUUCAUUUGAUUGAACUAGUUAGUGUCGGAGGGUACCCAUUUGCAUCCCUGGGCCACAUAUUCUUGUGUUGCUCUCUGCUUGUCUUUGGUAAUUGGUACUAGGAACUAGUAAUGAUGUUUUAGGCAUAUUUAACUCCAGAAAACCUAUAAAACCCUCAACUCUGGCGCAUUGAAGCAUUUGACAUAAUAACUAGCCAACUGUUGUUGUUGUCUUUGCAGGUCUGGCCUCCUCAGCACUGGUAAAGAGGCUAGCACCCAAUCAAGACGAAGACUACUACUCCACCUUCCACAACAUCGAACCACGGAAGUACUCAAAGAGAGAAUGGGAGGAGUUCACCGAGGAAUCGACCAGAAACGCACUGAUGGAGCACACAGCCACCCCAGAGUUUGCCCAAUGGGCUGCUGACAACGCUCACCGGCUGCGGGUGGAGCGGGACGACUCGUCCGAGGACGAGUCGAUUGAGACCUCCUCAGGCUCUUCCGAAGAGGCCGAGAAAGGCGGAAAAGCUUCUAGUCUGUUGGGCAGGUUCAUGUGAUAUCGUCACCCGACUAAAGCUGCUUUUGCGGACGAUGUGUAUAAGGUAGGAUUGGGAACUUGGUAGCAGUAGCUAGUAGGAGGUGGAAGUUCAUCGUCUCCACGCGGUUCGCCAUUGCGGCAGAAUGCUUGGUGACUGUAGGCUGUUAGCUGGUUGGUUAACCACCGUCAUCCAUCUCAAUUCGACAACUGAUGUUAGGUUUAGCCGGCAGUCUGCCAUCCAUGGAUCUUUAAGUUUUAGCCGAUGCAUCAGGGGACAUGGGCCGGUGCCAUUCGAUGGAUUAGGGACCUUCGAUCCUGUCGGGAUCUUGCCAUUGUCUUGUUGAACAUCUCAUGUUUCAUUCUCAGGUGUGAGGGUAGCAUUUCAAGGAUCUUUAUCUGUUGUUAGCCAGGCAUGUAAACCAGAUUGUUUGGGCAUGUAGAUCAACUGGAGUUGGUUGCUGUAAACCGUUCGCUGGACCCACACACACACAAAAAAAACCGUUUUCUGGAAUUCAAGCUCGAGGCAUCCUGCAGAGAGGCGCACACGCUUUACCACUUGGGCUGAAGCAGUUUUUGUGGAAACAUGUACUGUGGAAAUUCUGAACAAUUUUGAAAUUCUUAAACAAAAAUUGAAAUUAUGAAUAUUUUUUUGAGAAUUUAAGCAAAAUUUUAAAUUAUGAACAUCUUUUAGAUUAUUUUUUUGGAAUUCCAAACAUUGUUUGAGAAUUUAAACGAAAUUCGAAUUUCUGAAUAUUUUUUGUGAAUUUAAAUACAUUUUAGAAUUCAAAACAUUUUUUAAGAAUUUAAACAAAAUUCUGAAUAUUUUUUGUGAAUUUAAAUACAUUUUGGAAUUCCAAACAUUUUAUUAGAUUUGCUUUGAAAGUUUGAACAUUUUCUGAGAAUUGAAAGAAAUUUUGAAAAUGUAAACAUUUUCUGAGGUUCGGGGCGAGCAUGGCUGGCCCAUGCACCCUAUCUGGGCAUGCUCUAUCCACUGGGAGGCCCUUUUGCAUGAGAUGUGCAUAGUCGAGGUGAAUCCAUACACCUUGCCAAACAAUAUAAAGCAGGUUCUGCGGAAAAAAAUUAAGCUCAUGUAUCCUCCAUGCAUCCUACCGAGCACACACGAAGUGUUCGCUCGAAGCUGCUCCCUUGACGAACGAAAUCAUUUGAUCGGGUCGGCAGAUGUUAGAGUCCUUUCAAAUUUGUAUUACUUACAAAAGGUAGCAAUGUUCUACUAUUCUCGUUCUUUACUUGUGUUUUUCGUCCUUGGCAAAAAAUAAAGAAAACAAUUCUCCAAAACAUGAUUUUCUUGUGCAGUGAAACAACUCAACAUAAAAAAUCAUAAAUUUAUUUUUCAGAUUCACAGGGGGACAUUGUUUUAAUCAUACCAUCUGGAAAUUUAUAAUUUGCAAAGCAAUGACAGUUUUAUAAAUUAGCAUGACCUUUUCUAUAUUUUUCAUAUCAUGGCAAUUAUACAUUCAUGUUUCCUCUGUUUUUCAUGAGAAAAAAAUGUUUUCUUCUCAUGGCAAUAAUUCAUUUUGUGCUUUCUUGUUUUUUUUAUAAGACAAUGUGUUUUUUGAUCACUGCAUUUGCAAAAACAGUAAACUCGGCCUCUGUAUCAAUAGGGUUCGCCUUGACCCACCCGCGACGAACAAUCGAGGGAGGCGAGACGUUCGCCGGGAGCUGCUCCCCCGGCGAACGAAAUCGUUCGAUCGGCCCUCUCCUCCGGCGACCGGUCGCCAGAUAAUAGAGUGCUUUUUUUCCCUAACAAUCCUAAAAAAAAGAUAUUAGAGUGUUUUAGAAAUUUUGUAGGCACUCCUACUCAUAAAAGGAAAUAAUGUACUACUCCUAUUACUAGUAUUGUACUAAUCCUGUAAUUGUAUUCCAUAAAAACAGAAUCCACGAGUAGUAUUGAGGAGGACGGCGGCGACUGAAUCUCAAUCCUUCUUUGACUCGCGAUAUUCCUCCUCCUCCUCCUCCUCACGAAACCAACACUUGCGUCGCUUUCUCGCCGCCCAAUCCCCGCGUAAACCGCCGGAACCCGAUGCCCUUAUCCGCCCUCUGAUCGAGACUCCUUGGCUCUCGGCGUCGGCAAUCCCACCCCCGAUGGCAUUGCAGAUUGGCGGCGGCGGCGGCGGGUUGCGGGGCCUGAUGCGGCGGAAGCCGGUCGACUCCGACAGGGCCCGCGCCGAGGGGCAGCAGCAGCAGCUCGCCAAGGAGCUCAACGUCCUCGAGCUGGUCGCGAUCGGUGCGGCGACGUCCUUCCCUUCCCUUCCCUCCGCCUUUUUCUGCCCUCUUCUUUUCUGCCCGUAGCGUAUAUCUGUAAUGGAAAAAAGCGAGCCCCUUUUUUUGUGGUUUGGGGACUGCAGGUUUCCUGGUGGAAACGCUCCUGUUUGUACUAAACCCACGGGUCUUGGAUCACCGGAGCCGCUAGAUUAAUUUGGAGGAUUUGCUUUAUUUUUCCAGAUUAUUCUGCUUAUAUGCGUUUCAAUACUUACUUUUGAGAGUUUAUUAUCGGGGUAAAUUGUUUCUACUUAGGACAGACCUUUUCUAAAUUCCUUUGCCAUGGUACUCUGUUCUCCUCUAUGUAAACAAAUUACAGUGAAUAAAAUAAAUCAGCUUUUACAUUAGUAUCUUAAAAAACUGGAUGCUUAUAUUAGCACUUCUAUUUUUGGUACUACGUAGUUGUUUUGUUUCAACCUGUUAACUGGUGCUGAAAUCAGUUCAAAUUCAGAAACAAAAGGGAGGUCCUUGUUGGUUUGGCCACUGGAAGGUGGUCAUCAUCAUACUGCAACCUUGAUUUUGUCGUCAUCUUGUGCAGUAUAUAUACUCAUUAGCUUAAAUCAUAGUUCCGCUCGUGCUGCGUGCUUGUAUGCUGCCUCCUUGCUUAAGCACAAUUGUGGUUGCACAACUAUUCUUAUAAUCUGCUGCAGAAAAGUAUAAUAAAAUAAAACAGCCAUGGAGUAUAAACAUUUUUGUUAGACAAAUAUCUGAUAGACAAAUGGCAUUGGCAAAUAUUUGAGAUUCUAGAUUUAAUGAAGUAUUUUUCCCUACUACAUGCAUUUCUUGUGUGAAUUUUUUAUAUAUAUUGAUUGAAGAUUGUUGAUGAACCCUUGCGUUAUUUACCAGGGGUUGGUUCGACAAUUGGAGCUGGAGUAUAUGUUCUUGUCGGAACAGUUGCCAGGGAGCAUGCUGGUCCAGCAUUGGCAGUUUCGUUCCUGAUAGCUGGAAUAGCUGCUGCACUUUCAGCAUUCUGUUAUGCCGAGCUUGCUAGCCGUUGCCCCUCUGCUGGAAGCGCCUAUCACUAUUCAUAUAUCUGCAUUGGCGAAGGGUAAAAAUUACUGGCCCCAUGGCAUAGAUUGCAUUCUAUACCAUGGUGAAUUCUGUUAUCAUGUUACAUUUAAUAAGAUCUUAUAAGGCCAGCAUGAUCUAACAUGGUUCACACGUUGUAUUUAUCUAGCGUUGCCUGGCUGAUUGGCUGGUCUUUAGUGCUGGAAUAUACUCUUGGCGGAUCUGCUGUUGCCCGUGGCAUAUCCCCCAAUUUAGUGAGUGUCAUCUCUCUUUCUUAGAGCUUUGUCCUGUGCAAGUUUGGUCAAUGCUUCAACUACCACUCUGCUAUAUUCCUUAUUCUGUGAACUUACAUUUCUCUUUUCAGGCCUUGUUUUUUGGAGGACCAGAUAGCUUGCCAUGGAUUUUAGCACGGCAUCAACUUCCAUGGUUUGACAUUAUUGUUGAUCCCUGUGCUGCUGCUCUUGUUCUUGCUGUCACUGCUUUAUUAUGCCUAGGGAUAAAAGAGGUUGGUAUUGCUCAGGUUAUGAGAUUGCUCGUUUCCCCAAAAUAUAGGACCGUCAAUGACUGUUGUAUUUGAAUUUCUUGCAGAGCUCGUUUGUACAAGGGAUUGUGACCAUUCUGAAUGCCUGUGUGAUGCUAUUUGUGAUAAUAGCAGGUUGUUAUAUUGGUUUCCAGAUUGGAUGGGAUGGCUAUAAGGUCACUGACGGGUAUGUACCCUAAAAGCUCGCACAUACUGCAGAGAGGUUGCUAGUGGAAAAAUUUCACGGAGCUAUACUUUUCAGGUAUUUUCCGUACGGAGUAAAUGGAGUGCUUGCUGGAUCAGCAACUGUUUUCUUUGCAUACAUCGGCUUUGACACAGUAGCCAGUACUGCUGAGGAGGUAAGGAGAAGGUCCUACUUAUUGACUUUGUCCACCUCCGCUGAGGAGAUAUUUGACUUUUGUUGUUUUUACUUCUACAGGUGAAGAACCCACAACGAGAUCUACCUCUGGGAAUAGGAGCAGCAUUGUCUAUUUGCUGUUUCUUGUACAUGAUGGUCGCUGUUGUUAUUGUUGGGAUUGUACCGUAUUUUGCUAUGGACCCAGAUACACCUAUUUCAUCCGCCUUUGCAAAACAUGGAAUGCAGUGGGCAAUGUAAGGACUCAAUUCCCUUUUUUUCUAUGCUGUUGGCUAUAAUGGUCAUCUAGCGUGUUUCUGACUGAAUUAUUCACUAUUUUAGGUAUGUUGUCACGAGUGGUGCUGUUCUUGCACUGUGUUCAACCUUGAUGGGCUCACUUCUUCCACAGGUAUACAAACACAUCACUUGGUGUGUGACUCAAACUAAUGAUAAUUAGCAGUCUUCUACCCUACAACAUUUAGUCUAUAUGGAAUUGCCGUACUUGGGGCAGCUACUAUUCCGCAGUACGCAAGCAAACAUAGCCUUGUAGCUAGCUGAAGCUGAGUGACUUUCAAAAUAGUUGCUAAAAUACUUGAGUUUUUCAUCCUCGCAGCCUAGAAUACUGAUGGCCAUGGCAAGAGAUGGACUGUUACCAUCUUUCUUCUCCGACGUGAACAAGCAGACACAAGUACCUGUCAAGGGCACAGUUGUGGCUGGUAUCUGUGCUGCUGCUCUAGCGUUUUUCAUGGAUGUUUCUCAGUUGGCAGGAAUGGUAAGAAAACAUCAAGCCGUUGUCAUUUGCAUAUUUUGAUCUGAUGGUCUUGUACAAAUAAAAAUAACAGUGCUGCAUAGAUUUAAGUAACAUGAAGAGAAAUUUAAACGCUUGAUGGUUUCAGGUCAGUGUGGGCACACUCCUCGCGUUCACCAUAGUGGCAGUAUCGAUCUUGAUACUCAGAUAUGUUCCUCCAGAGGAGGUCCCUCUAUCAUCAUCUCAGCGAGAGUCAAUGGGUUUGAACCAAGAAUAUGAUGAAGAAAAGGGCAGGGAUCCACUUGGAGAUGAGAUCCGCGACACAUCUCAAAUAAAGGAUUUGAUUGUGACAGAACCAAUGAAGGACCCUCUUCUCGAGAAGAAGCAAUACAAAGGUAAUGUGCACAUAGUUGCUUUCAGAUUUAAACUAGUCGUUCCAUUUUCCCCACAAGCAGUGCGUUUUUUAUAACGAAAGCUAACCAAGAUAAAUGGCCUUUCCUUAUAAUAUAUUAGGCACGAUGGAUGAGAUGAAGCGUCGAAAGAUAGCCGCUUUCAGCAUAGGGUCUGUUUGUCUAGGAGUUCUGGUCCUCACGGCUUCAGCUUCUGCCACAUGGCUACCUUUGUAAGUAUGCAUAUAGUUGGGAAAGAGAUAUUCAUAUGCCUCAUUGUUUUUUUUAAAGAAAAUGGAAGCUUUAUUACCCCCAGUCUCUAUAAUUGUGCAGUUUAUUACAAGUCACCAGAAAGUCUUGACAAAUAUAUGUUUGUCUCUUAUUGUCAGCCUACCGCUUUGCAUUGGUUGCAUUGUUGGCGGUGUGCUACUCAUACCUGGUCUUGUUGUACUCUGCUGGAUUGACCAAGAUGAUGGCAGGCACUCUUUUGGUCAUUCUGGAGGUACCUUAAACUGCUUGUCUUUUUUUUUUUCCCAGUUGAAGAGGAUGCGAGUUUCUUUAGGCUGAAAUCUGUCUUUGCUUGCAGGAUUCAUGUGCCCCUUUGUUCCGUUUCUACCUGUUGUGUGCAUCCUCAUAAAUACAUAUCUGUUGAUAAACCUGGGGUAAGUGCACAUAAUUAGAUGCUUACUUCGUUUCCUUUUUUUUCUGUCAAGUAUCCUGAAUAAUCAGUUUCAAUGUGUUUUUCAGCGGUGAUGCGUGGCUGAGAGUCGGGAUAUGGCUGCUGAUAGGUAUUCUCGUCUACAUUUUCUACGGGCGAACCCGCAGCUCGCUAGUCGACGUUGUGUACGCCCCUGUGGCUAAGGCCGAUGCACGCAGGAGUUCAUCUGGUUUCAUGUCCUAGAAAAGAACCGUCACACCGUGGAGCUGACAAAACCUCGCCGGCCCUCAGAUGCUCAUAGAUGUGCAGCCGGAUAUCAGCCAGCCCGGAAGGGCCUGUUGAAUUGUUGGAGCCUAGUCGACGACAGGGUCUGAUUGAUGCAGUUUUUUUGGGGACCGUGCAUGAGAAUGAUCAGCAUACAAAGUAGAGUUUGGAUUGGGUGGUGGCGUGUGUGAUUGUUUGUAAUUCAUUCAUGUAUAAGAGGUGAAAAAGCCCCUUGUACUGGAACGGGUGAAUACUGACUGAAAACAGGUGAUGGAUGGAAUCUUACAAAAUUUGCAACACAAACCAUUUCUUUCAGAGUUUCAAGUGUUAUACAGUUAUUACCAACAACAACAACAACAAAAAAUGUGCAUUUGCUGUUUUGUCUCUGUAUAAAUGUGAACCUUGAAACAAACACGGUGAAGCCGGAACAAAGCAGAAAUGUCUGGAGGUCUGGAUUUUGAAGCAUUGAUAGGUCACUGCUGCAACAAUUUGUGCUUUCUCUCAAAACAAAAACAAAACAAAAACAAAAAACGGAAGUAACUAGCUAGUAUUCCCUGUUGAAUGGAGGAAGGAUCCCUGUGAGGAAGGACUGGAGCAGGUGGCGAAGGUGAACCCUCGGGCGUACUGCUGGACAUAGCCCCCUACCUCGUGCCCGGCUGUCCACGGGCGCCACGGCUCCACGACGGAGAGGUUGAGGUCGCGGACCGUGUACCUCGUGCCGGUGAAGGGGCAAACGGAGUCGAAAUCCCCACUGAAAAUCAUUUCGUCAGUUUCAGCAUCAACCAAUAAGAACGACAUCUUUGUCAUGCAAGAAAGGAAAAGAACAGAAAAUGACGGCAUCUUUGUCCGAUGGUCUGCGAAAUCCUCGUGCCGGCGUACCUGAAGAGCCAUAUGGGCAGGCCGCGGUUGAUUAGCCGUUUCAAGGUUGGCACCAUGGUGUCCGGUGAGUCCUUGAAAUCCUCAAAGGAUCUGCACAGCACAGGGGCAAGUUGAGGAAUGAAAGAAAGAAGAAUGUACAGGCAAGUUGAAGUAGCAGGCUGAUCAAAGCUAAAAUCUUCAACACUGGCUAACCUGCAAUCGAGCCAUUUGGUUUCUCUGGCAUGGAGAGCCUUCUGAACUUGAGGGCUGUUGAGGUAGGCCUUGGUAGGCACAUAGCUGCACGGAUCAUACCCGGGCAACUGAAAAUGAUAAUGCGUGCGCGUGUCCAUAGGGGUGAUUGUAUGUAAGCAUCCACGAUUGUACCGCUUAAAAAGGAAGAAAACAAAUCGAUAAAACUUGCACGUUUUUUGGUUACGUACGUAAGUGCUGGAAUAGUAGGAGCCGUUGGCGUCGAUGAUGCAGGUGGGACCGUAUAUGUUGUCGUGAUCCAGGAUGCCGUCUUGGCAUUCGAUGACGGCAUGGUAGCACCUCACGUUGAUCGAGGAGCGAUCGAUGCUGCAGCUGCUGGCGAUGUCGGCCCAGACCUCGUCGGAGAUGGCACCGUGGCUCCACAGGUACUCGUAGUGCCCUAUGAGGUUCUUCAUCUUGUCGAGGUAAGGGUUGCCGACCAUGAUACCCUUGAGAUUAAUGGUGUUGUUGUUGUUGUUGUUGUUGUUGUUGCUUUUGUUGUUGUUGUUGUGUGCUAAGAUGGUGGCGGCGAGUUGGGGGAUGUAGUGGCCGGCGUAGCUCUCCCCGGUGAUGUACAAGGGGCGCGCCUUGUACUCGGGGAACCUGUCGAGCCAGUUGAGAAGGAAGAUGUAGGCGUCCUGGGCAGCCAUUGGAUCCCCCAUCCUAUCGUAAUCGGAGGAGGUGUUGGAGUAGGAGAAUCCCACACCGGCGGGUGAUUCCAGGAAGAUGACAUUGGCCACUGCAGAUCACAUCUUAUAUAUGUGAUGGAGGCAGAUCGAAUGACAUUCGAAUGACAUUAAUUUCAAAAGGCGGAACGGAAUGGAUGGUCAUUGAAAAUUACCCUUGUUCCAGGCAUGCUUGUUCACCGUGAGGGUUUUUCCAUCCCUGUUUGCACGGAACGGACCCAAUUCUCGCAUCGCUCCGUGGCCGAGCGAUGAGCAUCCAGGCCCUGCUCCACACCAAACCCUUGUGAUGUUGCAACUGUACAAUCACGGUGCAACACAAUUCAACAAUAGAUGUAGCAACCCUUUUUUUAGCAUCUUCCUUACCUCCGUUGAGCCACAGGAGGAGUGGCUUCGCCAUUGCAUCGUCGGGCGAUUCCACGAAGUAGUAGAAGAGAGCACGGCCGUUGUGGCUGUCGACGGUCACGUACCCGCCGUAUUGUCCGAAGUCGACGCCCUCCGGCUGCCCCGGCAGCGCCGUGAUCUUGUCGGACGCCUUUUGAGCGCCGGGGUCGGAGACCGGGUACUCAUCUGUUCGGAGGUCACUGAUGAUUUCGAGAAAUGGCUUGUCAUGUAAACUAGGAUCACUAGUGGUGGUGCUGCUCGUUGUUCUAGAUAAAAGGAAUUUUGUGAGAUGGGCCUCUUGAGAUGCACGGGCGUGCAAUGCCAAAGCGGGAAUAAAAAGCAAAACGUGCAAUGCAGCAGCAGCAAACUUCAUGACCAAUAUCUCGGAUCUCCCCAAUGAUCGUGUGUGAGUGAGAUCGAUGAUGGUGGAAGGUUUUUAUAGGCCAUGGAAGAGUGGAGGUUGUGAUAUAUUUUGCUGGAGCGUAUAUAUGUAUUUAUGACCAAUGCUCCAUAUCAUCUGCACAAUAUCAAAUCCAGAUCUACCAUGAUACUAUGUUUUAUAACUAUACAGAUUGGAUGGGAUUUUCUUUUGUCUCAUAUAUUUACCAGAGAUUUCAUGCUUUAAUUACACUAUACUAUGGGCGCCUCUACGCAUUGGCCGAUGGAUCUUUUUAAAAGAUCCACCGCCUAGCGAGCCGUCAGAUCUGGCGGAUGGAUCGGUUGAGAGUCAUCGUCUACCACUGCAAGACAUAUCGUGUUGCAGAAAAUUUCCACAACGCGGGUUAUGUUGCGGAAAAUUUUGCAACAUAGGUCAACUUAUAGAUUAUUUUUGCAACACACACACACAUAUAUAUCUUGUUUCAGUUUUUUUGCAACAUAGGUAUUGUUGCAUUUUUUUGGCAACGUAGAUUUUGUUAGAAUUUAAUUUGUUUUGUAAUAGAGAUCCUGUUACAUUUUUUUUNNNNNNNNNNGCAAGCAAUGAUCAUGUCGGCCGAAGGAAAGGACUAUGACCCCGGGACAACGGGGCAAAGAUGGACGCAACUCAUCGUGGUGGGCGCGGACGCCGAUGCGUCCACGGGGCGGCGGAUACAGCUUGACGCGGGCGCACCGUGAUAGCUGAGUUCAUGGUGACGGUGAGCGGCAGCGAUGGCACCCACGCCGGCGCGUACUGCCGGCGGCGAGCGUCGAUGGCGGAGGUCAAAGCAGCUCGAGGAGGCAUCGCCUCGAUGGGCAGCUCGGGAGGAGCACGGGUGGCCACUACUCUCAUGAGGAUCCAUAUCCAGAUCCCGCAAUACACCAGUUGUUGCAGUGAAGAAGAUUGCAACAAUGACUCGGUUGCUAAAUCUAAUGUACGCAAUAUGUUGCUCCUAGCCAUCUGACUAAAAUCAGAUCCAACACCAUGAAGACAACGCAAGCGCACGUCGUUAUCCGUCGGAUGAUCCUAAUCAUUUCCCUUAUACAAUCAAAAAACUAUAAAUACAUCAAGCUAGUGGUAUCAAACAUCUACUAUAAUUAAAAAAACCAAAUAUGCAUACUAUUAUAUUUUGUGCCAAUUCUGCACCAUACCUUCUCUUUCCUUCAAAUACGCAUGCAACCAAAAAUAUCAAACAAUGCAAGCGUGCCAACAUUGAGAUUUUUUUUUCUUUUGGAUUUUCAGUAGUUUUCUCAACGGUGUAUUGAUCGACGAUCAGUUUCAACAUUCAUUUUGUUAUGACUAAUCUAUAAAAUUAGAUCACACAUUGAUAUGUUUUAACUUUUACUAGUAAUUACCAUGCUAUAGCCGCUUGUUUACUAGGUUAUACCAUGUUAUAGUCACUAAUUGUUUACUAUGUUAUAAUAAGAGCACUAGCAACAGCUUUCAAAAAAAAAAAAACCUUCCCUGUAAGUGUUUAUUAGGGCUUUUCCAACAAAUGUAUUGGGUUUAACAGGAUAAUCAAACUUGUAGUCAGGGUACAUCUUCUUGAUGCAGAGACCGAAAGCGUAAUGUUAUUCAUUAGAUGAAAUAUGUGCUCUCACAAUUAUGAAACUCGGCUACAAGACAUGAGAUUAGAACAUCUCAAACGGAGAACAAAAACUACGCCUUCCCGUAAGGCGGUAGCAUCCCUUUUAGAAAAUAUCACUUAUGAAAUAUGCCACUAGAAUUUCGCAAUACACACACAAAUGCCACCGUGAUAUUAUACCGAACUAAAAAAAAAGUGAUGUACAACGGCAAGAAUGGAAAGUGUUGGAUCGGUGAGGGGAGCUAGCGGGAAGAGUGGGCACAAGCACAACAUGAUUUCGCUCUCACUAUUCUUCUUUAUCUGCUCCUGAUGUUUACUCUUUCUAUACCUUGUUGUCCCUACCUACAAAUAUUUACAUACAGAGAAAGUAUAAAGCAAAAUAAACUUGUAUAUAUGGUUUAACAUCAAGAUCAAAUGAAACAACAUACCUAUGAUACCUAGUUGUCCCUAACUAUAAGUAUUUAGAUACAAAGAAAGUAUAAAGCAAAAUAAACUUGUAUAUAUGGUUUAAUAUCAAGAUCAAAUGAAACAACAUACCUAUGAUACAAAAAAGACUAAAAAAAGUGCACCAGCAAUCUAUUCUACCACUAGAACCCGGGUCUGUACCGUGGCAGGGUACUAUUCUACCACUAGACCACUGGUGCCUCCAUGACAAACUUAUUUGAAAACUUUAUGAGAAAAUCGUAUAGCAAUCGGAAAACCAGGCAGUACGCAUGUCAGUUCAGUAAUGCUGAUCAACUAAUACACGUGCACAUACGACAUUGUAGGCCUAGGUACGUGUAGGAGACGGAGGGACGCCAACACCUGUCACAAAGAAAGUGGUGAACUGCAGAUUGAACGUCUAUUCUUGACAGGGCACAUGAACCAUUCCCAGCAUCAAUUACUGCCAGAGCUUUCCUAAUCUUAUUCAUGGACGAUUUGUUGAUCUAAGUUCACUAAAAAAAAANNNNNNNNNNAAAGGCCGAUAUCCGAUCGACAAAGGGCUUCGCCUAGUGUUACACUUCGCAAAGCCUACCCUACAUACAUACCCUUUUUCCGGGUCAUUAGAUAUAGGAUAUCACCCUAGCCUCUAUAGUCAUAUCGCGGCCAACGAGCUCCGCCUCUUGUGCUACGUCUUCUACUCUUCUUUGACGUGCCCACAACUAUGUUUUUCGUUGAGGUUUCUAUUUUCAAUCAUCAGGUUUGCCAAGUGUUUACCGGACAGUUUCUGUCGACUUUCAUCGCUGGCUUUCACACAAUGAGCCCGAGUGGAUCUUAGUGGCGUGGCGUGCAAGGAAAAGAAGUGUAUGUGCAAACAAGAUCAUGUUCGUCGUGUGUGCAACGAAGGCAUUGACACGAGGAGAAGAUAUUUCGAGAUUUGUUGUCACAGUUUCUAUGUGAUUGAGUAGGUAUAAAUGAAAAUUAACCAAUUUGUGUUUCUUGUAAUUAAUGCGCAUAAGUUAACGAAGUUGUUAAUCAAUUUUUUUAACACGGUACAACUAAAAUCAUACACAUACAUGAAUAUACACGUAUUUUUAUGAUUGUACGCACAUGCAUCCUACUUCUAUGAACACCUUCGAAAGACUGAACCGAUAUGACAUUUUAAGAUUUUACGAAGUCAUCUUCUAACCAUCCAAUCACAAAUCCUUAUCAGCUAGUAAUACAUGAUAGUUUUACUAAAAAAAAAACUAAUUCAUGGUAGUUUUAGGCACGUUUCCAACAAAAAGGAAAGGCAAAAGGUAGUUCAAUUCUAGGCACGCAUGGAAGUUUCAUACACUUGGCUACUGUUAUUAUAUUAAUAAAAAGAAAAUGAAGGAUUAUUGGCAUGAAAAUUCGGGUCCUGAUCGAUCCGAUCCGGUAAACAGGCUUGCAUCCACGCGCUCUUCUUCUUCUUCUUACGUUGGAUUCGAUCCGAUGGAGGGAUUCGCGCGUGCAACCAACAUGCAUGGCAUUGGCAUUGGCAUCGGCAUGCCGCGCGAUCUCCAAAUCCUGACAACCGUGCUGGCGCUGCUGAUCCUCUCGUUCACCGCCGCCGUGCCUCCGCCGGAGCCGGACCCAUGCGCCGGGCGGCGCAUCCACGUCCGUCGCCUCCCGGCGCGCUUCAACACGGACCUCCUCCGGCACUGCGACGGCGCCUUCCCGCUGGCCGACCACCCGUCCGCCACGCCGUCCUGCGCCUCGCUCGCCAACCACGGCCUCGGCCCGCGCACCCACAACCGCUCCCGGUCGUGGUACCGCACCGACGCGCGCCUCCUCGAGCCCUUGUUCCACCGCCGCCUCCUCGACCGCGGCGCCUGCCUCGCCGACGACCCCGCCCGCGCCGACGCCGUCUUCCUCCCCUACUACGCCUCCCUCGACGCGCUCCCCUUCCUCCUCGACCCCGCCAUGCUCAACUUGUCCGCCGCCCACGGCGCCCCGCUCGCCGACUUCCUCAAGCGCGACCGCCCGCGGAUCCUCGAGCGCCGGCACGGCCACGACCACUUCCUCGUGCUCGCCGGCCCGGCCUGGGACUACGCGCAGCCGCCGGACACCGACCCCAGGCUCUGGGGCACCACCUCGCUGCUCCGCCACCCCGAGUUUGACAACUUCACCUUCCUCACGCUCGAGUCCCGCGCGUGGCCGUGGCAGGAGCACGCCGUGCCGCACCCGACGUCCUUCCACCCGUCGUCGCUCCCGCGGCUCCGCGCGUGGCUCGCCCGCGCGCGCCGGUCGCGCCGCACGGCGCUCAUGCUCUACGCCGGCGCCGUGUCCAAGCCGUCGCGCCCCAACAUCCGGGGCUCCAUCCUGGCCGAGUGCGCCAACCGCACGGACAGGACGUGCACCGUCGUGGACUGCUCCGGCGGGUCCUGCGACCUCAACCCGGUGCGGUACAUGCGGGCCAUGCUGAAGGCGAGGUUCUGCCUGGAGCCGCCGGGGGACACGCCGACGCGGCGGUCGACGUUCGACGCGAUCGUGGCCGGGUGCGUGCCGGUAUUCUUCGAGAACGCGUCGGCGAGGACGCAGUACGGGUGGCACCUGCCGCCGGGGAGGUACGACGAGUUCUCGGUGACCAUACCCAAGGACGCGGUGGUGCUGGGGGGCGUGCAGAUCGCGGAGACCCUGGCGGCGGUGCCGGAGGAGGAGGUGACGAGGAUGCGGGAGCGACUGCUGGAGCUGGCGCCGAGGGUGGUGUACCGGCGGCACGGGAGCGCGGCGGAGGGGAUGGGCAUGGACGCCGCGGACAUCGCCGUUGAGGGCGCGCUGCGGAGGAUACGGAGGCGGGUGCGCGCUCUAGAGGAUGGACAGCCGGAGGCCAUGUACGCAAUGGACGACGACAACCAAGAGAUCUAAUUAUCCCUCUGUCUAUUAUGAAAGCGGAGGGAGUAGCCAAAGUGUAUUCCUGGAAGAAUCCGAUUCUAAUACUUCCUUCGAGUUCUUAAAUAUAAGUCUUUUUAAGAGAUUUCAUGGUUUACAUACGAAACAAAAUUAAUGAAUCUACAUUCUAAAAUAUGUCUAUAUACAUUUAUAUAUAGUCCAUUAGUGGAACCUAUAGAAAGAUUUAUAUUUAAAAACGGAAGGAGUAGUAAAUAAGGUUGUGAGUAUUGCUUGUUCUUGGUGGACUGGGAUCAACAAGUCGUUCAUGCAAAGUGCCUUUAUUUCUGAAAAACUAAUACUCCUCCGUUUCUAAAUACAAGUCUUUUGAAAGGUUUUAUUACUAGGUGACUAUAUAGAAAGCAGAAUGAGUGAAUCUAUAUCUUAAAGUAUGUCUAUAUACAUUUGUAUGUAGUCUUCCAAUGAAACCUCUGAAAAGAAUUAUAUUUAAGAACGGAGGAAGUAUGUGAUAAUGCUCUUAUUGCGUUUGACUGUAUGCAUUCGUUGAGUACUCUUAAGGGCAUCUCCAAUGGUCGUAUGAUCAUCAUUGGUAAAAUUGUCACGCGGAUGAUUUUGAUGACAUGGCGUAUAAUAAAAGAAGAGAGAGAAUGACAUCGUAUGAACUUGAAGCAACGGUUCACGCACAAGCUCCGAGGCUAUCAUGGUUAUUUCUUCAAUAUUUAGUGGACCCGCUCAGUUAUUUUACAUACAAUUAACAAACACUCCAUUGAAGAGCUUGUAUGAUGUGUUGUUGGUUAUUGACGUGGACACUUAUACCAACGAUUGAACAUACGGACUGUUGGAGAUGCUCUAAGGAUGGAUCGGGAGAACCUGUCAUCGCUCCCUACGAAGUAGAUGUGAUCCAAUCCGGAGUGUUUGGCGCGCCUACCGGUGGAGGUCCAGUGGCCUGCAGCGGUAGAGUAGACGUUGCACAUGACGACAUGAUUAUCACUAUGAAUGACGGCGCACGUCACCCUGCAGUUUGACAUGCUGAGGCCCGCACCGGUGCCUGUGUUCUCGUCAUCAAUGAAGAAGGCGCCUAGUAAAUCGCACCUCUUGAACCACACCGCAGGAGCGAUCACCUUGCUGAUCCGCGUCAGGGGGUCGCAGAUGAGGAGACCUUCGUCAAAAGACACGGAAGUGACGAGGAGGAGGAGGAGGAGGACGCCCCGGAUGUCGAGAAGCUCCCAGCGACGAUCCUUCCAUACCCCCCGGGGGAGGUAAUCGAGUGGCAUAUUCCAUCGCAGGGAGGAGGAGACGAAGACAGGGUUAGCGCGAGGUGGGCGCUGCUGCGGCUGGCGGGCGUAGAUGCGGUAGGUGUCGUGGGCGGAUAACGCGACGUGGAGUUUGUCACUUGGUGUUUCUUUCCCAGGGACUAGACUUUUUUUUACUCACAUGAGACUGAUACAUCUCUAACGUAUCUACUUUUCCAAACUCUUUUGCCCUUGUUUUGGACUAUAAUUUGCAUGACUUGAAUGGAACUAACCUGGACUGACGCUGUUUUCAGCAGAAUUGCCUUGGUGUUAUUUUUGUGCAGAAAUCAAAGUUCUCCAAACGUCCUGAAAAUUUACGGGGAGCAGUUUUGGAAAAUAUCAAAAAUAUCUGCGCCAAGUUCCACCUCAGGGGGUGGGCCAGUGGGCCACAAGCCCCUGCUCCGCCACCACCCCCUUGGUGGCGGUGGGCAGGCUUGUGGGGCCAACAGGCACCUACCGCCCCCAACUCCAGCUCUAUAAGUUGCCUUUCGUCCUAGAAAAAAUAAAAAGAGAAGUUUUCGUCGCGUUUUCGAUACGUAGGCACCGCCACCUCCUGUUCUUCAUCUGGAGGGCAGAUCUGGAGUCCGUCUUGGGCUCCGGAGAGGGGAACUCGUCGCCAUCGUCAUCAUCAGCCUUCUUCCCUCUCCAAUUCCAUGAAGCUCUUCGUCGUUCGUGAGUAAUCUAUUCGUAGGAUCGCUGGACGGUGAUGAGUAGGAUGAGAUCUAUCAUGUAAUCGAGUUAGUUUUGAUGGGGUUUGAUCCCUAGUAUCUACUAUGUUCUGAGAUUUGAUGUUGCUACUACUUUGCCAUGCUUAAUGCUUGUCACUAGGGCCCGAGUGCCAUGAUUUCAGAUCUGAAAUUAUUAUGUUGUCACCAAUAUAUGUGUGUUUUAGAUUCGAUCUUGCAAGUUGUAGUUACCUACUAUGUGUUAUGAUCCGGCAACCCCGGAGUGACGACAACCGAAACCACUCCCGGUGAUGAUCAUAGUUUGAGGAGUUCAUGUGUUCACCAAGUGCUAAUGCGUUGGUUCGGUUCUUUAUUAAAAGGAGAACCUUAAUAUCCCGUAGUUUCCUUUUGGACCCCGCUGUCACGGGAGGGAUGGACAAUAGAUGGCAUGCAAGUUCUUUUCCCUAAGCACGUAUGACGACACACGGAAUGCAUGCCUACAUCACAUUGACGAGCGGGAGCUAGCCACUUAUCUCUCCGUGUUAUAGAUGUUGCAUGAUGAAUAUCAUCCAAACAAAUCACCGACCCAUUGCCUACGAGUUUGUCCUACUAUUGCUACUGCUGUUACUUGUCUUGCUCUGCUGCUGCUGCUACUACUGUUGCUAUUGCUGUUACUUGUUUUGCUAUGCUGCUACUGUUGCUACCACUGUCGCUUGCUACUGUUGCUACUUGCUACCGCUGUCACUAUUGUUGUUCCUUGCCAUUGCUAUUGCUCGUUACACUGCUGCUACCUGCUAUACUGUUGAUUCGUCUGACCAUUGACGGGAAUUGACAACUUCCGUCAACGCGGCAACGGAAGCGCCAUUGAUACAAUCGUUACGAAUAGUCUGCCGUCAACAGAUCGUUUCUGACACCGUUGUUAUCAUAUUACUUUGCUGUUACUACUGUGCUUGCAGAUACUAAUCUUUCAGGUGUGGUUGAAUCUGACAAAUUCAGCUGCUAAUACUUGAGAGUAUACUCUCACCUCCUGACGGGCUUACCAACAAAUUGGGUCGAAUACUCUACCCUCGAAAACUGCUGCGAACCCACGCGCUGGUGGGCCAUCAACAACAUUCUUCCAGUUUCAUUGACGGGGAGUGCUAGCAGCAUUCUUCUGGUGCCGUUGCAGGAGAAGGUUCGUUGCCAUAAGCAUUCGUCUAGCUAACGCCAGAGAUUGCAGGAUCAGCCCUUUUCUGGAGCCAUUGCCAGGGAAGCAAAGCUGACGUCAGCAUUUUUCUGGCGCCGUUGCCGGGGAGGUAUUGCUAUAUUCUGUGAGUCACUUGGGAUUUAUAUCUGCUGAUCACUAUGAAGAAUCUGAAGGAUCCGAAGACCAAAGUCUUGCCCUCAACUACGAGGGGAGGUAAGGAAUUGCCAUCUAGCUCUGCACUUGAUUCACCUUCAGUUAUGAGUAAGUUUGCGACUUCACCUCCUGCUACAAAUCUUGAUAUGUCGCCUGUGCUUGAUGAUGCUUGUGAUACUAUGCCUGAUGAUACUAUGCUUGAUACUAUGCCUGAUACUGCUAGAGAUGCUAUGCCUGAUACUUCUAGAGAUGCUAUGCUUGAUACUGCUUUGCCUGAUGAUGCUAGAGAUGCUAUUUUGCCUGAUGAUGCUAUGCUUGAUACUGCUACAGAUGCUCCUUUGCCUGAUGUUCCACUAGGAGUGUUCCUUGAUGCUCAUAUUGCUAGAGUUACUGCCAAUGCUCGUGAUGCUUCUGAAAUUGCCGAUGCUAUUGAGAUAGAACCUUCUUUUGCUCCUGCUAGAUCUAGCUCUCCUAGAUAUGAAUUGCCUGAUAUACCUAAGGGUUACGUUAUGGAGGGAGAGAUAGCUGAGGAUUUUCCAGCGUGUAAGGAUGCCUAUGACGCUGAGAAAUUAAUUCUCAAGUGGAAGGAAAAAUCUCGGGAAGUUAGGAUGAAAAAUGAUCCGAAGUUUGCCACUUCGCCUAUCUUUGUCACCGAUAAGGAUUAUGAAUUCUGUGUCGACCCUGAGAUAAUCUCUCUAGUCGAAUCUAAUCAUUUUCACGGUUAUGAGUCUGAGACGGUCAUAGCCCAUCUUGCCAAACUAUCCGAAAUAGCCAACCUUUUCACUAAUGAGGAGAAGAUCCGCCACUACUAUAUCCUUAAGCUAUUUCCUUUCUCUCUAAAGGAUGAUGCUAAAGCCUGGUUCACCUCUCUUGCUCCUGGAUGUGUGCGUAGUCCCCAGGAGAUGGUCUAUUACUUCUGUGAGAAAUAUUUCCCUGCCCAUAAGAAGCAAGCUGCCUUGCAGGAAAUAUACAACUUUGCUCAACUCCAAGAAGAGAGUCUUCCACAAGCUUGGGGGAGGCUCGUCCAGCUACAGAAUGCUUUGCCUGAUCACCCUCUCAAGAAGAACAAGAUACUUGAUAUCCUCUAUAACGGACUUACCGAUGCCUCUAGAGACUACCUAGAUAGUUGUGCCAGUUGUGUUUUUAGGGAACGAACUGUAGAACAAGCUGAGACCGUGCUGAAUAACCUCUUGAUCAACGAUAAUGCUUGGACUAUUCCCGAACCACCUCCUAAGCCAACUCCUAAGAAAAGAGGUAUUAUAUUCCUCAGUCCCGAAGAUAUGCAAGAAGCCAAGAAAUCUAUGCAAGAGAAAGGCAUUAGAUCUGAAGAUGUCAAAAAUCUACCACCUAUCUAAGAGAUCCACGGUCUCGAUAACCCGAUACAGGUAGUAGAAGUGAAUUCUCUGCGUAGGUUUGACGAGAGUGAUAUUCCUUUUGAUAAACCUGCUAGCCUAUGCUUUGAUGAAUUUGACAACUUUGUUGCCAAAUAACAGAGUUUCAAUGAUUAUGUUAGCAAACAUUUGGAACAAAGUACUUGUAUGCUUCGCCAUUCAAGUGCUUGUGUAGACAGAAAUGUCAAUGCUCUCAAGCUUCUGAGUAAACAUGCCUCUAUGAUUAUUAAUCAGGUAGAACAAGUACUUAAAGCUCAGAAUGACCUGCUCAAUGAAUUAAAUGACAACUCUGUCAGAGUCAUUACUAGAGGAGGCAAAAUGACUCGGGAACCUUUGUAUCCUGAAGGUCAUCCUAAGAGAAUUGAUCAAGAUUCUCAAGGAAUCAAUGCUGAUACACCUAGUCAUCCUAAGGAGAAGGAGAAGGAUGAUAGAAACCUGCACGCCAGUUCACCAAAUACUAUCACACCUGAAGAACCUAAUGAUAUUUCUGCGUCUGAUGCAGAAACACAAUCAGGUGAUGAACAUGAACCUGGUGACAAUGUGGACAGUGAUGUUCAUAAUAAUGCUCAACCUAGCCAUGAUGAGGAUGUGGAGAUUGAACCUACGGUUAAUCCUGAUAAUCCACAACCUAAGAGAUACGACAAGAAUGACUUUACUUCUAGGAAGCAUGGUAAAGAAAGAGAGCCAUGGGUUCAGGGACCUAUGCCCUUUCUUCCUAAGCAAUCCAAGAAAAAGGAUGAUGAGGAUUUUGAGCGCUUCGUUGAGAUGAUAAGACCCGUCUUUCUGCAGAUGCGGUUAACUGAUAUGCUCAAGAUGUCUCCGUAUGCCGAGCACAUGGAAGAUAUUGUGACUAAUAAACGGAAGAUACCAGAUCUUGAGAUCUCCACCAUGCUUGCCAAUUACACUUUCAAGGGUGGAACUCCUAAGAAACUUGGUGAUCCCGGAGUGCCCGCUAUACCUUGCUCCAUUAAAGGAAACUACGUAAGAACUGCCUUAUGUGACCUUGGAGCCGGUGUUAGUGUUAUGCCGCUCUCUCUUUAUCGUAGACUUGAGUUGGAUAAGUUGACACCCACUGAAAUUUCUCUGCAAAUGGCCGACAAAUCAACUGCUUUCCCUAUCGGCGUUUGCGACGAUGUGUCUGUUGUGGUUGCUAACACCACUAUCUUAACAGACUUUGUUAUCUUGGAUAUUCCCGAGGACGAUGCCAUGGUUGUCAUCCUCGGAAGACCCUUUUUAAACACUGCAGGGGCUGUUAUAGAUUGCAACAAAGGCAAUGUCACUUUCCAUGUCAACGGUAAUGAGCACGCAGUGCACUUUCCGAAGAAACGAUAUCCAGUACAUUGCAUCAAUGUUAUUGAAAAGACUUCAUCGAUUCUUAUUGGGAGCUUUGAAUGCCCUAUUCCUCGUGUCAAGAUGAAGUAUGAUUUGCUUGUUGGGGAGAUACAUAUCCCCAUUGAGGUGACUUAGUGGCUAUUCGAAAAUUCUCCGUUCUCUCUUGCGAUUCGAGAAAAUUUUGUCAUAAGGACUUGAUCAACCCCAUUGACGGAUUUCUUUCGAUGACCAUGAGACGGAUGAAUCAAAGAGUCACAUACCUCUGUUUUGAAUCUUCAUUUUCUGUUGCUUAGAAGAAAAUGAUAAGAUUACUUUAUUUUUUCAUGUUUUCUGUUCUAGCGUCCCGGAGAAAAAUACCUCGAAAAUAAAAGUUCUUCGAUGGUCCUGAAAAAUUAGUAUGAUUUUUUCUGGAAUUUUUGAAAAUUUCUGGGCCUAAGAGCUGGUCAGGGGGGCUGACCAGUGGGCCACAAGCCCCCCCCCCCACCGCCACCUACCCCCUAGUGGCGGGGUGCAAGCUUGNNNNNNNNNNNNNNNNNNNNNNNNNNNNNNNNNNNNNNNNNNNNNNNNNNNNNNNNNNNNNNNNNNNNNNNNNNNNNNNNNNNNNNNNNNNNNNNNNNNNGCUAACCGUUAGCCAUAGUAGUAGUGAUAGUAGUAGUUGGCGUGACGACUUCACGGAGACACGAUGAUGGAGAUCAUGAUGAUGGAGAUCAUGGUGUCACGCCGGUGACGAUGAUGAUCAUGCGAUGCCUGAAGAUGGAGAUCGAAAGAGCAAAGAUGAUAAUGGCCAUAUCAUGUCACUAUAUGAUUGCAUUGUGAUGUUUAUCAUGUUUUACAUCUUAUUGCUUAAAACGACGGUAGCAUAAUAAGAUGAUCCCUCUUAAAAUUUCGAGAACGUAUUCCCCUAAGUGUGCACCGUUGCGAAGGUUCGUUGUCUCGAAGCACCACGUGAUGAUCGGGUGUGAUAGAUUCUAACGUUCGCAUACAACGGGUGUAAGUCAGAUUUACACACGCGAAACACUUAGGUUGACUCGACGAGCUUAGCAUGUACAGACAUGACCUCGAAUACAAGAGACCGAAAGGUCGAACAUGAGUCGUAUGGUUGAAUACGAUCAGCAUGAGUUGCUCACCAUGCUGACUAGUCCGUCUCACGUGAUGAUCGGACACGGGUUAGUCAACAUGGAUCAUGUAACACUUAGAUGACUAGAGGGAUGUCGAUUUAAGUGGGAGUUCAUACUUAAUUUGAUUAAAUGAACUUAAUUGUCAUGAACUUAGUCUAAAAGUUGUCUUUAUAAAUAUUAAAGAUGUCCAACGUCAACCUCAACUUCAACGCAUUCCUAGAGAAAAACAAGCUGAAAGAUGAUGGUAGCAACUAUGCGGACUGGGUUCGCAACGUGAAGCUCAUCCUUGAAGCAGCUAAAAAGGCUUAUGUCCUUAAUGCGCCGUUAGGUGACCCUNNNNNNNNNNNNNNNNNNNNNNNNNNNNNNNNNNNNNNNNNNNNNNNNNNNNNNNNNNNNNNNNNNNNNNNNNNNNNNNNNNNNNNNNNNNNNNNNNNNNGGGACACUUGUGAUCUAUUCAUUCACACAUGUAUUACUGUUUCCUGUUAAUACAAUUAUAGCAUGAACGAUAGACGAUUAUCAUGAACAAGGAAAUAUGAUAAUGACCAUUUUAUUAUUGCCUCUAGGGCAUAUUUCCAACACCAUGAUCAUCUAUUGACUAACGAGCUAGCCAACUAGAGGCUUGCUANNNNNNNNNNNNNNNNNNNNNNNNNNNNNNNNNNNNNNNNNNNNNNNNNNNNNNNNNNNNNNNNNNNNNNNNNNNNNNNNNNNNNNNNNNNNNNNNNNNNNNNNNNNNNNNNNNNNNNNNNNNNNNNNNNNNNNNGGUCUGCAAUAUUCAGAUCCGUGUGUACUUUACAAAUAUCUAUCACUCCACUCUAGACAUGGUCCUGGAUGGAGUUGUAGCGGCGCUUGAUGUGCUUCGUCUUCCGGUGAAACCUGGGCUCUUUGACUAUGGCAAUGGCUCCAGUGUUAUCACAGAAGAGUGUCAUAGGACCCGACGCGCUUGGAACCACUCCAAGGUCGGUGAUGAGCUCCUUCAUCCAAAUUCCUUCAUGAGCCGCUUCUGAAGCAGCUAUGUACUCCGCUUCACAUGUAGAUGUUGCCACGACUUCUUGUUUGCUGCUACACCAGCUCACUGCCCCACCAUUCAACACAUAUACGUAUCCGGUUUGUGACUUAGAUUCAUCCGGAUCUGUGUCGAAGCUAGCCUCGACGUAACCCUUUACGACGAGCUCUUCGUCACCUCCAUAAACGAGAAACAUUUCCUUAGUCUUUUUCAGGUACUUCAGGAUAUUCUUGACCGAUGUCCAGUGUUCCGCACCGGGAUUACUUUGGUACCUCCCUACCAAGCUUAUCGCAAGGUUUAUAUCAGGUCUGGUACACAGCAUGGCAUACAUUAGAGAGCCCACGGCUGAAGCGUAGGGGAAAUAACUCAUCUUCUCUCUAUCUGCUGCCGUGGUCGGCGACUGAGUCUUANNNNNNNNNNUCAAUCUCAUACCUUGCAAAACUGGCAAGAACCCUUUCUUUGAGUUUUCCAUAUUGAACUUCUUCAAUAUCUUGUCAAGGUAUGUACUUUGCGAAAGACCUAUGAGGCGUCUCGAUCUAUCUCUAUAGAUCUUGAUGCCUAAUAUGUAUGCAACUUCUCCAAGGUCCUUCAUUGAAAAACUCUUCUUCAAAUAGGCCUUUAUGCUCUCCAACAUCUCUAUAUCAUUCCCCAUCAAUAAUAUGCCAUCCACAUAUAGUACGAGGAAAGCUACAGAGCUCCCACUCACUUUCUUGUACAGACAGGCUUCUUCGUAAACCUAUAUCAUUCCCCAUCAAUAUAUGGAUUCAGUGUGUAUUUUAAAACUUUUGCUAAGAGUGAAAUAAUUAUGUGCGUAAUAUUUUUGUUUAUGUGAUAAUUUGUCAACACCGUAGAUAUAUGACUCAUGAUAUGUAUAUGCAUGCAUUAUGUAUUUUAAAAAAAUUGCUAGCAGGAAAAAGAUUAUGUGUGUAGUAUUUUUGUUUAUAUGAUAAUAGGUCGAAUUCGCUGAUAUUAUACUGGUGAUAUUUUGUAUUCGGAAGGAUAUCAUUAUUAAACCAGAGGUAUGAAUGAUAUAUUGUAAUUUAUCUUGUAUUUAUUUUGUAGAUUUAGUGUCGCGACAAAUGGUAUAAUAUAAAUUAUUAUGCGUAGAUGUACAGUCGUCUGUGAGUAUUUGUUAAAUUGUUAUAUGUAAAAAAAGAUAAGUAAUAGAUGUUAUUACAAUAUAAAUAUAAUAAUAUGAUGAUACAAUAUAAAUUAUUAUGCGUAGAUGUACAGUCAUUUGUGAAUAUUUGUUAAAUUGUUAUAUGUAAAAGAAGAUGAGUAAUGUAUGUCAUUACAAUAUAAAUAUAAUAAUAUGAUUUUUAAUGGACCGAGGAUGUAAAUAUGACUGCUCGUUAGGUACUAUGAAAAUUUUGUUAGUGCUUUAUGGGCACAUCGUACGUGAGGGUCCUUCUGGUGUGGAUGUGUCUAUGUGAGGGAUGAGUAAGGUUGUAGUAAGACACAUGGUUAAUGUAGAGUAUGGGACAGUUAGAAGGUGCAUCCGAGCGGUGUUUGGUUCAACGAUGAAUGGGAAAAAAUGACCAUGGAGGCUUUCGUGGUUGAGGGAGGAAAUCGUUGGGUUCUGCGGCGGGUUACUGGUGAAAGAGCAUGGGCGUCGUACAUGGUUUUUGCAAGCAAUCCCAAUAACUCCAUGUAUGGACAACCCAUGAUUUAUGUGGAGUUCAUUUCUGCCAGUGAUGUCGCCGAGUGCAGUAGCGGUGCCGAUGAGGCCGAGUUGGCCAUAACUGUAGCCCCCGACGCCGGCCCAUCGGAACCAACGGGUGGCCAACAAGUGGCCAUAAUUGUAGCCCCGACGCAAGUGGCCAUAAUUGUAGCCCCCGACGUCGGCCCAUCAGAACCAACAGGUGGCCAACAAGUGUAUGACACAGGAUAUUGGUCUGCGGUCGUUGACAUGAGCGAACAUGUCGAGGGAUUGCCGGAGGCGCUAGAUGAUGACGAUGAUGGUCAUUCUUCUGCCUCUUCGAAAUCAAAUGAUGAUGAAGUUGUUCCUCCUGAGAAGGCGGUUGCUGCACCAAUCAAUCCAGAGUUUUUACAGGUUAUGAGCAUCAUCAAUGAAUUUCACUCUGUUGCUGGCUUAGAAGCGGGAAGUCUGGCCGUUGGGCAGAUUUUUUCAGAUAAGAAAUCUGCUAAACAAGCAAUACAUUGCUAUGCAAUUGACAUACACAUGCAACAUAGAGUGAAUCAGUCUAAUAAAAAGAAGUUGAAGCUCAUAUGCAUCCAUCGCGAAGCGGGUUGCCGCAUAAUAGACAUUGCUCGCCAGAAGCCUGGGGUAUGUGAGCCAUGGCAUAUUACAAAAAUAGAGCAACAUGGCUAUGAGCAAACCGGCACUCUUUCAAAGCACCGCAAUGAGACUGCAAUAUAUGUGUAACAGGUCAUAAAGAUACACGUAGGUGAAAUUAAGAUACACAUUGCGGAAAUGAAGAUACAACUUGCAGAAAAAAGAUACACAUUGCUGAAAAUAAGAUACAACUUGCCGAAAUUAAGAUAUAACUUGCAGAAAUUAAGAUAUAACUGACAGAAAUUAAGAAAGAAUAAAAUAAAUCUACUGAGUCCAACGUGGAUAUUUUCCUUUUCCACCACCAGCUUCUUCUGCUGCCUUGGCCGCACGAGCCCUUUCUUUCUUUCUCUCCUUCUCAGCAUCACGGGGCUCCUGCCGCUGUGUGUAAACCUCCGCCNNNNNNNNNNNNNNNNNNNNNNNNNNNNNNNNNNNNNNNNNNNNNNNNNNNNNNNNNNNNNNNNNNNNNNNNNNNNNNNNNNNNNNNNNNNNNNNNNNNNAGGAUCAAGAAACCCGAGAUCAUCGUCGAGCUGUACGUGUGCUGAACGCGGAGGUGCCGUCCGUUCAGUACUAGAUCGUGGGACUGAUCGCGGGAUUGUUCGCGGGGCGGAUCGAGGGACGUGAGGACGUUCCACUACAUCAACCGCGUUCUCUAACGCUUCUGCUGUACGAUCUACAAGGGUACGUAGAUCACUCAUCCCCUCUCGUAGAUGGACAUCACCAUGAUAGGUCUUCGUGCGCGUAGGAAAAUUUUUAUUUCCCUUGCGACGUUCCCCAAAAGUGGCAUCAUGAGCUAGGUUCAUGCGUAGAUGUCUUAUCGAGUAGAACACAAAAGUUUUUGUGGGCGGUGAUGUGCGUUUUGCUGCCCUCCUUAGUCUUUUCUUGAUUCCGCGGUAUUGUUGGAUUGAGGCGGCUUGGACCGACAUUACUCGUACGCUUACGAGAGACUGGUUUCAUCGUUACGAGUAACCCCCUUUGCUCAAAGAUGACUGGCAAGUGACGGUUUCUCCAACUUUAGCUGAAUCAGAUUUGACCGAGGAGGUCCUUGGAUGAGAUUAAAUAGCAACUCAUAUAUCUCUGUUGUGGUGUUUGCGUAAGUAAGAUGCGAUCCAACUAGAUACCCCGGUCACCACGUAAAACAUGCAACAACAAAAUUAGAGAACGUCUAACUUGUUUUUGCAGGGUAUUCUUGUGAUGUGAUAUGGCCAACGAUGUGAUGUGAUAUAUUGGAUGUAUGAGAUGAUCAUGUUGUAAUAGAAAUAUCGACUUGCACGUCGAUGGUACGGCAACCGGCAGGAGCCAUAGGGUUGUCUUUAUACUAACGUUUGUGCUUGCAGAUGCGUUUACUAUUUUGCUAGGAUGUAGCUUUAGUAAUAGCAUGAGUAGCACGACAACCCCGAUGGCAACACGUUGAUGGAUGAUCAUGGUGUGGCGCCGGUGACAAGAAGAUCGUGUCGGUGCUUUGGUGAUGGAGAUCAAGAAGCACGUGAUGAUGGCCAUACCAUGUCACUUAUGAAUUGCAUGUGAUGUUAAUCCUUUUAUGCACCUUAUUUUGCUUAGAACGACGGUAGCAUUAUGAGGCGAUCUCUCACUAAAAUUUCAAGACGAAAUUGUGUUCUCCCCGACUGUGCACCGUUGCUACAGUUCGUCGUUUCGAGACACCACGUGAUGAUCGGGUGUGAUAGACUCAACGUUCACAUACAACGGGUGCAAAACAGUUGCGCACGCGGAACACUCGGGUUAAGCUUGACGAGCCUAGCAUGUGCAGACAUGGCCUCGGAACACAUGAGACCGAAAGGUCGAUCAUGAAUCAUAUAGUUGAUAUGAUUAGCAUAGGGAUGCUUACCACUGAAACUAUACUCAACUCACGUGAUGAUCGGACUUGGGAUAGUGUAAGUGGAUCAUGAACCACUCAAAUGACUGGAGAGAUGUACUUUUUGAGUGGGAGUUUGGCAUAUAAUUUGAUUAAGUUGAACUCUAAUUAUCUUGAACAUAGUCUAAGUCCACUUUGAAUAUAUUUGUGUUGUAGAUCAUGGCUCACGCGACAGUCAUCCUGAAUUUUAAUACGUUCCUAGAGAAAGCUAAGUUGAAAGAUGAUGGAAGCAACUUUGUAGACUAGGCUCGUAAUCUUAAGCUAAUCUUACAAGCUGGGAAGAAGGAUUAUGUCCUUAAUGCUGCGCUAGGAGAUGAACCACCCGCUACGGCUGAUCAGGAUGUUAAGAACGCUUGGUUAGCACGUAAGGAGGACUACUCAAUAGUUCAAUGUGCAGUCUUGUAUGGCUUAGAACCGGGACUUCAACGUCGCUUUGAGCGUCAUGGAGCAUUUGAGAUGUUCCAGGAGUUGAAGUUUAUCUUUCAGAAGAACGCCCGGAUCGAGAGGUAUGAGACCUCCGAUAAAUUCUAUGCUUGCAAGAUGGAGGAAAACUCGUCUGUCAGUGAACAUGUGCUCAAAAUGUCUGGGUACUCAAACCGUCUAUCUGAGCUAGGGAUUGAACUCCCGCAAGAAGCUAUCACUAACAGAAUCCUUCAAUCACUGCCGCCAAGCUACAAAGGCUUUGUGUUGAACUACAACAUGCAAGGGACGAACAAGUCUCCCGGCGAGUUGUUUGCGAUGCUGAAAGUCGCAGAGUCUGAACUCCGUAAAGAGCAUCAAGUGUUGAUGGUGAAUAAGACCACUAGUUUCAAGAGAAACGGCAAAGGCAAGAAGGGAAAUUCGAAGAAGAGCGGCAAGCAUGUUGCCAAUCAGCCGAAGAAACCCAAAGCUGGACCUAAGCCUGAAACGGAGUGCUACUAUUGCAAGGGUAUGGGUCACUGGAAGCGCAAUUGCCCCAAGUAUCUGGCAGAUAAGAAGGCGGGCAAAGAAAAAUCAGGUAUAUUUGAUAUACAUGUUAUUGAUGUGUACUUAACCGGCUCCCGUAGUAGUGCCUGGGUAUUUGAUACCGGUUCUGUUGCUCAUAUUUGCAACUCGAAACAGGAACUGCGGAAUAGACGAAGGCUGGCGAAAGAUGAAGUGACGAUGCGCGUAGGAAAUAGUUCCAAGGUUGAUGCAAUCGCCGUCGGCACAGUGUCACUUCAGCUACCGUCGGGAUUAGUGAUGAACUUAAAUCGUUGUUAUUUAGUGCCUGCGUUGAGCAUGAACAUUAUAUCUGGAUCUUGUUUAUUGCGAGACGGUUACUCUUUUAAGUCAGAGAAUAAUGGUUGUUCUGUUUCUAUGAGUAACAUCUUUUAUGGUCAUGCACCGAAUGUGAGAGGAUUGUUCAUAUUGAAUCUUGAUAGCGAUACGCAUGUACAUAACAUUGAGACCAAAAGAGUUAGAGUAAACAAUGAUAGUGCCAUAUUUUUGUGGCACUGCCGCUUAGGUCAUAUUGGUAUAAAACGCAUGAAGAAACUCCAUGCUGAUGGACUUUUGGAGUCACUUGAUUUUGAUUCACUUGACACGUGCGAACCAUGCCUCAUGGGCAAGAUGACUAAGACUCCGUUCUCCGGAACAAUGGAGCGUGCAAGUGACUUAUUGGAAAUCAUACAUACCGAUGUGUGUGGUCCAAUGAGCGUGGAGGCACGCGGCGGAUAUCGUUAUUUUCUCACCUUCACUGACGAUUUGAGUAGGUAUGGUUAUGUCUACUUGAUGAAGCACAAGUCUGAAACAUUUGAAAAGUUCAAGCAAUUUCAGAGUGAAGUGGAAAAUCAUCGUAACAAGAAGAUCAAGUUCCUACGGUCUGAUCGUGGGGGUGAAUAUCUGAGUUUCGAGUUUGGUGAUCACUUAAGAAAAUGUGGAAUUGUUUCACAGUUGACACCGCCUGGAACACCACAGCGUAAUGGUGUGUCCGAACGUCGUAAUCGUACUUUGUUAGAGAUGGUGCGAUCUAUGAUGUCUCUUACUGAUUUGCCAUUAUCAUUUUGGGGUUAUGCAUUAGAAACAGCUGCAUUCACUUUAAAUAGGGCACCAUCAAAAUCCGUUGAGACGACACCAUACGAACUGUGGUAUGGCAAAAGGCCAAAGUUGUCGUUUCUUAAAGUUUGGGGAUGUGAUGCUUAUGUCAAAAAGCUUCAGCCUGAAAAGCUGGAACCCAAAGCGGAAAAAUGCGUCUUCAUAGGUUACCCAAAAGAGACAGUUGGGUACACCUUCUAUCUCAAAUCCGAGGGCAAAAUGUUUGUUGCUAAGAACGGAGCUUUUCUUGAGAAGGAGUUUCUCUCGAGAGAAUUGAGUGGGAGGAAGAUAGAACUUGACGAGGUUGUCGAACCUCUCAUCCCUCUGGAUGGUGGCGCAGGGCAAGGGGAAACCUCUGUCGUUGCGACGCCGGUUGAGGAGGAAGUUAAUGAUGAUGAUCAUGAAACUCCAGUUCAAGUUUCUGUUGAACCACGCAGGUCGACGAGAUCACGUGCUACUCCAGAGUGGUACGGUAAUCCCGUCUUAUCAAUUAUGUUGUUAGACAACAAUGAACCUGCAAAUUAUGAAGAAGCAAUGGUGGGCCCAGAUUCCAACAAAUGGCUAGAAGCCAUGAAAUCCGAGAUAGGAUCCAUGUAUGAGAACAAAGUGUGGACUUUGGAGAUACUACCUGAGGGCCGCAAGGCUAUUCAGAACAAAUGGAUCUUUAAGAAGAAGACGGACGCUGACGGUAAUGUGACUGUUUAUAAAGCACGACUUGUGGCAAAGGGUUUUUCACAAGUUCCAGGAGUUGACUACGAUGAGACUUUCUCACCCGUAGCGAUGCUUAAGUCCGUCAGAAUCAUGUUAGCAAUAGCUGCAUUUUUCGAUUAUGAAAUCUGGCAGAUGGAUGUCAAAACGGCGUUCCUUAACGGUUUCCUUAAGGAAGAGUUGUAUAUGAUGCAACCCGAAGGUUUUGUCGAUCCUAAGAAUGCUGACAAGGUGUGCAAGCUCCAGCGAUCCAUUUAUGGACUGGUGCAAGCAUCUCGGAGUUGGAACAAACGCUUUGAUGAGGUGAUCAAAGCAUUUGGGUUUAUACAAGUGGUUGGAGAAUCUUGUAUUUACAAGAAAGUGAGUGGGAGCUCUGUGGCGUUUCUAAUAUUAUAUGUGGAUGACAUAUUACUGAUUGGAAACAACGUAGAGCUUUUGGAGAGCAUAAAAGGUUACUUGAAUAAAAGUUUCUCUAUGAAGGACCUAGGAGAAGCUGCUUACAUUCUAGGCAUUAAGAUCUAUAGGGAUAGAUCAAAACGCCUGAUAUGACUUUCACAAAGCACAUACCUUGAUAAAGUUUUGAAGAGGUUCAAAAUGGAACAGUCCAAGAAAGGGUUCUUGCCAGUUUUACAAGGUACGAGAUUGAGUAAGACUCAGUGCCCAGCAACUGAUGAAGAUAGAGAGCAUAUGCGCUCCGUCCCCUAUGCUUCAGCCAUAGGUUCUAUCAUGUAUGCAAUGCUGUGCACUAGACCGGAUGUUAGCCUGGCCAUAAGUAUGGCAGGUAGGUUCCAGAGUAAUCCAGGAGUGGAUCACUAGACAGCGGUCAAGAAUAUCCUGAAGUACCUGAAAAGGACUAAGGAGAUGUUUCUCGUAUAUGGAGGUGACGAAGAGCUCGCCGUAAAAGGUUACGUCGAUGCAAGCUUUGACACAGAUCCGGACGACUCUAAGUCGCAAACCGGAUACGUAUUUAUUCUUAAUGGGGGUGCAGUAAGCUGGUGCAGUUCCAAGCAAAGCGUCGUAGCAGAUUCUACAUGUGAAGCGGAGUACAUGGCUGCCUCGGAGGCGGCUAAGGAGGGUGUAUGGAUGAAGCAGUUCAUGACGGAUCUUGGAGUGGUGCCAAGCGCACUGGAUCCAAUAACCUUGUUCUGUGACAACACGGGUGCCAUUGCCUUAGCAAAGGAACCACGGUUUCACAAGAAGACCAGACACAUCAAACGACGCUUCAACCUCAUCCGCGACUACGUCGAGGAAGAGGACGUAAAUAUAUGGAAAGUGCACACGGGUCUGAAUGUAGCAGACCCGCUGACUAAACCUCUUCCACGGCCAAAACAUGAUCGACACCAGAACUGUAUGGGUGUUAGAUUUAUUACAAUGUAAUUCACAUGGUGAUGUGAGGGCUAGAUUAUUGACUCUAGUGCAAGUGGGAGACUGUUGGAAUUAUGCCCUAGAGGCAAUAAUAAAUAUAGUUAUUAUUAUAAUUCCUGUAUCAAGAUAAUAGUUUAUUAUCCAUGCUAUAAUUGUAUUGAAUGAAGACUCAUUUACAUGUGUGGAUACAUAGACAAAAACACCGUCCCUAGCAUGCCUCUAGUUGGCUAGCCAAUUGAUCGAUGAUAGUCAGUGUCUUCUGAUUAUGAACAAGGUGUUGUUGCUUGAUAACUGGAUCACGUCAUUAGGAGAAUCACGUGAUGGACUAGACCCAAACUAAUAGACAUAGCAUGUUGAUCGUGUCAUUUUGUUGCUACUGUUUUCUGCGUGUCAAGUAUUUAUUCCUAUGACCAUGACAUCAUAUAACUCACUAACACCGGAGGAAUGCUUUGUGUGUAUCAAACGUCGCAACGUAACUGGGUGACUAUAAAGAUGCUCUACAGGUAUCUCCGAAGGUGUUAGUUGAGUUAGUAUGGAUCAAGAUUGGGAUUUGUCACUCCGUGUGACGGAGAGGUAUCUCGGGGCCCACUCGGUAAUACAACAUCACACACAAGCCUUGCAAGCAAUGUAACUUAGUGUAAGUUGCGGGAUCUUGUAUUACGGAACGAGUAAAGAGACUUGCCGGUAAACUAGAUUGAAAUAGGUAUGCGGAUACUGAUGAUCGAAUCUCGGGCAAGUAACAUACCGAAGGACAAAGGGAAUGACAUACGGGAUUAUACGAAUCCUUGGCACUGAGGUUCAAACGAUAAGAUCUUCAUAGAAUAUGUAGGAUCCAAUAUGGGCAUCCAGGUCCCGCUAUUGGAUAUUGACCGAGUAGUCUCUCGGGUCAUGUCUACAUAGUUCUCGAACCCGCAGGGUCUGCACACUUAAGGUUCGACGUUGUUUUAUGCGUAUUUCAGUUAUAUGGUUGGUUACCGAAUGUUGUUCGGAGUCCCGGAUGAGAUCACGGACGUCACGAGGGUUUCCGGAAUGGUCCGGAAACGAAGAUUGAUAUAUAGGAUGACCUCAUUUGAUUACCGGAAGGUUUUCGGAGUUACCGGGAAUGUACCGGGAAUGACGAAUGGGUUCCGGGAGUUCACCGGGGGGGGCAACCCACCCCGGGGAAGCCCAUAGGCCUUGGGGGAGACACACCAGCCCUUAGUGGGCUGGUGGGACAGCCCACAAGUACUCUAUGCGCCAAGAGAAGAAAAAUCAAGAGGAAAAGAAAAAAAAGGGAGGAGGUGGGAAGGGAGGAGGACUCCCUCCCACCAAACCUAGUCCAACUCGGUUUGGGGGGGGAGAGUCCUCCCCCUUGGCUUGGCCGACCCCCUUGAGGGUCCUUGGACCCCAAGGCAAGGCCCCCUCCCUCCCACCUAUAUAUACGGAGGUUUUAGGGCUGAUUUGAGACGACUUUUCCACGGCAGCCCGACCACAUACCUCCACGGUUUUAACUCUAGAUCGCGUUUCUGCGGAGCUCGGGCGGAGCCCUGCUGAGACAAGAUCAUCACCAACCUCCGGAGCGCCGUCACGCUGCCGGAGAACUCUUCUACCUCUCCGUCUCUCUUGCUGGAUCAAGAAGGCCGAGAUCAUCGUCGAGUUGUACGUGUGCUGAACGCGGAGGUGUCGUCCGUUCGGUACUAGAUCGUGGGACUGAUCGCGGGAUUGUUCGCGGGGCGGAUCGAGGGACGUGAGGAUGUUCCACUACAUCAACCGCGUUCUCUAACGCUUCUGCUGUACGAUCUACAAGGGUACGUAGAUCNNNNNNNNNNNNNNNNNNNNNNNNNNNNNNNNNNNNNNNNNNNNNNNNNNNNNNNNNNNNNNNNNNNNNNNNNNNNNNNNNNNNNNNNNNNNNNNNNNNNNNNNNNNNNNNNNNNNNNNNNNNNNNNNNNNNNNNNNNNNNNNNNNNNNNNNNNNNNNNNNNNNNNNNNNNNNNNNNNNNNNNNNNNNNNNNNNNNNNNNNNNNNNNNNNNNNNNNNNNNNNNNNNNNNNNNNNNNNNNNNNNNNNNNNNNNNNNNNNNNNNNNNNNNNNNNNNNNNNNNNNNNNNNNNNNNNNNNNNNNNNNNNNNNNNNNNNNNNGCGCGUAGGAAAAUUUUUGUUUCCCUUGCAACGUUCCCCAAAAGUCUUAUCAUAGUCAAGUGUUUGAUCUUGUCGGAAACAUCUUUGCGACAAGUCGAGCUUUUCUUAAUAGAGACUUAUCACCAUCAUCGUCUGUCUUCCUUUUAAAGAUCCAUCUUUACUCAAUAGUCCUAUGACCAUCAAGUAGUUCUUCCAAAGUCUACACUUUGUUUUCAUACAUUGAUCCUCUCUCGGAUUUCAUGGCUUCCAGCCAUUUGUCGGAAUCCAGGCCCACCAUUGCUUUCUCCAUAACUCGUAGGUUCACUGUUGCUCAACAACAUGACCUCCAAGACAGGGUUACCGUACCACUCUGCAGUAGUACGCGACCUUGUCAACCUACGAGGCUUGUAGUAACUUGAUCCGAUGCUCGAUGAUCACCAUCAUCAGCUUUCACUUCAAUUGGUGUAGGCGCCACAGGAACAACUUCCUGCGCCCUGCUACACACUGGUUGAAGUGAUGGUUCAAUAACCUCAUCAAGUUCUACCACCCUCCCACUCAAUUCUUUCGAGAGAAACCUUUCCUCAAGAAAGGAUCCGUUUCUACAAACACUUUGCUUUCGGAUCUGAGAUAGGAGAUGUACCCAACUGUUUUGGAUAUCCUAUGAAGAUGCAUUUAUCCACUUUGGGUUCGAGCUUAUCAGACUGCAACUUUUUCACGUAAGUGUAGAAGCCCCAAACUUUCAAGAAACGACAGUUUAGAUUUCUCUAAACCUCAGUCUAUACUGUGUCAUCUCAACGGAAAUACGCGGUGCCCUAUUUAAAGUGAAUGCGGUUGUCUCUAAUGCAUAACCCAUAAACGAUAGUGGUAAUUCGAUAAGAGACAUCAUAGCAUGCACCAUACCAAAUAGUGUGUGGCUAUGACGUUCAGACACAUCAUCACACUAUGAUGUUCCAGGUGGCAUGAACUGUGAAACAAUUUCCACAUUGUCUUAAGUGCGUACCAAAACUCGUAACUCAGAUAUUCAUUUCUAUGAUCAUAUCGUAGACAGUUUAUCCUCUUGUUACGACGACCUUCACUCCGAAACAGAAUUGAACUUUUCAAUAUUUCAGACUUGUGAUUCAUUAAGUAAAUACUCUUGUAUCUACUCAAAUCGUCAUUGAAGUAAGAACAUAAUGAUAUCCACUGCGUGCCUCAGCACCCAUUGGACUGCAUACAUCAAAAUGUAUCACUUCCAACAAGUUACUAUCUUGUUUCAUCUCAAUGAAAACAAGGCCUUGUUCAUGUAGUAUGAUUUGCAUGUCACUAGUGAUUCAAAAUCAAGUGAGUAUAAAGAUCCAUCAGCAUGGAGCCUCUUCAUGCAAUUUAUACCAACAUGACUCAAGUGGCAGUGCCACAAGUAAGUGGUACUAUCAUCAUUACUUCGUAUCUUUUGGCACCAAUAUCAUGAACAUGUGUAACACUACGAUCGAGAUUCAAUAAACCAUUAAAGGUGAUUAUUCAAGAAAAUAGAGUAACCAUUAUUCUCUUUAAAUGAAUAAUCGUAUUGCAAUAAACACGAUCCAAUCAUGUUCAUGCUUAACGCAAGCACCAAAUAACAAUUAUUUAGGUUUAACACCAAUCCCGAUGGUAGAGGGAGCGUGCGACGUUUAAUCAUAUCAACCCUGGAAAUACUUCCAACACGUAUUGUCACCUUGCCUUUAGCUAGUCUCCGUUUAUGUCGUAGCUUUCAUUUCGUGUUACUAAUCACUUAGCAACCGAACCGGUAUCCAAUAUUGCCGUGCUACUAGGAGUACUAGUAAAGUACACAUCAACAUCAUGUAUAUCAAAUAUACUUCUUUCGACUUUUGCCAGCCUUUUUAUCUAACAAGUAUCUAGAGUUGCUCCGCCUCAGUGACCGUUCCCCUCAUAACAGAAGCACUUAGUCCCGGGCUUGGGUUUAAUCUGGGGUCUCUUCAUUAGUGCAGCAACUGCUUUGUCGUUUCACGAAGUAUCCCUUCUAGCCCUUGCCUUUCUCGAAACUUAGUGGUUUUACUAACCAUCAACUAUUGAUGCUCCUUCUUGAUUUCUACUCUCGCAGUGUCAAACAUCCUGAAUCGCUCAAGGAUCAUUGUAUCUAUCCUUGAUAUGUUAUAGUUCAUCACGAAGCUCUCACAGCUUGGUGCCGGUGACUUUGGAGAACCAUCACUAUCUUAUCUGGAAGAUCAACUCCCACUUGAUUCAAGCGAUUGUCGUACUCAGAUAAUAUGAGCACACGCUCAACGAUUGAGAUUUUCUCCUUUACUUCAUGGACAAAGAAUCUUGUCGGAGGUCUCAUACCUCUUAACAAGGGCACAAGAAUGAAAUCCAAAUUUCAUCUCUUUAAAACAUCUCUUAUGUUCCGUGACAUUUCAAAACGUCUUCGGUGCCUUGCUUCUAAGCCAUUAAAUAUUUUGCACUGAACUAUUGUGUAGUCAUCAGAAACGUGUAUGUCGGAUGUUCACAACAUCUACAGACGACGCUCGAGGUGCAGCACACCGAGUGGUGCAUUAAGGACAUAAGCCUUCUGCGCAGCAACGAGGAUAAUCCUCGGUUUUACAGACUCAGUCUGCAAAGUUUGCUACUAUCAACUUUCAACUAAAUUUUCUCUAGGGACAUAUAAAAACAGUAGAGCUAUAGCGCAAGCUACAUCGUAAUUCGCAAAGACCAUUAGACAAUGUUCAUGAAAAUUAGUUCAAUUAAUCAUAUUACUUAAGAACUCCCACUCAAAAAGUACAUCUCUCUAGUCAUUUGAGUGGUACAUGAUCCAAAUCCACUAUCUCAAGUCCGAUCAUCACGUGAGUCGAGAAUAGUUUCAGUGGUAAGCAUCUCUAUGCUAAUCAUAUCAACUAUACGAUUCAUGCUCGACCUUUCGGUCUCAUGUGUUCCGAGGCCAUGUCUGCACAUGCUAGGCUCGUCAAGCUUAACCCGAGUGUUCCGCGUGUGCAACUGUUUUGCACCCGUUGUAUGUGAACGUUGAGUUAUCACACCCGAUCAUCACGUGGUGUCUCGAAAUGAAGAACUGUCACAACGGUGCACAGUCGGGGAGAACAGAAUUUCGUCUUGAAAUUUUAGUGAGAGAUCACCUCAUAAUGCUACCGUCGUUCUAAGCAAAAUAAGGUGCAUAAAGGAUUAACAUCACAUGCAAUUCAUAAGUGACAUGAUAUGGCCAUCAUCAUGUGCUUCUUGAUCUCCAUCAUCAAAGCACCGGCACGAUCUUCUUAUCACCGGCGUCACACCAUGAUCUCCAUCAACGUGUCGCCAUCGGGGUUGUUGUGCUACUCAUGCUAUUACUACUAAAGCUACGUCCUAGCAAUAUAGUAAACGCAUCUGCAAGCACAAACGUUAGUUUAAAGACAACCCUACGUGCAAGUUGAUAUUAAAUAUUACAACAUGAUCAUCUCAUACAUCCAAUAUAUCACAUCACAUCGUUGGCCAUAUCACAUCACAAGCAUACCCUACAAAAACAAGUUAGACGUCCUCUAAUUGUUGUUGCAUGUUUUACGUGGUGACCAUGGGUAUCUAGUUGGAUCGCAUCUUACUUACGCAAACACCAGAACGGAGAUAUAUGAAUUGCUAUUUAACCUCAUCCAAGGACCUCCUCGGUCAAACCCGAUUCAACUAAAGUUGGAGAAACCGACACUCGUCGGUCAUCUUUGAGCAACGGAGUUACUCGUAGCGAUGAAACCAGUCUCUCGUAAGCGUACGAGUAAUGUCGGUCCGAGCCGCUUCGAUCCAACAAUACCGCAGAAUCAAGAAAAGACUAAGGAGGGCAGCAAAACGCACAUCACUGCCCACAAAAACUUUUGUGUUCUACUCGAGAAGACAUCUACGCAUGAACCUAGCUCAUGAUGCCACUGUUGGGGAACGUCGCAUGGGAAACAAAAAUUUUCCUACGCGCACGAAGACCUAUCAUGGUGAUGUCCAUCUACGAGAGGGGAUUUCCGAUCUACGUACCCUUGUAGAUCGCACAGCAGAAGCGUUAAGAAACGCGGUUGAUGUAGUGGAACGUCCUCACGUCCCUCGAUCCGCCCCGUGAACCAUCCCACGAACCGUCCCGCUAUCCGUCCCACAAUCCGCUCCGAUCUAGUGCCGAACGGACGGCACCUCCGCGCUCAGCACACGUACAGCUCGACGAUGAUCUCGGCCUUCUUGAUCCAGCAAGAGAGACGGAGAGGUAGAAGAGUUCUCCGGCAGCGUGAUGGCGCUCCGGAGGUUGGUGAUGAUCUUGUCUCAGCAGGGCUCCGCUCGAGCUCCGCAGAAACGCGAUCUAGAGGAAAAACCGUGGAGGUAUGUGGUCGGGCUGCCGUGGCAAAAGUUGUCUCAAAUCAGCCCUAAUAGCUCCAUAUAUAUAGGAGGAGGGGAGGGGAGGCUUGCCUUGAGGCUCAAGGAGCCCCAAGGGCUGCGCCACCAAGGGGAGGAGGAGUCCUCCUCCAAUCCUAGUCCAACUAGGAUUGGAAGGUGGAGUCCUUCUCCUCUUUCCCACCUUUCCUUUUUUUCUCCUCUUUUGUCUUUUUCUUUCUCUCUUGCGCAAGACAGCCUUGGGCUGACCCCACCUACUUGGUACGCCACCCCCAAGGUCCUUGGGCCCUCCCGGGUGGGUGGUCCCCCUCCCGGUGAAUAUCCGGAACCCAUUCGUCAUUCCUGGUACAUUACCGGUAAUGCCCGAAAAACUUCCGGUAACCAAAUGAAGUCAUCCUAUAUAUUAAUCUUCGUUUCCACACCAUUCUGGAAACCCUCGUGACAUCUGUGAUCUCAUCCGGGACUCCGAACAACAUUCGGUAACCAACCAUAUAACCCAAAUACGCAUAAAACAACGUCGAACCUUAAGUGUACAGACCAUGCGGGUGCGAGAACUAUGUAGACAUGACCCGAGUGACUCCUCGGUCAAUAUCCAAUAGCGGGACCUGGAUGCCCAUAUUGGAUCCUACAUAUUCUACAAAGAUCUUAUCGUUUGAACCUGAGUGCCAAGGAUUCAUAUAAUCCCGUAUGUCAUUCCCUUUGUCCUUCGGUAUGUUACUUGCCUGAGAUUCGAUCGUCAGUAUCCGCAUACCUAUUUCAAUCUCGUUUACCGGCAAGUCUCUUUACUCGUUCCUUAAUAUAAGAUCCCGCAACUUACACUAAGUCACAUUUGCUUGCAAGGCUUGUGUGUGAUGUUGUAUUACCGAGUGGGCCCCGAGAUACCUCUCCAUUACAAGGAGUGACAAAUCCCAGCCUCGAUCCAUACUAACUCAACGAACACCUUCGAAGAUACCUGUAGAGCAUCUUUAUAGUCACCCAGUUACGUUGCGGCGUUUGAUACACACAAAGCAUUCCUCCAGUGUCAGUGAGUCAUAUGAUCUCAUGGUCAUAGGAACAAAUACUUGACACGCAGAAAACAGUAGCAACAAAAUGACACGAUCAACAUGCUACGUCUAUUUGUUUGGGUCUAGUCCGUCACAUGAUUCUCCUAAUGAUGUGGUCCCGUUAUCAAGUGACAACACUUGCCUAUGGUCACGAAACCUUGACCAUCUUUGAUCAACGAGCUAGUCAACUAGAGGCUUACUAGGGACAGUGUUUUGUCUAUGUAUCCACACAUGCACUGUGUUUCCAAUCAAUACAAUUAUAGCAUCGAUAAUAAACGAUUAUCAUGAACAAAGAAAUAUAAUAAUAACUAAUUUAUUAUUGCCUCUAGAGCAUAUUUCCAACAUAAAUGAAGGAAAGAUUGAUGUAAUAUGACUUCUAUCCUGUUUGAAAAAUGUUUCAGUUUACAUGGUAGGGAAAUUUACAGUAAUGAAUGAAAAGGUUAUGAAAAUGUGCUAAAAUUGUAUCAUUUGUAGAAAUAAGUUUUUGGAGGAGCUGCAUACUGCUGCAAAGACAACUUUGACAGCAACGAAUGAAGCAGUACUAAUAGCAUUUGUCGAUUUGGCUAUUUAAACAACUUUUCAGUUUCACAUAAGAGAAAAUAUACCAUGAUGGAUCAAAAUGGUACAAAACAUAUUAUAAAUUGACCAAUUUCCACAUGUAAGUUGUUGUUUGAGGUACAUUAGGCAACAAAUACUACUCUGUAAUAAUGAAAUGGUCGAAGGGCUACUGUUAUUUGACAAUGAUGACGUAUAUAUUAACUUUUAGUUUUAAACGAACGGAAAUCUAAAGUGACAGAUUAAGAUGAUGUGAAAAUGAUGUUAAUGAUGUAUAAAUCCUACAUGAGGGUGAGCCACAUACUGCUGCACAGAGUAGUGGCAAACUAUGAAAUGAAGAAAAUGAUGUCGUAAUAUGGCGACUACCCUAUUUUAAAAAUAUUCCACUUCCCCAUGAAGAGAAAAUUUAUAGUAAUGAAUAAAAAAGGUUAUAAGAAAAGUGCUGAAAUUAUAUCAUCUCCACAUGUAAGUUGUUGGAGGACCUACAUAUUGCUGUAGAGAUAACUUUGGAAGCAAGAAAUGAAGCAAUAUUGUUUUGCUUAUAUAGUUGUUUUGGUCAUUUAAUUAUUGUUUUUUAUUAUUUUUAGUUGGUUCUUUCUAUAGAUUUUAACAUGUUGUGGUAUGGUGCAUAUUGAAUGCACAGGAAGUCUAGAGUUGAAUUAAUUUUUUUAAAAUGCCUUUGUAGCAUAUGGGUUUUCGUCUCAAACCUUGAUACUUCGAAGGAGAUAAUCCAGUUCGUACACGAAGUGCAUCCAGUUUUUGCGGUAACCCACUCAACUUUGCAGCACAUGGCAUGUGGGUAAAAUGAUGAUACCAUAACAAGUUUUAGCCUUUUCAGAGUUCAUUUGUAGGGUUUUUCAAUUUCAGGGUCAUUUAGCUCAAAAAAUCAUUAAAUGCAUGAAAAAUAGAAAAUGAGGUGAGAAAGGGUUCAAAAUUUAUGAGGUGGCUUUGAAUGAUGGAUAUUGAACACAUAAAAACUAUGGAGUUCAAAUAACCAAAAAAUGAAAUCCUUUUGUAAGAGAUGAGUUCUCGUUCGAAACCCUGAUACUUCGAAAGAGAUUGUCCGUUUUGUACACGAAAUACAUCCAGUUUUUGUCGUAACUCUCUCCAGGUUUUAGCACAUGCCAUGUGGUUGAAAUGAUCCUACCAUGCCAAAUUUAAACCUUUUUAGAGUUCAUUCGUAGUGCUUUUCAAUUUCAGGGUCAAUUAGCUCAAAAAAUAAGUAAAUGCAUGAAAAAUACCAAAUUGAGUGUGAAAAUGUUGAAAAUUUAUGAUGUACCUUUGAAUGGGGCAUUUUAAACACACAAAAAGUAUGGAGUUGAAAUAAGUUCAAAAAAAUGAAAUCCCUUUGCAAGAGAUGAGUUUCGUUCGAAACCCUGAUACUUCGAAGGAGAUGGUCCAGUUUGUACACGAACUGUAUCCAGUUUUAGCCGUAACCCUCUCAACUUUGUAGUACAAACUAUGUGGGUAAAUGAUGAUAUCAUGCCAAGUUUCAACAUUUUCAGAGUUCAUUAGAGUGUUUUUCAUUUGCAGGGGCAUUUAGCUCAAAAAACAUUAAAUGCAUGAAAAUAGCAAAUAAAGUUAGAAAGGGUUAACUCUAUCUUGGUUAACCUUAGACGAGGACUGUGACGGGGACGGCGCUAGCAGAUGUAGUCGACGGGUAUGAUUGGACUCUUGGCCCGCUAUAGCUCCGCUAUAGCUGAUUUAGAGGCUCGCCACUAUUUGCCAUAGCCCGCUAUUUAAAACAUUGGUUCCAACCGGUAGCAUCCUGCUUACCGCCGGUUCCAGCUUCCUCAGUUGCCUGUUGCAGCACACCCCCGCUGCGCUCGCAUCUUUCCUGCCAGGGCCGGUCCUGAGGGAGGGCGGAAGGGGCGGCCGCCCCGGGCCCCCUCCCUAGCCAGGUACACACUAGCUCAAAGUACAGGUGAAAAAAAUCCUAGGUCCAGCAAGCAGCUCGCGUCCUUCCUCGCAUCUAGAUUCUGUUCGAUCGCCCAGAGAAAAACAAUCACAUAGCUAGCCUAGUACACGGGGCCUGCCUUAUUUCCUGUUUAAUCGACAUGAUUUUCUCCAACCAGAUCGCUGCAAUCAUUUCUUUCCUAACAACAUUGCUACUAUCCUUAAAAAAGAUCACUAGUACUUAUCCAGCAGACCCAGCUAGCGCUCCAGUUGCGGGUCCCACGUUCGGACACCGAAGAACUGCGCUCGCGAGACACUAGUCUCCAUCCGCCGGACACACACUCGGAUGCACGGCCAGACCGCAUGGUUGAGCGCCUCCUGCAAGACACCGGUGCAAUCCAAAUGGCGUCAUGACCAAGCCCCAGAUUACCGACCAACCAAUGUGAAUCCAAGGUUAUCGUUCUGAAAUUCAGCCAUUUGUGUGGUACACAUGCUCGUAGUCAUACUUACAAAUUAUAUCACUUCUGUUGAAACUAAUAAAUUGGACCAAUGAUGAAACUACUUUUACUUUUAGUAAAUUGUAGAACUUUGGUGCUGCAGUUUCUUAGAUUGGAAUGAGAAAUUUUCACACGAUUUUCCCAACAUUUAUGCAACACUUUUUUUCUUCAAUAGAUUGGAGUUCAGAGCUCUUUCAAAUUGUCUUAUGUGAUUGCAUGUAUAUUUACUCUCAAAUGUGCAAAUUCAAGAGCUUUAAACUCUUGUGCAAUUAAUAAAAAGUCAUUUAUCUAUAUUAUGUACUUCCUAUUUUCAUUUUCGUGCAUUUUAGGAUCCAACGUUUCAAAACAUUAUUUUAGAGAUUUGUUCAAGAAUUAUGUGCCGAGACAUAUGAGUAUUAAUAGAUACAAAGUUUUAGUUUCGCCCUGGGCCUCCAAAAUCUCAAGACCGGCCCUGUUUCCUGCUAUAUAUGUCGGCCACCGGGUCGUAGCACGACCCCUAUCAAAGUGUACGACGACCAUGACAGAGGAAGACGGCGGGGUAUUGGGGUUGCAACUCACCGCGGUGGUGGUUCCAGCAGCACGGCCCACACCACCCCCAUGUUGCUCCAUCGAUCAUGUGCCGCCGCCUCGCAGGGUCGCAUCUCGCCAUCCUGCUGGAUCUGGCAAGGCCGCAGGGUCACAACACGGAAAAAGAGAAGGGGGAGCAUGCAGUUUUGUGAUGUAAAGCUUGCAGCGAUGGUGCUGUUGCAGCCCUGCGGUGCAUUGUGCAUGAGUAGGAAUGCAGCACCCCGGUGCGAUCUGAGGUGAAAAAAAGCAAGGGGAGAUGGAAAGAGGUGCAAUAAUGCUAAACAUAUAAAGAUUUACAGACUUUUCACACGCUGAUUAUGAUGAUUUUAACCUAGCUAAUCUCCCUCCUGAUUUUCAAGGGGUGGCCCCCCUCCCCCUCAAUCUCUAAUCAAAACCCACAUCCCUGCAAAGGCCCGUAUUCUUUUUGACGUGUAGCAUUACUCUGAAGCCAAGGAACACGGAAAGCGGUGCGCACGGAUCCCACAACAAUAUGACAUGGCAUUAUCGGUGGCGUUAAAUCGUGAGGGAUCCAGCGACACACGCGCAACCGGCACGUCGCUUCAGCUGGUCAGCGGGCACGCAAUUCCGUAGUUAUAUAGGAUCAUCAAAGCAUGCCAUUCAGUUACCUUCAAGUUUCAGCAGGUAGACAAUGCCAUUACUUCCAUGUUUGUGUUAGCUAGCUUUAUCAUUCAGUAAGUCAGCAGGUUAUUCUUAGAAACAACAUAUGGGUAGCUCAAACUAUCCAGUCAUCCAUAUGAGAAGGCGCUUUACGUACUACCACUAGAAGGUUGUUCCAGCUCGUAGCAAGUGACAGAGUCCUGACUCCGGAUCUGUAGAAGUUAAUCAUAUUGUUUCUUUAGGAUUAGGAAAGAAAGUCAAACCGAGUCCUAUUAGUAUUAGGAUUCCUAGUCCUAGUCUAUUUCCAUAGUCCCUUGUGGACGUGUAUAAAAGAUACCCUAGGGGUGUUGAUUGUAACACCAGAAAAACGAAAAGCAAUACAAAGCAAAGUCACGACAUGGGCCUUUAGCCAUCAAAUCCAUCGAUCAGUUUUAUUCGUGUCGCUAGUUACGCAAGUUCCGUCAAGUAGCCGGCCGAAGCAAGAAUCGCGUAGGCACGCCUGUACAGCUGCAUACGCACGUUCAAAAGCCAACAAUUGGUAUCUAGAGCCUCGACGAUCUACGAUCUACGAUGACGGACAACGACGUUGAGUCGGUCAAGUCCGGCAAGGGCGGUGCCAAGGCGAACAAGAACGGCAACAAGGUGAAGAAGGGCGUCAAGUCAGCAACCAGUGGUGGAGGAACGAGCGGCGCCAACGUCCAGGCGCAUCGCAACAUUCCCAUCCAGUACCCGAUGCUCACCGACGCCAACUAUGGCGUGUGGGCGGUGAAGAUGAAGAUUAUUCUCCGAACCCUUCGAGUGUGGCAGGCAAUCACGGACGACGACGUCGAUGACGAGUCCGACGAAGGUGCCAUGGCCGCCAUUGCCCAGUCUGUGCCGGAUUCCGUGCUAAUGAUAUUGGCGGAGUUCGAGACGGCAAGAGAGGCGUGGAACGCACUCAAAGAGAUGAGGAUCGGAGAAGAUCGCGUCACCAAGGCACGGGCACAAGUGCUGAAGCGCCAAUUUUACAAGUUGCAGAUGGAGGAAACUGAAUCGGUGAAUGACUACGCCAUGCGUCUUACUACUUUGGUGGGAGAGAUCCGCGCGCUUGGUGCAAAGCUCGAUGAGACCGAGAUCAUGGAGAAGUUUUUCAGUUCAGUCACUGAUAAAUUCACGUACAUCAUCGACACGCUCAAGCAGCUUUACGACAUCGAUGACAUGACCAUAACGGAGGCGAUCGGACGAUUGCGGACAUGGGAAGAGAAUGCUCGUGGCUGUCGGAAAGGCAAAGGAGGAGGUAGCGACCAACUCAUGUACUCGCGCGCAGAUUGGGAGGCCCCAAGUAGCAAAAGAAGGCGUGACGGUGGCGAAGGCUCAAGCAACACGAAGGGCGAUGGACAAACCGAAAAAGGCAAAGGAAAAGGCAAACCACAAGGUCAUGGUAAGGCGGGCCAAUCUAAAGAGCAGAAACCACGGAACUUGGACUUGUCCGAGGUCAAGUGCUAUAACUUCAAUAAGAUGGGUCACUUUGCGAAGGAUUGUCCAAAGCCUAACAAGCGGGAGAUCAAGGCAAAUUUGGCAAAGCAGAAAGACGAAGGUCCAGGUCUUCUGAUGGCCGAAGUUUGCGAUCUCGCUGAAACGGUGGUUGUGAAACCAAGCCGGAAGGUGCUACUUCAUGAGGAAAAAGUGACACCAAAGUUAUCCGGUGAUCAGAACGUGUCGUGGUAUCUCGACACGGGUGCCAGUAACCACAUGACGGGGUGCAAGGAGAAAUUCCUCGAGCUGGAAUACGAUGUUGAAGGCUCGGUCAAGUUCGGUGAUGGUUCAGCUGUGGAGAUUUGCGGGCAAGGAUCUGUCCUCUUUGAGGGUCUCAUAGGCGAACAUCGCAUACUCACCGGAGUGUACUACAUCCCACGGCUGCGCAACAACAUCAUCUCUAUUGGGAAGCUUGACGAGAAUGGAUGCAAGGUGAAUAUCGAGAGGAGUGAUGACGAUCUUCGACAACCUCUGAAACGUGCUAGCUCGUGUUAAUCGCACACGGAAUAGGCUCUAUAUCCUCAACCUUGAUCAAUCUCAACCGGAGUGUUGGCUUGCCAAGAGUGAUGAUGAUUCGUGGUUAUGGCAUGCUAGAUUUGGACACGUUAACUUCUACGCCUUGAAGAAGAUGUCAAAGAUGGAGAUGGUAUCCGGGAUGCCAGUUAUCGACCGUGUUGAUCGAGUAUGUGACGGGUGCUUGGUUGGAAAACAGCACCGCAGGCCAUUCCCUGCUCAGUCUACCUAUCGUGCAAGUGAUGCACUUGAGCUGCUCCAUGGUGAUCUAUGUGGCCCUAUCACCCCGGCAACUCACGCUGGAAAGAAGUAUUUCUUGCUUGUGGUAGACGACUACUCGAGAUAUAUGUGGGUCAUUCUCCUACGAUCUAAAGAUGAGGCGUUUGAAGCGUUCAAGAAGUUGAAGGCUGCAACGGAGAUGGAACACAAGCUGAAGGUUCGCGCUCUACGGACAGAUCGCGGCGGAGAGUUUACGUCGAAUGAGUUCAACGACUACUGCGAGAAGAUUGGCAUAAAGAGGUUCCUCACGGCACCUUACACUCCGCAGCAGAAUGGGGUCGUUGAAAGGCGCAAUCAAACUGUCGUUGACAUGGCAAGGAGUUUACUCAAGAGCAAGAACCUGCCGGGGACUUUUUGGGGAGAAGCUGUCUCGACGGCAGUCUAUCUUCUAAACCGGGCUCCAACGAAGGCGGUGAUCGGCAAGACUCCGUAUGAAGCAAUUUACGGACGUAAGCCGAAUGUGUCUCAUCUACGGACAUUCGGAUGCGUGGCACAUGUGACGACGGCGGAGCCGCACCUCUCAAAGCUUGCCGAUCGUAGCACCAAGAUGGUGUUCAUCGGAUACGAGAGCAGUUCUGGCACCAAGGCAUGCCGUUUCUACGAUCCACAAACCAAACGUCUACGGAUUUCACGCGACGUCGUGUUUGAAGAAAACCAAGCGUGGAAUUGGAGCGCCGCAGCCGACGAUGCUCCAAACAGUAACAUAUUUGCAGUUGAAUUUCCAACUGACGAUGAUGCAGGAGAAGAUGUCCAGGUGGUUGGCAAGACGCCGAACCAAGGUGGCCACAAUGGUAGUGAUCAUCAUGGUGCCGACACCGACGACGACGUGCAUAGGUCACAAGGAGAUAGCGACAACAAAGCACACGGCACGGGUGGAGAUCUCGACGACAACAUCGACAACGAGGCGCAUAGUGACGAUGACAAUCAAGAUGAUGGUCAUGAUCACGACGACUACGCCGACGACACGGAUGUCGAUGACACACCAGGGUCUCAGCCGUCUUCCUCAAGUGCAUCAACACCGACACAAUUUGUGUCGCCUCCUUCGCAAGCCACAACGGAUUCCUCGGGGCCUCAUCGCUACAAGACCCUCAAGAAAGUCUACAAGUACACAAAGCCAGUUACGCUCGAGUACUCCGGACUAUGUCUGUUCGGAGUUGAGGAGCCGGCGAACUUCGUAGAGGCGAGCAAAAGUCCUAGCUGGACGCACGCCAUGGAUGAGGAGAUGAAGGCAAUUGAGAGCAAUGGCACGUGGAAUUUGGUAACCCGACCUCCAAACCAAAAGAUGAUAGGUUUGAAGUGGGUUUACAAGUUAAAGAAGGACACGGAGGGUGCCAUUGUGAAGUACAAGGCAAGACUCGUUGCAAAGGGCUACGUACAACGUCAAGGAGUUGACUAUGAUGAGGUGUUUGCACCGGUUGCUCGAAUCGAGACGGUGAGAGUGCUCCUAGCUUUGGCAGCACAAGAGGAUUGGAAGGUUCAUCAUAUGGAUGUUAAAUCCGCUUUCCUCAACGGCGAUCUCACAGAAGAAGUGUACGUGGAACAACCGCUCGGCUACGAGAAGAAAGGCGAAGAAGGGAAAGUUUACAAGCUCAAGAAGGCACUUUACGGGUUGAAGAAAGCGCCAAGAGCUUCAGACUCAAAGUUAGACCGAAUUCUGGUCUCGCUCGGGUUCAAGAGAUGUCCCCUCGAGCACGCAGUCUAUACAAAGAACUCCAAAGGCUCAAACCUGCUAGUUGGAGUUUAUGUCGACGAUCUGAUUAUCACCGGAGAUAGCGUACAAGAAAUUGAACGUUUCAAGGCGCAAAUGAAGAACAAGUUUAGCAUGAGCGAUCUGGGAUUACUCAGCUAUUACUUGGGCAUCAAAGUGAAGCAAAGCUCCGGGGAGAUUUCCCUAUGUCAAUCGGCUUACGCGGUCAAGUUAUUGGACAAGUGUGGCAUGUCAGAUUGCUACGCGACACAAGUUCCAAUGGACCAACGUCACAAGUUGAGCAAGCGUAGCUCAAAUCCGCCGGUGGACACCACAAUGUAUCGAAGCGUUGUGAGUAGCCUAAGAUACUUGGUACAUACCCGACCUGACUUGGCUUAUUCAGUCGGGAUCGUGAGUCGUUUCAUGGAGAAUCCGACAACCGAACACAUGAGCGCGGUCAAUCAAAUUCUACGCUAUGUGAAAGGCACAAUUAAUCUUGGUUGCACGUACAGAAAGGGAAAGGAAGGAUUGAUCCUUCGUGGAUAUUCAGAUAGUGACAUGGCAGGUGAUGUUGAUGACCGAAAGAGCACAACGGGCAUGGUUUUCUACCUUGGCCCGAAUCCGAUUAGUUGGAAUUCUCAGAAGCAAAAGGUGGUGGCACUGUCUUCAUGCGAGGCAGAAUACAUAGCGGCAAGCACGGCGGCUUGUCAAGCAGUGUGGCUGAGAAGACUCCUAGCUAUUCUUGCAAAGCGGGAGGUGCAGAAGGUGUCAUUAAAGAUUGACAACCAAGCUGCAAUCUCAUUGUGCAAAAAUCUGGUUCAUCACGAAAGGAGCAAGCACAUAGAUACCCGGUUCCACCAUAUCCGGGAGUGCAUUGAAGAAGGGUUGAUCGAGGUUCAACAUGUGAACACGAAAGACCAACUUGCCGAUAUUUUCACCAAGUCCCUCGGUCGACAGAAGUUCAUCGAGAUGAGGAGGAAAGUCGGAGUGCAAGAAGUGAAGUCAAGCAACAAGAUUAAGGAGGUGAAUGUAGAAGUUAAUCAUGUUGUUUCUUUAGGAUUAGGAAAGAAAGCCAAACCGAGUCCUAGUAGUAUUAGGAUUCCUAGUCCUAGUCUAUUUCCAUAGUCCCUUGUGGACGUGUAUAAAAGACACCCUAGGAGUGUUGAUUGUAACACCAGAAAAACGAAAAGCAAUACAAAGCAAAGGCACGACACGGGCCUUUAGCCAUCAAAUCCAUCGAUCAGUUUUAUUCGUGUCGCUAGUUACGCAAGUUUCGUCAAGUAGCCGGUCGAAGCAAGAAUCGCGUAGGCACGCCUGUACAGCUGCAUACGCACGUUCAAAAGCCAACAGGAUCGUCAUGGAGGGGUCUUUUCGUGCUGGGAUCAUCCUGUUGAUGCUAAGCUUUAACUAAAUAGCAGCGCACAACUUUGACAUACAAUGAACAUGCCUUUGUAUACUUUAGUAUGUAGAGAAGAUGUGAUUGAAAUUCUCUAUUUAUAUACUCACUGUCUGUUACAACGAAUAAAACUGCUCCUUUAUUUAUUUAUACAUGGAGAUGCUCGACCUUUUCAGGGAUCCAGACAACUCGAAGAGAGAUAUAUAAGCAGGAAGUAAGUCUGAUCAAUCAGUUUCCCAUGUCCUGGAGCACCUGCCUCUGUAUCCGUUGAUAAACGGAGCCAAUAGCAGAUCGGUCUUCUGACAGUCGCGCGCGUCCACAUAUAUAUAGAUACACAACACAACAUGGAACAAAAGGGGUGUUUGCAUGGCUUAGAUCGGAUAUUGACUCCAAUCUUGUCUCCUCCCGUCAGGGAGCAUCAUUAGUUAGAUGGGCCUGCCUUGGGGCACAAUCUUGUCCUUGAUCCACAUGUAAAUAGGCACUAGGAAGAAGUAUGUGGCGCAUAUUGUUCCAAUGAGGAACCGAAAGAAGACGAAGACGGGGUUCACAUGUGGCUUGCUCACAUCCUCAACCUUCGGACCAAGCUGUUUAAGAUGAAUAUGUAGGGUAAUUAAGAUGUAAAUGUGAAUUUGCUAGAUCUGCUUGACCAAAACAAAUUUGAUGCCAACUCCCACGAUGCCAAAUUCAUUGAAAUUCUAGUCUUGUUCCAGGUUAAAAAUCCUUAAAUUCGAUGAAAUCCAUAGAAAAAUGCAUCAACAUCUACAACAUAAAAUUAGUUUCACUAGAUUCAUCAUCGAAUAUUUUAAACUUGAUCAAAUUAAACUUUUUUUAACUUAUGACAAAGCCAAAACCUCAAUCAGUGUCAAAUGAAUGAAGUACCUGCAAGGGGGAGUCUCCACUUUGUGUCUUGAUGCCCGUGACACAACACCCUAUGACCAGGCCAUGCCUACGGGCACCACGGUACCACUUGGGCCCGAUCCUAGUGAGCUCGACGUCCUUAAACCCUGCCCUCUCGAACCAUUUCAUGUACUCUUCCUCCGUGGGGAAGAGCAUCCACAUGUCAGCGAAGAAGCGAGAUAGCCAAAAUGUCGGACGGACGGGGCCUAUCAUACAAGCCACGCCGUCGGCGGUCAGGACCCUGUAGGCCUCCCUGAUCCCCCGUUGUGGAUCAGGCCAAUACUCAAUGCUGCCGUGUAUAUGGAGGCCAAAAACAAGAACUCAAUCAUUGGAUAUAUAUAUAUAUGUCAACUUAAAGUCUAAGGAGAGGUACUAGAGGAGAUUGUCUAUAACCCACCUGCCAGCGGAGACGUAUCGGUCGAAGGUGUCGGUGGGGAAGGGAAGGUCCUCGGCGUCACCCUUCAUGAUCUUGAUGCCCCUUAGGGCCUUCUUCUUUCUGGCCUUGUCGAGUUGGUGCGGCGACUGGUCGAUCAGCGUCACGUUCUCGGGAUCGACGUGCCGGACGACGCCGAGCGUGGUGAACCCAGUGCCACCGCCGACAUCGACCACCUUGAGGGCCCGGCUAUGGAGGCGGGCAUGCUCCAGGGAGAUGUCGCGCAUGUCCUCAGUGUACUGGCCGGGGUUGAAGACAUGGUCGUAGCCGAAGGAGAUGAAGCUGUAGAACCAGAGGGCCUCCUUUUUGUGCUGGAUCAGCCGGAGUGGCUUGCUGGAACCCAUGGCGAAACGUUGCUUGGCAAGCAAGCGAAUGAGUGAUGUCUAGGGGAGUGGGAUGGCAUCUAUUUAUACCGCUAGUACUCCUCGUAGAAAUAAUGGAGGGACUAGUUGCUUUGGCAAGGCCUGCCUAGUACAAUAAUGGUGCAUUUAAUUAGUCUACUAGUUCUGGUAGUAGUAGAUACAAUUCCUCGGUCUUCAAAACAAUAAUUUCGCCCUAAGUUAAACCUAUAGUAUAGCCAACUGCUGUCUAUAUGAUGUUAUCAUGUCACACAUAAUCAGCACUUAUAACCACACAUAUAAUAAGGCUAGCUAUAAGGUUGCCUAUAAGAUUACUACAUUAGUUUUUUCUUUCUUUUUUCUCUAUCUCUUUUCGUAUUUAUUAGAUUUAACUAGAAGUACCCAUAUAAUUAGGCUCUUGCAUGAGUUGAGAGCCCCAUUCUUCUUACUUUUUCAUCUCUCUUUUCUUCAGAUAGACAAAAAUGACAUGUAAGCGGGUUGUAAACCCACUAUUAUACUUGCUCUAAGCCUUACUUUGUCCAGGCCUGCCAAGUACAAUAAUAGUGCAUUUAGUCCAGUUGGGCUAGAUACAAUUCCUCCUUUUCAAAACAACAACUUCACCCUAAGUUAAACCCUGGCUAAAUUUACGGAAGGAAAAAAUUAUACAUCCACAAUAUUCAUUCAUACAAAAUAUUUGGCAAUUUUAAUUAUGAAGCAUGACAACUUUUUUUAGGGUUUUCUCUAUAUGCAAAUGUUAGUUGUAAAAACUGUCACGACAAUGUAACUCCCUACCACAUGGGUAAUACCCCCUUCGUUCUUAUAUAUAAGUCAUUUUAGAAAGAGAAAGGUGUUAACAACAACCGGGUGUCUAGGCACCCUCUAUGAACAGCAAAAUUAAAAAGAUAGAAAAGAGUUUCAAAAAAUCUGAAACUUUGCAACAUAUAAGAUGGUCAAAUUUUGUAGGUUCUUACAAGUUUUCAUGCCAAAAUAUCAUGUAGAGAAAGACAUACAAACAAGUUUUAGAUUUCAGUGCUAAAUGUGCUCAAAACUUAAAGUACUAACAUGAACCGCUACCUUGAAGAAUGGCCCAGCCUUGAACGAUACCAAACAAAUUGGCAUUCCUGCUGCAACUCGCGAUAGCUAUCAGCCAGCGCCCAACCGCCAUUAUUCCAGUUCAACAAUUGCCAUGGCUCCACACAUGCCGUGCACUGGCACACGAGGAUUUGAUGACGACCUGAGAAAUGGGGCGUUAGAGCAUCUGCAGUCAGGACAUGCAAAUCCCGUGGUACUGAUCGGAUACUUCUUAAAUCAUGUUGUUCAUAUUCAUGUAUGUCAUAUCUGGUUCCUCAUAUCCAUACUAACAUGCAACAUGCAUAAAAAAUACAUAGAUCAAUCCACAAACACACAAUCAGAGAGAGAAAUACACAUUCCGAUCACCAAAAGAUCACCGCCAAAUGUCCAAAAGGUCGUCAUAGUUCACAUAAUUCACAUAAACGACGAACAAAUUUAAGCUAGAUUACUAAAAACUUGAAAAUGCAGACGGAGAUGGCGAACAUUCACCACUUCCUCGUUGGCCGUUUGCGCUUCGGAUCGCCGGCGCAACUGUAGAAAUCGACUACUGGUGGACAAUCGUCUGAGUCGUCCGAUGAGGAGCCGUGGUCGUCAUCGUCAGAGGAUGACGAGCCCUUUUAGCCGUCGGUCCUCCUUGUCCUGCUGCCGCUUGAGCUUCGCGAGCCGAGCUACCUCCACCGCUGCCUUCACCGCCUUGCGCUCGGAAUGCUCAAUGGCAAUCUAGAGCGCAUUGGCGUUCUUUUGGCAGAGUCGUCGCGUUUCCGUCUCCGCGGCCGUAAGCAACCGGCGGUAUACCCAUUCGAGGAGCCACACGUCCUCAUCAGGCUCCGCCUCCAUCUUGCGAUGGUGGCGCACAGACUGCUCCGCCUCCCUCCUCUCCCCUUGCCGAUGCCGCUUGCAGCGGGCGGCACACGCCUUUGUUUUAGGCGUGCACGUCCUGUCCGGUGGGACAGGCACAAGCACCCACCGCUGCCCAUGUUGGGGAGGAGCAGCCGGCGAGGGCAGGGAACAGCAUAGGUGAGGCGCGGAUUGCGCAGGUCGCCUGUCGAAGUUGUGCACGUGCCGGGAGGGGCCAGGUCCGGCAUCCUAGCUGCGCCGGUGGGGAAGUAGCGAGGUUGCAGAUCCGGAGCUGUCUCCGAUCUCCACAUUGCACCGCUCCAAGGUGAUGCGGUGGGCAAGCUCACAGUCCGGAUCCAAGUCGUCAUCGGAGCGGCUCCCGGAGCUCGACAUUGCACCGGAUUCGAUCGGUACCGGUGCCGGAAGAGGAGAGGAAGGAGCGAGAGAGGAGAGUGAGUGAGGUAGGGUUUCGGAGCGAUGAGCCGGAUGUUUUUUUCUAUGGGAUAACCGUGGAGUCGGUGGUAUGCCGGGCUUUGUCAGGUGGGCGUGUCCGAACCACCCUAUAUCCACUCCAUGUUUGGACUGGAUAUAAAGGGUGCCGGUCGAUUUAUUGGCUGGAUCUAUUUUUUUAUGACCAGUCAAUGAUCGGACGGGCAUUUGAAAAUGUUAUGAGGGGUCCGACUAGAGAUGCUCUUAGUUGUGAUGGGACUGGACAUCAGCAUGUGUGUGAUACUUGUGUGUCGGCUUUGAGCUUGGCCUCAUAUGACCUUGCUCAAAAUACAACACACGACGUAAUUAUUCUUUUCAAAAUACAACACAUAUGAGGAGGUAUGUGUGUGCGCGCACGCGUGUUGUGAGCAUGUCAUGUGACUCAGUCGUAUCGGGUGUGUCAUUCCCAAGCCCCUAUCUAUCUCCUUCUCUGCUACCAGAAGUAGUCUCCAUCUUCUUCCCCUCCGCGCGUAGGAGCGGGCUGUUGCACUCAGCUAUUAAUAAUAAUGAGAAAGGAACACAUCACCGGAUCCAAGUCUCCGUCCUUCCCUUCAUUUUCUGUAUUAAUAAUGAGAAAGGAACACGUAACCGCAUGGCCCUGAGGGGGGCAAGCGGGGCGCCCCCGUAGUAGCUGCGUUGACAACGGCAACGGCUGUGCACGGCAGCUGCAAGCAGGCCUGGGCCACCCAUGCAUAUGUUGCACUUGUGGCGCUACUAAUUCGCGAUUUUUUUCGAAAGGAUCGCUAGUUGCCUAAUUCACUUGAUCUAAUCAACAAUCUAAGAUGACUCAAGGUCGAGGCUUAUCUCCAUCUUCCCAGUUAACUUUGCGUGUGCGUCGCCUCGACGAACUUGUUUUAUCUAAAAUUACUAAUUGUUCUUUAAUUUUGACGCCGUCGCAUCAUCUAAAAAGUUUGCAUCCGGUGGUCAGAAAGUACGAGAGAAAACAUACAUGGUUAAUUCGUUGAUAGAAUCACAUACAUAAUCUAUCAAAAGAUUUCUUAAGUGAAACUUUAUGCAUUGAGAAAAAAUAUAUAAGAUAAUGUCAAUAUUGGUACGACCACCAGCAAUUUUGCUUCUUGGAUUGUUAGAAGAAAUAUUUCUAGGUAACAUUUACAAAUUAAUUGACAGGUGUAUAUUGCAUUUGGACUCACUUGCAAUUCAUAUAUGCAUACUGCUUACUCGUAGAAAUAAAAUAUACUACUUGAUUAUUGGUUCGGUGUCUAUAUUAAGGGGCAUGUUACGCGUCGUCCGACGGAUCUUUAAAAAAGAUCCGUCACCUCACAAGCCGUUGAUUGUGUGAUAUGAGCCGUCAGUUUCUCUGCACUACUUUCCUGCAACAAUACUUUUGUUGCAAAAACUUCUCUUCUUAAUUUUCUACAACAAAUCCUUUGUUGCAAAAAAAAUCUCCUAUUUUCUGCAACAAGUCCUGUGUUGCAAAACCUCUUAUUCCCAAAUUUUUUGCAACAAGAUCCUUGUUACAAAAAUUAAAAACACGUCCCCCACCGCGUAUAUCCAUCACCACGAUAAUAGUCAGAUGUCCACGCGCACAGUCAUCCGCAACCAUCCGAUCUAAUUCCUGGCAUGCAGCUCAGUCGUCAUAUUAAUUCCUGAAACAACAAACUAGUUGCGGAAGCAACCUCUUUGUUUCGGUCCGGACAAAGCUCUAAAUGGCUAUGCAAUUUUUUCUGCCACAAAGAUUUAAUACGGGAUGACCGACAAAAUUGAGCUGACAACUUUUGCAACAAGCAUAAUGUUGAGUUCGGGUGUUUGCGACACGGGCCGUGUUGCGGAACUUUUGCAACAUAAUAUUUUUUUCAACAAAGUUAAUGUUGCAGAUUUGUUUUUUGCAACAAGGAGGAUGUUGCAAGAAAAACCCAAAUCCAGCUACUCGUCCUCCCAGUCAAAUGAGCCCCCGAAACAUCCCUACUUGUAUCCAGUAUGAAGAAUACUUGUCCUGAAACAAUAGGUCAGUUGCAGGAAACGAAAGCGGCUUGGGCACACGCAGGACGUGGUGCGACUGUGUGAUCAAAUCGAACGACCGCAGAGCUGACGGACGGCCGCGUGCGAUCGGCCGGUGGAACAUAAUCUUUUCCCCUAUAUUAAGGGCUCCUAAGUUUUAGUUCCAUCCGGGGCCUUUGAAAUCCCAGGACCGGUCCAUGAUGGACACAAAAUCUCCUGCGGCUGUUACAGUUAUUGGUGACUGUAAUCCUGUACAGUACAUUGGUUGGUAGAAAAGACAAUACAACAUUAUAUCUGUGAUCAAUCGCGUGUGGACAUGCGGUCACGUGAUGCCGUAUCGCCACCGUUGCUUUGGUCACAAACAGUAAUCAUUCAUACAUUAUGAUUGAUCUCCUUCUUCCCAUACAAGCAUUAUCAAGGAAAUGCCAUAAGUUAGUCGCUCCUAAAAAACACAGCCAUAAACGGUCACAUGUGAACGAUGGGACGGACGUUUAGUAGCUUACAAGCUACUCCAUCUGGAGUAUCAAUUCACCCAACAUGAAUUAAUAGUCUGCCAGUGCAUUGAAAAUACUACCAUGGACGCAAGCUAGAGGACAAGGUUGUAUUCAUACAAACAUUUAUUUCAUCUGGACCACUCACAAGGCUUAUAUCAAAACGUAUUAGAACAAGUAUAAUACUAACAUACAGUCAGCAGGUUGUAAGGAUUAAAGUAUUAUAUGUAUGCUGAGUUGGAUGAAAAAGAAGAGGGGAGAGAAGAGAAGCGGGUUAGAGAUUAACAGCCGGCUGUAGCACGAGCUCUAAAAAAGUGAGGAUGUAAGAUGAAUCAUGUAGUAAUAAUGUAAUACUUCUUAGCAGCUUGUUAUUAUACUGUUGACUAUUAGAGGGUGUUUGGAUCCAAGGGACUAAAACUAGUCUGACUAAAAAUAGUCUCUUUAAGAGGCUAAAGUUCCAAGCACCCCUGACUAAAGAGAGGCUAAAACUAGUCUUGAGGCUAAAAUCUUUUAGUCAUGAGUACCCUACUAAAAUGUGGAUUAGUCCUCUCUCUCAUCAUUUAACUCCUCUCCUUUAACACAUGCGAGUUCUGGAUUGGAGGGUUUGGAGGAUAAUAAAUGCUCAUUAACUUGAUUUUAGUCUUUUUAGUAUUUGGAUCCAAACAUGGGUGAGGCUAGCUAGUUUUAGUCCCACUACUUUUAAGCAUGGAACUAAAACGUAUCCAAGCACCUUCUUAGUUUGACUAUAUAUGACAUGACAACUUCUUAUAACCGGUAGUUGGCUAUACUAUUAACCAUGCUCUUACCGUUCGGAUGCAAUAAUACAACGUUCAUAUAAUUAAUGGGCCCGCAAGACUAUAAUCUAUACCUAAUAAUAAAGCGGCUAUUGCUUCCGUCGGAAAACCCACCGCGGCAUUUUUAUAAAAGAAGCCCCUAUAGUUUUUGUUAUUCAACCCGCGCUAUAUCAUUAAUCUGCAACGCAAAAGGAAAAAACGAUUCACUGCAAAAAUUAUACCCGUACGCACCGCCUCCUCCCGUCGACCCUGGGCCACCCUGGCCUGUGCCCAGGCCGCCGCCACACCACUCGCCAUCGCGGCCGACCCCAAUCGCCAUCGCUGCCGAUCUCAACCCACCCGCCUCCGCGGUCGUACCUCUCCCCGCUCACUGCCCCCGUUGCGGCGCUCGAGCGCAUCGCGUCGACCCUGGUCCACCCUGGCCUGUGCAUAGGCCGCUGCCACACCACNNNNNNNNNNNNNNNNNNNNNNNNNNNNNNNNNNNNNNNNNNNNNNNNNNNNNNNNNNNNNNNNNNNNNNNNNNNNNNNNNNNNNNNNNNNNNNNNNNNNNNNNNNNNNNNNNNNNNNNNNNNNNNNNNNNNNNNNNNNNNNNNNNNNNNNNNNNNNNNNNNNNNNNNNNNNNNNNNNNNNNNNNNNNNNNNNNNNNNNNNNNNNNNNNNNNNNNNNNNNNNNNNNNNNNNNNNNNNNNNNNNNNNNNNNNNNNNNNNNNNNNNNNNNNNNNNNNNNNNNNNNNNNNNNNNNNNNNNNNNNNNNNNNNNNNNNNNNNNNNNNNNNNNNNNNNNNNNNNNNNNNNNNNNNNNNNNNCCACCCGCCUCCGCGGCCAUACCUCUGCCCGCUUGCUGCCCCCGUUUCGGCGCUCGAGCAUAGCUUCUGGAUCAAAUCAACGCGACAGCUACAGUGACUGGGGAUAAUGCGUGUGCUCGAUGCAGAACGGCGGCGGCGCGCGGAUAAGGCGCGGCGGAGCGAAGUACUUGCAGGUUGAGACGGGCCUCCAUAGCUCAUACGGGGAACUCCAAGGUUAUGGCGCGGCAACGGCGACUCCUUAUGGCCAGAUAGAGGCGUCUAACCCUUGCUUCCCUCAUCGUAUCCCCUCCUCCGGCAGGAACUCAUCAUUUGGUGAGAUCCCCUCCCCAUGCCUCCAACCGUGUGCCAAGCACCGGCAGGAAAUUUUGUUUUGUGGGGAUUUGUUUGCUGAUGAAUGAAUGUAUUGAAUAUAAGAUUGUAUUGUUGUAGAGACAGAGAAUGGAAAACCACCUUCAGUUUGUCAUCUGAUCCCACAUUCUCUACCCCAUGAGUGAAAUAAGAUAAUGCGACCGAUCUCAACCGCCACCGCUGCCGAUCUCAACCCACCCGCCUCUGCGGUCGUACCUCUCCCCGCUCACUGCCCCCGUUGCGGCGCUCGAGCGCAUCGCGUCGACCCUAGUCCACCCUGGCCUGUGCCCAGGCCGCUGCCACACCACNNNNNNNNNNNNNNNNNNNNNNNNNNNNNNNNNNNNNNNNNNNNNNNNNNNNNNNNNNNNNNNNNNNNNNNNNNNNNNNNNNNNNNNNNNNNNNNNNNNNNNNNNNNNNNNNNNNNNNNNNNNNNNNNNNNNNNNNNNNNNNNNNNNNNNNNNNNNNNNNNNNNNNNNNNNNNNNNNNNNNNNNNNNNNNNNNNNNNNNNNNNNNNNNNNNNNNNNNNNNNNNNNNNNNNNNNNNNNNNNNNNNNNNNNNNNNNNNNNNNNNNNNNNNNNNNNNNNNNNNNNNNNNNNNNNNNNNNNNNNCACCCGCCUCCGCGGCCGUACCUCUGCCCGCUUGCUGCCCCCGUUUCGGCGCUCGAGCACAGCUUCUGGAUCAAAUCAACGCGACAGCUACAGUGACUGGGGAUAAUGCGUCUGCUCGAUGCAGAACGGCGGCGGCGCACGGAUAAGGCGCGGCGGAGCGAAGUACUUGUAGGUUGAGACGGGUCUCCAUGGCUCAUACGGGAAACUCCAAGGUUAUGGCGCGGCAACGACGACUCCUUAUGGCCAGAUAGAGGCGUCUAACCCUUGCUCCCCUCAUCGUAUCCCCUCCUCCGACAGGAACUCAUCAUCUGGUGAGAUCCCCUCCCCAUUCCUCCAACCGUGUGCCAAGCACCGGCAAGAAAUUUUGUUUUGUGGGGAUUUGUUUGCUAAUGAAUGAAUGUAUUGAAUGUAAGAUUGUAUUGUUGUAGAAACAGAGAAUGGAAAACCACCUUCAGUUUAUCAUCUGAUCUCACAUUCUCUACCUCAUGAGUGAAAUAAGAUAACAGUCCAUUGAUCAAUUCACGUAGCCUCUCUGUUUUGCUUUGAUUGUCCCGCUCAAUUUCUCAUCAUGGUGGAAUUAACAAUGGACAGGUUGAUUUCUCAACAAAAUAGAAUAGGACUGACUACAUUAGUUAGUUAGCUUAUUAUUUUAAUAAAUCAAAAUAAUUAUAAAAACAUUAAAAGCGUAUGGUAUUUUUUUCCAUUGCAACGCACGGGCCCUUUUGCUAGUAUCAAUCAAUUGCAAUGCAAUCACGAACGUUACGGAUAACGGCAGCGCGUAGCCUCAUGUACACACAACAUCCGUGUCCAUUAUAUCGGUCCGUGUUAUCUCUUGCAUAAUGUUAUGACAUCUUACAAUCAUGAGGCGGUUAAAACUUAAGUUAGGGCUGCAUACCUGUGGAAAAAUGAACACAAACACUCGGCAAAGAAGGACCUUUGCCAAGUAUGGGCCGAUAGAAGUUCGACCGCCUCGUCGCCGACUGCGCCCGCUUCUUCAAGUCCGUCUGCGAUAAAAAUGAACACGUACGAAAUUAGCGAUCCCAUUUGCGAGGAUGGCGCUUGGCGACGCUGCUAACGACGCGUCCGGCGCCUAUCCUAGAGCUCGGUGGACCGACUGGGCAGAGGACGAAGACCGGGUGACGGCGGCCGCGAUGGUGGCCGACAGGCGCCCCUGCAUCGGGGAUCGACUUGCCGGCUCUGCUUCCCUGGUACGCUCUCAUCCCCUACCUCCUCUCCCUCUCUUCGACUGGGUCGCUCUACCGCUGGCCUUGGCGGUAGGGGCCGCCAGCCGUGGUCCUAGGGUGUGACAGGUCGGGCGGAGCUUGUGGCGGCGGCCUGGUCGUGGUGCCGUCCGGCGGGACGUGCAGGCCGUCUAGACUCCAGGGCGCUUGGCGAAGUACUCCCUCUUUUCCGGUUUAUAGGGCUCAAAUCUAAAAUCUCAUCAACCAAGAUGAAUUGUGAGUGGAUGACACUAGUUUAAACUAGCAAAUGAAAUAUUUCUCACAUACUCAAUUUCCAAGGCAAUAAAUGUAAUAUUCUUUCUUUCAUUGGACUUGCAUGAUGGAUGUAGAAAACGAUGCAUGCAUAGCCACUCAUCUCCUUUCUUUAAACUAUAUGAAUUAAAUAUGACGUGAGACUCAAAGCACUUUAAUUCACUUAGAGUCAAAAUGAGCCUAAUAUAAUGAAAAUCUGAAAUUUUUGAGAUGAGCCCUAUAAACCGGAAAGGAGGGAGUACUGGUUGGCCCAUCGGUGUUGGUUCCUCCCCACAUUGGCUCCUCCCUGGGUCCCCGCAUCCCGUCCUUGCCGGCCUUCAUGCAUUUCGGUGAUGUGUGUUCAGUUGGAGGAGAUGUCCUGUUAACUAUGAAUGUUGGAGUUCUGUCGAAUAUUGUUAACAAAUCCUAGUGUUGUGCUUCAUGUGAUUGGGUGAUCCUUCGGUGAUCGACUAUGCACCUUGGAUUUAUUCUAACAACGAAGACGUUCGUAGCGGCUUCGUCAAUCUUAAAAUUGUGCCGUGCUCUGCCAUUCGGAGAUGCUUAUAUAAACAGAAUAUAUUCACAAGAAUAUGUAUAUAUAUGGGCAUGUAUGAGCUUCUUGUGUUUAGAAAAGGAAGGAAUUAUGGUCCCGGGUGCGACCUCGAGUGUCGGAAUCACUUCCAAAUUGGCACCCAAUGAACUGCAGUUCCACCGUGCUACGUUGUAGGACGGCUACCCGCCAUCAAUCUUCUAACGCCCAACAACCAACCGGAAAGGAGGGAGUAUGAUGGAGGGGGACGGCUACCUUGCAGUACUCCUCUUAAGCUUGUCUCCUUAAUUUUGUAAUUAAUCGCAAGGAAACAUGUAGUACUACGGAUGCAAGACUUGGCACCACGAAUUAUUGUUCCAUCGCUACAUACUACGAGACAGCUACCCGGCAUUAAUAUCCCACAACGACACACACACCUGGGUUCGCCUCCUCUAGAGUUUGAUUUGUUUUUUUUUAAGGAAAAUAUAUUAAUAUCAAUCAUAUACUAAUUAUACCUAGCCUCUGUACUAAUAACAAGAUGUCUAAGAACAUCCAGAAUGCACACAACCAAAAAUAAAAUAAAAUAAAAUAAAAUAACCUACCACGGUGAUCAAUCACCCGCGGUAGCAACACUCUAACCACUAUCAAAUACAACAAUUCAUAAGGGUUGUCGUUGCCUGAUCAAAGAUUGUAGGUUUUCACCUAGAGAAGAACCGCGUUCCUAAAACAAUGACUUCAACAAGGCUACUGCCAGACACAACCAAUAAAGGCCAUACCUUCAAUUUUCAUCCUCAAAAUCAUGGCUAGAUACUCAAAGCAGCACCAUCAACAAAGAAGUCCUUCAAUAUUGUCGCCCCCACUUGUGGAUGCUACUACUACAAGUCACUUACCAAGAGGUUCAUAGGAACUUGUGUCCGGUCUGGAUGGGAACAUAUCCCGCAAGUCAAGUCUGAACAGCUGCCUGUGAAGCAAGGUCUUGUUCGCACCCAAGACCCCGCCUUCAUCACUUGCAUGUCCUCCGAUCACUCCAUGGCAUUCUCCGCAUAUGUUGAUUCCUUGGAAAUAUUGAUGCAGACAAUGUCCCAAGGUGUCAACAAAAACAGAGUUUCACGAUACCCCGAUGAAUCUGGCUAUACUAAUGUUGCGGGUGCACACGACCAUCCACUAUCCAACGAAGAUAUCCAAAGAGCAUCAUAUAUGCAUGUCUUCGUGUUUCUUCGAAGGAGAAACCCAGAACUCAUUGAUGGGUUAGAUCAAAGAGGGGUGAACAACCACCAUUGCCUCGACAUGCCGCCACACCAAAGACACCACCCACCGUAGCUCAAAGCGUGGUACCCGCGAAGGCGAGGAGACUCACUGCAGGAGGCAGGCUAGCCUGGCCAAAAUGCACCCCGUGAACGAGAAUAUGGGGUCGGGCCUCCAAGUCCACGAGCACCUGCCUCCUGCUCCUUCACGGGAAAAUGGUGGGUCGGGCCUCCAAGUCCACGAGCACCUGCCAUGCAUGGCAGAAAGUCCAGGAGCAGACGCGCACCUCUGUGUCGCAUAUUGUCGUAUUGUCGUAUUUUUUGAAAUAAGCGUUGUCGUAUUGUGCCUUGCCGCCACCUUCCUUGGGGGCGGCCCGGGCUUCGCCGGAGGGCGCCCUCUGCCGACGGGGAGACGGGCAGGAGGAGAAGGUGAAGGCGCUAGGGUAUUUUACCCAAAAAAAAGAGUUUGAUUUGUUACAGCUUAAAGGUUAUAGCUAUUGAUUUUUUUUUCUUGACAAGGAAUAAUAUUUGGGAAAUGAUUAGAAUCGUUCGGUCGAUCUACGCCGUACGAGUUCAGCGGUGAUGGCGGUAAAAAUAUAUUAUAAUCUUUAAUGAUCAUGAUCAUAUUUUACUGCAUCACUGAGAUACACUAUCAUCCUCAUUUGUGAAAUAAUGAAUAUUUUUGCAAUUAUCGACAUUUUGUUAUAUUUCAAAUAAAUAAUACACAAAAAAAUUCAAAAAUUAUGUACAUUUUUUAUUUCCCAAACUUUUGUUUUCAUAAUUGCGCAUAUUGUUUUAACUAUCAAACGUUUUUCUAAACAAUGGCCAAUAUUUUUUGAAUCCACAAACAUUUUGUGAUUUAUUAAAAAAGGUAAAAUUCUCAAAUGUGUUUGGUUUUCGUUACUUUUUUAAGUCCUGAUUUAUUUAAUGUAGAGAAAAUGAAAACAGAAAACAAAAUACGAAAUUUAUAAAACAGGCCAGCCUAACAUGGGCUGGCCCAAACAGGCAUGCUUCAUCUUCUGCCUACACGCGGAGCGCACUAUAGGAGGUCCCUACUACAUGGAUCAGACCAGACGAGGAUUUCUUUCUGUGAAACAUUUUUUUUAUCAUUUAUAGACGAUAUUGUUGGUAAUAUUUUGGAAUUUGGAGGUGAUUUCUGUGACGCACCGCCAAAACCAAUAUCAUUUUUAUUAUUACUAGCACAAAUGCCCGUGUGUUGUAACGGGAGACAUUACUAAUUCUUUUUAAAUAGUUAGAAUAACAUGAGAAAACCACAAUGAUAGUUCAUGUGAUAUUCAGUGCUUACCAAGAUCCAUGGACCCAUACAAUACCAAGUUAUAUACUAAUUCCCCAUGCACUUACAGUGUGUUUAAAUACAACUAUAAUUCGUUAUCAUGUUCAAGUAAAAAACAUAAUUGGUUAUCUUUCAUCUCCGUUUGAAAUAAAUUGCAUGAUGUUGCAGUUGUUGCCGGGCCGUGCCGUUGUCACACAUUAAUAACAACAUGUAAAAUAAUAAUGCUGAAAUCUUGGCAUCUUACACAAAUAAUUGUAGAAAACAAAAAUAGCAAGUCGCAAGCUCUAGAGGGCCUAAAAACAUGUGUUUCAAUUGUGAAAGGAUGAUACAUAUGUUAUUCACUUUUAAGGAGAAGAUGUAUCGAUUUAUCUCUAUAAGUAAAAUUAAUAUUAAUUAAAAGCAUAAACAAUGAGAUCACAUUGUUGAUGGACAUAUUAAUAUAAUUUAUGGAAGAAGAUAAUGGAUACACUUUGGUUGACUCAAUAGCAUUAUUUUUUUACCAAAACAUGCCCGUGGAAAGAAAAAAAAAACCAUAUGUCCCUAGUCCAAGUAGAGUGUGUCCAAGUCUCGCUAUUUCAACAGUUCACAUACAUGUCGCUGUUUAUCCUUUAUCUUCGACAACAAAUACUUUCAUAAUCUAGUUGAUGAGCAGCUUACACACAGAAUAUACUUAAUGGUAGUUAAUUUAGUAAUCUACAAUAUAGUAGGAUUAAUUAUGCAUACGGUCUUAUACUCAUGGCAGACUAAAAUUUAAAGGAACCAAGCACUUCAUCUAGCUCAUUAUUUAACAACACGUAGGUACAUAAUUUCAACCUAUCACAAAAUACUCAGAACAAAGUAUUGUGCUGGUCCCCACAAACGAAUAGAGGUGAAGUGUUUCAAUUCACCUAACCUAAUCUACAUGGUCUAUGUAGUGGAACAACUGUGCUUCUUAUCACGUGCUAGGCCGCGGAGGUUGGCUAGAAAAGCAAGAUAAAUGAUAAACAUUAUUUCUAGCAAAAAUAAUUAAACAUAAGUAACAUUUCUUUAGAUGUAAACAGAAGUCAACUAUGUAUACUAAGAACAUAAAAUAGAAUGAAGUUUUGUUCACACAACAUCCCAACCUAAAAAAUCUGGGUCUAAGCUAAUGGUGACAUGCUUUGGUCUCGAUCUGUCUACAAAUAAUCCGCACCAGCUAUAAUUUCGCCAAUUCAGUACGAAACAUUUUCAACAUUUUAUUAAACAUCUUGCAUGCUAGAACAUUUUCAGCAUGCAGUGAGCAAUGAUACACAUUAUCCCAGUAAAACUACCGGAUCAUCCUUUGGGCUGGCUGAACUUCUAAUAUGCAGCUAGCUUGUGAGUCAAACAAUUUAACUAUGCAAGUAAUCUAUAUUCGUUAAUAAUAACAGAAACAUAUCAAAUGAUUGUAUCCUGAAUUCCUCAUUAAAGAAACCAAUGCUUGUGAGUCAAAGCAAUUCCUGAUAUUGUCGUCCGUGGAGUGGUCCUUUAUCGUCCGCUUCGAUAAACGACAAAGAAGUUGAUUCCUGUAGUGAUCUGUGAAUAUUUGGGGGUCUGAAUUUGCUAUUUGUGGUUGUAGAUGCUCUUAGGAAUGGCAUGACUUAACCCAAGAUUUAUUGCUACAUAGUUUCAUUUUAGCUUUGUACCCAAAAUAGAUGAUCAAGAAUAUUGAGGAAUGUAUGAAAGGAGGUGAUCAAGAAUUGCGAAGGUAGCAAAGGAGCAUAUGGAGCGAUCAUAUCUUAAAUAAACACAUAGAUAUUUAGCUUCGAAUUGUAGUUUUACUUUUGAGUUUAGAGAGGCAAAUAUGGAUACCGAUAGGUUAGCCAAGUUUUCGUCUUCUAUGGAUAAAGGACACAUGUAUGGAUGGGCGAUCCUCAUAUUCCCGUUUCUAUGUUCUCUCCUCGCGAAUCCCACCUAGCUCAUAUGUGGUUCUCUCUUUCUACAUCUCUCCUGGAUCCUUCACACGACCCCCGCGUCGUCCCCAGGUCAAGCGACUUGGGCGGCGCCCUAAACCCAACAGUCGGGGGCAAAUACUCCCUCAUCCCCUUCCUGCUCCAUCGCCGGAGGACGCCGCCGGUCUAUGCCCCGGGACCGACGGCGGUGGCGGAGGACAUCGCCUCUCUCUCGCGGAUCUGGGGCUGUGCGGGGCCCCAAAUCAUGUGGAGGCGCGCCCGAUCUAAUCGGCAACAGCCACUGCUAUCACGCGGUAACGUUGGAGGUGGUGCGGGCUACGGAUGUUGGGGAACGUCGCAUGGGAAACAAAAAAUUUCCUACGCGCACGAAGACCUAUCAUGGUGAUGUCCAUCUACGAGAGGGGAUUUCCGAUCUACGUACCCUUGUAGAUCGCACAGCAGAAGCGUUAGUGAACGCGGUUGAUGUAGUGGAACGUCCUCACGUCCCUCGAUCAUCCCCGCAAACCGUCCCACGAACCGUCCCGCGAUCCGUCCCACGAUCUAGUGCCGAACGGACGCAACCUCCGCGUUCAGCACACGUACAGCUCGACGAUGAUCUCGGCCUUUAUUGAUCCAGCAAGAGAGACGGAGAGGUAGAUGAUCUCGGAGGCCCAAGUUGCAACAGGGCGGCGCGCCGUGAUCCCCUUUUGACUCCGAUUCGAUUCCCACUGCAAUUCGAUUUGAUCUCCUCGCAACUCGGAUCGGUCGCGCCAAUCCACCCCAUAAAUCCAUCCACGCACACCCACCAACAGACGAAGCAACGAUUUAUGAUCUUGAUCUUGAAGACGAAGAAUUUAUGACUUGAGCUUCAUCUUGAUCCACCAAGAGUCGGUCCGAUUUGGGAUCGAUCGGGAAGACGAAGCAGCGAUUUGUGAGGCAAUCGAAUUGGGAUCGAUUGACGAAGGUCUUGAAGACGAAGCAGCGAUUUGAUUUGACAGGCAUAGGCUGCUCGCAAGACCAAGGUAUAGUCUUGAAGAUCGAUCCAUGGCCGACUCCUCCCGAUUACGGCUACCCGUCCUUUGUCCUCGUCGAUCCAAAGGCCUACUUCGCCGACUGCAGGAACGCCUUGUGCGAUAUGAAGGCCCCCAAUCUCCACGGCCAACUCCAGGUCACCUUCUGCGCCGUCGCCCCGCCGCUCGUCUCCUACUUCUGCGUCCACGCCACCCACAUGGACCACACCGAGUUCGCCGUCGAGCCCUUCAUCAUCGCCACCGAGACCGACAGCGGCCUCGUCCUCGUCCCCGGUGACCAUCCAACCGAUGUCCAGGCUUCCCAUAAUCGCCACUACUUCGUCUACGACGCCUGCCACCGCCAACUUUACCACCUCCCGCAACCCGACUUGUACCACGAAAUCAACAUGUUUUCAUGCGCAAGCCCAACAACCGCCCCAAAGGCACCGGCACCGGCACCGGCACCAUCAACGAUGGCUUAAACCUAGGCCCCCAUGGACCUGGACAGGCGGAGGCCGGUCACUUCGUCGUUGCCGCACAAGCUCACAUGUUCUGGGGUGAAAAACCUCCUCAGCUCUGCAUCUACCACUCUGCUACCAAGGCCUGGAGCAAGAAGCCGGUGGUGGUACAUUCAUCUCCAGAAGACCACUUAGACAUGCACCGUAUGCAGGAGCCACUCCUCCAUUGGUCUUUGAAGCAAUUAGUGUUGCUGGAGCUGCGGGUGUAAUUUGACUUCCAAAGAUGCAUGCUACUGUGAUGACAUUAUUGCACCACAAACCGACACCGCGCGGGGCUACAUGUCUCCGAUGGUACGGUGAGCACAACACUAUGAGAAUGGAUAUGCAUGCGCGCGUGUGGCUGCGAGGCAUGAAAGAGAAAUAACGGGUCAAUCUAACGGUCAUGAUCAUGUCAAUCUAGCGGCUAGGGAGGCGGCUGAGGGAUCAUCCGGUUGGUUCCUAGCACUGGCCAAAACCUCCUCAGCUCUGCAUCUAUCACUCUGCUACCAAGGCCNNNNNNNNNNNNNNNNNNNNNNNNNNNNNNNNNNNNNNNNNNNNNNNNNNNNNNNNNNNNNNNNNNNNNNNNNNNNNNNNNNNNNNNNNNNNNNNNNNNNNNNNNNNNNNNNNNNNNNNNNNNNNNNNNNNNNNNNNNNNNNNNNNNNNNNNNNNNNNNNNNNNNNNNNNNNNNNNNNNNNNNNNNNNNNNNNNNNNNNNNNNNNNNNNNNNNNNNNNNNNNNNNNAUCUCCAGAAGACCACUUCACAACCAAGACAUUCACCAUUGGAGGACCCCAAGGGGCACCGUGGCCUGGGUGGAUCUCUGGCACAACAUCGUCUUCUGCGACGUGCUCGCCAGGCACCCCAAGCUCACCUGCCUCGAUCUGCCACCGAGCAUCAGGCCCGGCCCCGACGUGGGGAUUGGUGAUCCAAGGUCUCUUCGCAACAUUGCGGUCCUUGGCAACACCAUCAAGUAUGUCGAGAUGCUGCCUCACCCUGACAGAAGCUCCUCUAACCCCCCCCCCCCCCCCCNNNNNNNNNNNNNNNNNNNNNNNNNNNNNNNNNNNNNNNNNNNNNNNNNNNNNNNNNNNNNNNNNNNNNNNNNNNNNNNNNNNNNNNNNNNNNNNNNNNNNNNNNNNNNNNNNNNNNNNNNNNNNNNNNNNNNNNNNNNNNNNNNNNNNNNNNNNNNNNNNNNNNNNNNNNNNNNNNNNNNNNNNNNNNNNNNNNNNNNNNNNNNNNNNNNNNNNNNNNNNNNNNNNNNNNNNNNNNNNNNNNNNNNNNNNNNNNNNNNNNNNNNNNNNNNNNNNNCCCCCCUCCUAUCGUUGGGAGGUGGCAGCAUGGAGCAUACACAAGGCACGUCGGUCCUGGCCCAAGGACUGGCACGCCGAAUGCAAGCUCGAUUCCACCCAUUUAAAGGUUGAUGACGGUUCUGGUACAAUAGCGUCUACCUUCCCAACCUUGUCGACUCUCCACGUUGGCCUGCCCACCUUCAGCCUGCAGAAUGAUGCCAUUUUUUACUUCCUCGCCAAGGUUGACUAGCGCCAAAGCGAGCACACAGCUUGGGUGCUUGUUGUUGACAUGCAGACCAAGACUGUCACGCAAGCCGUCCAGUUUUGUGCCGAGAGGACUCUUGGUUUAGCCCGAGGAUUUGAAGCAAGUAGCUUCUCGGCAUAUCUCAAAGCGUAAUAUUUUUUUUGUUUGAUUGAAGAUUGUAGCUUAUUUGUACUGAUGCCUUACCGUCUGUUACUUGCAGUACAAAAAGGGUGUUACUAUAUACAUAUGUGCGUAAAAAAUAAAACUUAGCUAGGUUGAAAGACUUACGUGGAUUUUUUAGGGCAUGAUAACGCGCAACGGCUUUCGCGCUGGUUGCUCAAUCCGUUGCUUCUUUGGUUCGAGGUUGAGCUCACCCUCCGCCCUACGUGAGUAUCAGUUUUCUUCCUAAGCUACCAACGUCCACCUAUAAUGCGCUUGUCCUUUUUGGCUUGUAAAAGGUUCCAUAGUCUAAUCAUGGACAUAUCUGGUUUUUUAGGUUAAAUAAAUAAGUUUUGCGAAGUAUAAGUCGACUUAGACUUCGUUAUGUCUCAAUCAAUCGAUACUAUGCCUUUGAUCUUGCAUGGAGAUCCGUUUUUCAAUAAAUGGCGCUUUAUUAACUUAAAAUAUAGCAUCGAGCAGAUACAAAACAGAAAGAGCAACACCCGGUCUUUGCAUAAUUAGGAUGCACACAACCAUCAAACGAACAGUCUCACAAAGAUUAUAAAAUGACAAAGUGGCAACAGUAAAGUCAUAUGAGACAGAAACUAUGCCUAUGUCGAUGAAGAAGGUGGGCCGAUACGGAGAGUAUUUUAUCAUCCAUGUUGGAUAAAAACCUUCCUGGCCACCCGCUCUAACCGCAUAUACACCGUUUUGAACAGUGAUUGGCACUCCACAUACGAAACGAGUGCGUACAACGGUAAAUAGCCUGCAUAGAAGAAGAGACUUUGCAAUUAAAAACAUAAUUAUUUCUACAUAGCCAAAACGGCCAUAAUAAGGAAGACCCUCCCACCCGUAUUAGCGUACUAAAAAUAUUUUGUAUUCCGUCAAGCCAUUGGCCAUAUAUAUUGGCAAGAUUUGUUGGUGGAUACAUAUUUGACGCUAUUUGGAUGACUGGUCAUGUGAAACGCGCAAAUUUGCAUUGAAUUGAUUGUCUCGUCAUGAGUAUAAAAAAUACACGUCUUGCUUCCUUUCUAGUUGCGUCGAAUGAGGUUGCCUUUAGUUAGCACAACUCCUCUCUGGAGAUACCACAUGAAAAUAUUAACUUUUAGUGGCAUCUUAACUUUCCAUAUUUGGUUAUCAUUGUCCACUGGAAUGUUUUUGUGCGAGACCGUACGAUACAUAGAGUCAACGGUGAAGGGCUUAGAUGUAGUAAACACAUCCCGUCCUUGUGUCAAGUUAAUCGUAUCCAGACAGGAUAGAAGAUGUUGUCGUGACACAUGACGGGGGCCAAUCAAACCCCUCCCGCGAAUUUUGGGGGGCCCGACGAUCCAGCACGGUAUCCAACGGUCAGACCCGGUGGGGGGGGGGGGGNNNNNNNNNNNNNNNNNNNNNNNNNNNNNNNNNNNNNNNNNNNNNNNNNNNNNNNNNNNNNNNNNNNNNNNNNNNNNNNNNNNNNNNNNNNNNNNNNNNNNNNNNNNNNNNNNNNNNNNNNNNNNNNNNNNNNNNNNNNNNNNNNNNNNNNNNNNNNNNNNNNNNNNNNNNNNNNNNNNNNNNNNNNNNNNNNNNNNNNNNNNNNNNNNNNNNNNNNNNNNNNNNNNNNNNNNNNNNNNNNNNNNNNNNNNNNNNGGGGGGGGGGGGGGGUGAUAGAGGAGCGGCAAUAAUGAAUUUACGGUUUGCCCCGGAAUAGAUGAGCUUGGAAUCAGCUAUCCCCGGGUACAUCCUGCACAGGCUUUUCUUUCUGCUUAGCUUGUGUCAACCCGGCAUGUACAUUUUACUUGGAUUUCCAUCUUCCCUGCAACAAGUGCCUAAUAGCUAUUCACUAUCUUCUUCCUAGCUCAUCAACGGGAUGACAUAGGCAAAUAAUAUGUGGGCUCCUAAUUAAAUUUGUCGGCCACUGACCACUAACAAAAUCGGGUGUUUGGUCUAGUGGUAUGAUUCUCGCUUCGGGUGCGAGAGGUCCCGAGUUCGAUUCUCGGAACACCCCCAUUUUGUUUAUUAUUUGUGUUGGUAUUGUUGGCGGUUGGACCGAAUCUGCCAACAGUUCAGCCAAAUUUGACCGAAAUUUAUCAGGGCUGCCUUUUUGUUUUUCCUUAUUCUGAUUCGGAACGAGGCCGCUGCAUCGAUCGACUAAUGGACGCAUGCAGCCAUGGUGCUUUCCACAUGUGAAUCCAGCAUGCAAUAACGGAUGUCAACAGGUCCUUGUGCCGUACGUGGUUGCGUUGCGUCAAACUAAAUGCUGAUGACUCUAUUUGAAUGGUGGUGAAAAACAUUAUUACCAACAGAAUAAAUAUGCCUACUAUGAAAAUAUCCGUCAUGCUUCAAAAGAGUGAGCAUUAUAUAUUAGACUAGCUAGCCUCCUUGGCUCCAGGUGAAGGCAUGAGAUGCAUGCAUGAUCUCUCUUCUUUCUGCUCUAGCGUACGAGCAUUCGACUUGACUAGCAACAACUCACCAAGCCCUGAGUUAUCACUUCUUUAGGAGGCAUAACAAGAGACGAGGUCGCUAUGACAAAUCAACGACGGCGUUGUACGUUAGCAGAAGGCCCCAACACUGACAAAAAUCUAUGAGAAUUUGAAGGGUUGUGGCUGGGAAAUAACGAUAUUCACAGUUGUGCGUGGAACCCCUAUUAGCGUCUAUAGUUAGGUUGAGUAGAUCCUUCGUGUGUUCUGGCCUUGUGCUUGUGGGUAGUAUAGCUGAAAGGGAAUUCAAAACUCACAUUUGUUCUUAUAUUUUUACCCUUAUAUGUUCCCUCAAAUUCAAAAAAAGAACGUCAAAGCGCGUACUUUAAAUCCUUAAAAUGGUAAAAAAAAAUCAAGUUCAUGGUGAUGUUGUGCAUGUGUGAAUCCUAAAUCUUUUUUAUUCAUCUUCCAAAGGGAAAGAGUAGAUCUAAAAAUGGUUGAAAAAGGUCAAGGUUUUUUUAUUCAUCUUUAGGCCUUUAGUCCUUUCACUCAUGAGUACUCCUACAAGGGCUCUAAUGGGCUGGCCCAUUAAUGUUCAUUUUUUCAUAAAUAAAAGUUAUUUUCGUUUCAAAGCAAUUUGAUGUUACCAAAAUAUAUCAACUAAUGUAUUAUGAAAAUAAAGAAAAAUAAAAUUAUUAUGAAUGUUUAAAAGUGUACGUGUAUUUAAAAUGUAUAAAAAGAAUUAAUAUUAACCAGUUUUAAAAUAAUGUUCAUCAAUUAAUAAAGUUUCACGGAUUUUAAGAAAUUCUAUUAAUUUAAGCAAUAUUGAUGAAUUUUAGUUUUUAUUAAUUUAUCAAAAUAUUUAAAUUUUACAUAUGUCCACAAAGAUUAAAAAAUAUUAUUGUAUUAAAAAGAAGAAGAAGAAAAAUAAACAGAAAGAGGAGAAGAGAAAUGAAAUGGUAACUGAAAUGUUGGAGCAAAUAUGAAAAAACAUACCUAAAAGAAAAGGAAAUAGAAAAAAAUGGCAGAACGGUUGAAAACACAAGAAAAUACACAAAACAAUUACACCUAUGUAAUUCGUCCAUCUUGGUAAGAAUAGGAGAAAUUUCAUUUUACCCAUUCAUAAGUAUACAAUACAGGCCCAAAAACAUAAUAGGGAGCAACUAUCUAAGCAGCGCUCCUUUUGGAGCCUCCUAAGUCUCACUAUCAGGCGCCAUCAUUUGGCGUGUUCUAUGGAUUUUAUUUUAUUUUGCAUGUGUUUUCGACUUUUUAGAUGAUUUUUUUCUAAUUAUUUUGGUGUUUUCGUUUUUCAUUGGUCUUUCUUAGCUUAUGGACGAAAAAAAAUCUAAAAACAAUUGCGUGACAAAACACGUUUUUUUCUUCCUCGAGAGACACGGUUUUGCUUCUACGAGAGCCAUCGUGCCUCUCCGAAACAAAAAAAAACGUGUUUUUCCUUCCUCGAGAGGUGCAUUUUAUCUUCCGCAAGAGGCAUGGUCGUGAUUCCUGGAAACAAUAAAAUGUGUUUUCUUUUUUUCCCUUUCUCUAGAGGCACAGAUUUGCUUUCGCGACUGUGCCUCUAAAAAAAAGAACAUACUUUUUUUUCUUUGAGAGGCACAAUUUUGCUUUUGUGAGAGGCACGAUUUGCUUCCGCGAGAGGCACGGCUGUGCCUCUCCAAAAAAAAGGGUGUUUUCUUUAGAGGCAUAGUUUUUUCGUGAGUUUUCUUUUCUUCAAAAUCUAUCAACACGGGAUCUAGUUUUAAAGAUCUCGACGCGAGGAAUCCUACGAUGAAAAAGACUCAAGAUUUGAACACACGGUUUAAGAAAAAAAUAUUUUAAAAUAACGGAUCUACGAAAAUUAACUCACCGAUUGCGACAAGUGGCACACAUGCAAAUGCGUCACUUGUCGCAAGCUGAGGAGGUGGUACCGACCUUUGAAAAAGUACUUCUUAAUUAAUGAUUUCGAACAAAAUAGGCUAGGCUGUUUGAGGCAUGAUGGAUGUGGGUGCUCCUAUUCUGCACCUUCUGCUCCAUGUUAUACAUAUAAUGCGCAUGUCAAUUGACAUGGGCUGACCCAAUAACUUUCUCACUCACGCUCUUGUUCUUUUUCUUUUUGCUCGCCUUAUUUCCGCCCCUCCGUUAUCUGGAGAAAAAGGCUGCCGGUUUUCUUGUUAUUUCAGGAGAAAAAAAUGAUGAAACCAGAACGCAAAAAAUGUUCCUGAUGUCAAAUAUAUUGGUGAAUUUGAAAAGUAUUACCAAGACAUUGACAAAGGUGCGAAACAAGAUUUGCCAAAAUAUAAUACAAGGUACGACACGAAUCUCAAUGCUGAUGAUCCAAUGGCCAUGAACUUGACCAAGACUUUGCUAAACCUCAGUUGACCGACUGACUGAGGUCUAGCCAAACAGUCUUUCUUAUUACCACACACGACUUAUGAUUCAGACAGUUGGCCUGCAACCGUUGAAAAACAAAUUAAGUCUUAUACAGCUGGCCGGCCUCUCUUAAUUCUUACGGCACCUACCUACGUACGUACCGCCGACCAGCAAGGGGGUCGACCGGAUGUGGAAUAUCCCGCCAAAAUGACACAUUUUUGCCCCUAGUUACCUUCGCUCCUGCCAUGUCGAGGUGCGUUCCCCAGCACUAGCCUCCAAGUAAAUUUCACGAGGGAGACAAAAUAAGCACAUGCAUCGCUUCCUCUCAUUCUAAAUAUAAGAUCUUUUAAUGAUUUCAUCAUGAACUACAUACGAUAUAAAAUGAAUGAAUCUACACAUAAAAUUAUGUCUAUAUAUAUAUAUAUAUAUAUAUCUGUAUGUAGUCACCGAUGAAAUCUUUAAAAUGUCUUAUAUUUAGGAACGGAUGGAGUAGAUGGAACGGCUGCUUCCGUCAUGUAUACUUUAUUUUUCGUCUUUGCCAAGGGUAUUAUUCUGUCGUGUGUGUUUGUCCAUGUGUGUUACUUAAUUUGUAAAAGUAUGCCCGUGUGUGUUGAGUCGAUGAGAAAUGUAUGACCCGAGUCGUGCGCGGAAUAUGCUGCAUGCCAGCCAACCAGCACGAGGCAGACGGAGCCUACGAGCGACGACGACAGUUUUCCCUCGUUGCCGCCGUCCUCCGGUUCAUCGUCAUUAUCUCCGGCCAGACCACAGUUAUAAGAACCACGGCGAGCAAGCAGCCAAGCACGGAAGUUGAGUUGAAAGUUAAUUGAGACACACACACGGUCUCAUUCUCGUCUCAUAAAAGCGCCCUAUAUCGAGAGAGGGGAGGAAAAAGUUUGGGACGAAGAUGGCGGAGAAUGGGGCGGCGGGCGGAGGAGGGGGGCAGAACCUUGCCGUGCUCGACGCGCUGGACUCGGCGCGCACCCAGAUGUACCACAUGAAGGCCAUCGUGAUCGCCGGCAUGGGCUUCUUCACCGACGCCUACGACCUCUUCUGCAUCACCACCGUCUCCAAGCUGCUGGGCCGCCUCUACUACCCGGACACCAACCUCGGCAAAAACCCGCCCAUGCCCGGCACCAUGCCCGUGCGGAUCAACAACAUGGUCACCGGCGUCGCGCUCGUCGGCACCCUCAUGGGCCAGCUCGUCUUCGGCUACUUCGGGGACAAGCUCGGCCGCAAGCGCGUCUACGGGAUCACGCUCGUCCUCAUGGCCGCGUGCGCCAUCGGCUCCGGCCUCUCCUUCGGGAGGGACCCCGGCGCCGUCAUCGGCACGCUCUGCUUCUUCCGCUUCUGGCUCGGCUUCGGCAUCGGCGGGGACUACCCGCUAUCCGCCACCAUCAUGUCCGAGUAUGCCAACAAGAAGACCCGUGGCGCCUUCAUCGCCGCCGUGUUCGCCAUGCAGGGCGUCGGCAUCAUCUUCGCGGGGCUCGUCUCCAUGAUCGUCUCCGGCAUUUUCCUCCACUACAACCCCGCGCCCACGUGGAAAGAGGACAAAUACUACUCAGUUCAAGAUCAGAAGCCCGCGGCGGACUACAUGUGGCGCAUCGUGCUCAUGCUCGGGGCGUUCCCGGCGGUGGCCACCUUCUACUGGCGGAUGAAGAUGCCCGAGACCGCCAGGUACACGGCCCUCAUAGAGGGAAACGCCAAGCAGGCUACCAACGACAUGCAGAAAGUGUUGGAGAUUCGCAUCGACGAGGAGCAGGAGAAGGUCGCCAAGUUCAGGGCGGCGAAUGAAUACUCUCUGUUGUCCAUGGAGUUCGCCCGGCGUCACGGCUUGCACCUCAUCGGCACCACAACCACCUGGUUCCUCCUCGACAUCGCCUUCUACAGCCAGAACCUGACACAGAAGGACAUCUUCCCAGCCAUCAAACUCACCGGCGGCGCAGACACCAUGAACGCCCUGAGAGAGGUGUUCGUGAUAUCACGAGCCAUGUUCCUCAUCGCCCUCUUCGGCACUUUCCCUGGCUACUGGGUCACCGUGGCCCUCAUCGACAAGAUGGGAAGGUACGUAUCUACUGAUCCCUCCAUUUCAUAAUUAAUUAUGAAACGGAGGAAGAAUAUAUAUGCAGACGCAUGCAGUCCAUGCGCCACCGACCGACUUGGUUUUACAUUUAGACAUCAUUUGAACAUCCGGCCGUAAACUGAUUGCAUUGCAGGUACUUGAUCCAGCUCCUUGGUUUCUUCAUGAUGUCCCUCUUCAUGCUAGUGAUGGGCAUCAAAUACGAAUACCUCAAGAGCAACGGCCACGCCCUCUUCGCCAUCCUCUACGCGCUCACAUUCUUCUUCGCAAACUUCGGACCAAACAGCACCACCUUCGUGCUGCCGGCCGAGCUAUUCCCGACGCGCGUCCGCUCCACAUGCCAUGCCAUCAGCGCGGCCUCGGGCAAGGCGGGCGCCAUCGUCGCCGCCUUCGGGGUGCAGACCCUCACCCUCAAGGGCGACCCCAAGCACAUGAAGCAGGCGCUCAUCAUCCUCUCUGUCACCAACAUGCUCGGCUUCUUCUUCACCUUCCUCGUCCCCGAGACGAUGGGCCGGUCGCUCGAAGAGAUCUCCGGCGAGGACGGCAACGUCGCUGGCGCGGCCGCUGGGCAUGUCGAUAAGGAUGUUGAAAAGGCCCCUCCUUCAAGCACCGAAUGGCAGCCGCCAUCGUCGAUGAAUGCAUGAUGAGAAUUUUAUCUUCUAUACCAACUAGCGAAUUGGAAAAGGGACAAGAAUAAUGGCAACCAGCUGCAUGAUGCUACAUAAGUUGCCAGGUAGUACUUGCUUUGAGAGUUUUAUCUACGGGUAUAUUGCACUAUUGCUUGUGUGUGAUACCAUUGUAUUAAGGUUGUAUUGGAUUUUAUGUGUGGAUGUAUGACCAUUGGCUUGGGAUUUCCCUUCUCAAUAAUCGUCAAUAUAUAUGUACCGCUACAUAUAAUCAUGUCAAGUUUACAGAAUUAAUAUAACCAUGUCAAGUAUGCAUCUGUGUUUCUUUUCCAUUUCCUUUUUUGCGCGACAGAGAUAAAUUAUAUUACAUCUCUAUAAGUUAAGGAACUGGUAUUUUUCUCGUUCCCAAAUCUCCAACCGAGCAGUUAGAAGGAGCAAACUACAAAGAUUGUACUCACCACAGUACGAUACUCAAAUAGCGUUACACAUUCAUUGUUGGUAAAAAAAACAUUGGCGACAGAAAGGGGUUGUCACCUAUGGUGCUGCCAGGAAAGGUCUUUGCUGACAGAUAUUUCUGCUUGGAUAUUGUAUGAAGGAAGAGAGAAGAAACUUACACCAACUAGUGCCCCUUAGUGAUUUUGGUGGUUUGAAGACUUAUAGGUUAAGUAUCUAAUAUGUUUGUGAGUAUACACAGGAUCUAUAAGUCAUUGAGGAGUUUGAGAUAUUUGAAGAAUAUCGACCCCUAAAAAUAUAUGUCUUCAUUUGAAGAAAUUGGUCUGAAGCUGAAGAAAUGAAUCACGAGGAAUCUGCGAUGAAAUUGAUAUUCCUCAUGAAGAUAUUGAUAUUGAGAAGAUCGGUGGUUCCUGAAGAAAAUCAUUUUGAAGAAAUUGAAGCGUGAAGAUUUACGUUUUCUGUUUUACUUUCUUCGCAUUUGAUGAAUAGGAACACCGUACUGUUAAAGGGGGUCAAAGUAACGCUAUGGAAUGAAUUUCCUCAUGAUGCUCAACCCAAGCCAAAAUCCUACCAAAAGCCUCAAGUGAGGAAUAUGAGUGACAUGAGGACUCUCACAGCUGAAGGUCCCGACCGUUUCGAUNCCCAGGCUAUAAAUAGCCGCCCCCCACAACCACUAGCUGGUUGGCUGCUCCGUUAGAAACUAACACUUGUCAUAAGAGCAACCCAAAUUUUUCAGAGCCUACGAAGUAAAUCAUCAGUGAGGAAAUACACUACCCACCGAAACCACAAACCAAACCUAGUGAUUGAGCAUCACUGAAGAAGUUGUUCCUGUGUGGGACUGAAGCCUUUUACCUUUGAGGACUGUGCAUCCUCCAGACGGUUAGGCGUCAUGGUCUAGAGCAAUCCAGCAGUCAAUUGUGGAUCGCCGGGUGACCGAGUUCGUGAGGGUUUGGAAGUCUGCCCUGAAGACUUACCACGAGUGUUGGGCGAGGACUGUGUGUCCUUAGCUCAAGGAGAAUACGGUAGGGACUGUGUGUCCCGGGACUGGGUGUCCUUUGGUUUCAAUACCAAGCCGCUCCAAACCAGAUGUACAACUGUCACAGCAAUUGGAACUGGGUCAUCAACAACAGUCUUCACCAAGAAUCGGGUUCUAAUUCCUCAACUCUUUACAUUUUCUGUAUUAUGUUUUGAUGACAUUCACUGUGACUGUUUGAUCUCUGGUAUAUUGUGGAAAAUGGUGUCCCCAUCAUUUCUGCUAGUGUCACUGCAGCUGAUGUGAAGAAAUUCAAGCAACUCGAUUCUCAAGCGAAGAACAUCAUCUGUGGUCAUCUAAGCCCUGGCCAGUUUGGAAGAGUAAGUGCCUUAGGCUCUGCUACACUGAUCUGGGAGAGACUGUGCAAGGUAAAUGAAGGAGUAUCAACCCAACGUGACUCUCGUGUUGAUAUUCUUCGCAAUCUCUUCAAUCGCUUCAAGAGACAUGACAAUGAAAGCUGCCAAGACACCUUUGAUCGCCUCACUGACAUAUCAAAUGAACUGCAAGCACUAGGAGCUCGAGACAUCACUGAUCAUGAAGUUGUGAAGAAACUGCUGAGAUCUUUGGAUUCUUCAUUUGACACUUUAGUUCUGAUGAUUCAAGAAAGACCAGACUACAAGAUGCUAGAUCCUGCUGAUAUCCUCGAAAGGCUAAAUACUCAUGAAUUCCAGCUAGAAGAAAAGAGAGAUCUAUAUGGACAAAGCUAUUCCAGACCACGUGCACUGAAGGCAAGAGCAAUUUCCUCAUCUGAAGAAGAAGACACAGAUGACAGCAGUUGUGACCCUGAAGAAUUUGGUCAGGAACUUGCUAUGCUUGUGAGGAAAUUCCAGAGAUUUACACGACGAGGCCAGUUCGGUAAAUCAUCAAGAAGAGACAUGAGGAAAUCAGAAUCUGCAUCUGAGGACUACAAGAAACGGACCUGUCACAAGUGCAAGAAAUCAGGUCAUUACAUUGCUGAUUGUCCUCGCUGGGGAAAGGAAUCAAAGAAGAAGAAAUACAAGGAUGACAGUUCUGAUGACUCAAAGAAGAAGAAGAAAUCUUCAAAAUCCUCAUCUUCAAAGUCCUCCUCACACAAGAAGACUAGCUUCAGAAAGGCUCGGGCACUUAUUGGCAAGGAAAUGGAUUCCGAGGCAGAAUCAGAAGAAUGUGAUGAAGAAGAAGGCUCUGGAGAAGACUCAGAAUCCGGACAGGCUAGUCUUGCACUAGCAACCAAUUUCGUCAGCAAGUCAAUCUUCAAUCUUGAAGAAAAUGAGUGCACCAUCCAUACUGAUGACUAUGCUAAUGACUUCGCUCCAACCUAUUGCUUCAUGGCAAAAGGUUCAAAGGUAUCAAAUAAUGCAUCCUCCUCUGAUUCAAGUGACUGUGGAAAUGAUGAUUACAAAAAACCCAGUUACAGUAAACUUGCCAUCAUUGCCACUAAACAACAAACUGCUCUGGAAAAGCUUCAAAAACUGCUAGACAAAAGUGAUGAUCUGUUGAAUGAUGAAAUGAAUCUUAAUCAAAUCCUCGCUGAUGACAUGAAAAAACUUCAGUCUAGAUUUGAUAUUCUUCAGGAUCGUUAUGAUACACUCCUCACUGAUCAUGAGAAGCUUUCCUACGAAUUUCUUCAAAGGAAGCUUGAUCUUGAGAAGCUGAGGAUGUCUUAUGAUGAUCUUCGUAUGGAAAAUGAUUCAUUACUAGCUCAACAGAUUAGCGCUAGUCAAGUUGAAUUUAUUCCUCUAUGUCUUAAAUGCAUUGAACGUGAAACUGCAAAUUCCUCACCAGAAUCAUCAAAUGCUACAAAUUCUUCAACUGCACCUGCUGUGUCUAUUUUCCUCACUUGAGGAAAACACAAAUGUUACUGAUGAAAAUGCAGGGUUGAAGGAAUUGUAUGUGACAGACAUGUACAAAAGCCUCAAAGGACACCAAAUCCUUUGUGAUGUGCUCAAAAAGCAGAUCUUGAACAGGAACCCAAGGAAAGAAGGAAUUGCCUUUGAGAGAAAACUAAAUGCUGAUGGAUCUUAUUGGAAACUUGAGCAGUAUCCCAAAACCUCAUGGGUUGCUGCUACUGGGCCUCCUUUUGACCCAUCUAAUCUAACUGGCUUCUCAUGUGAAUUAUCCUAUUCCUCGGAUGAUUCAUUUGAUUCCAACUAUAAACUGUUCAAAAAUCAAUCUGGUGAAGUAUUUGCUCGAUAUGUUCGAACUAACUGCAGGAAUGGCCCUCCUGUGAGGAAAAUCUGGGUUCCCAAAAGUUGUUUGAAAAUCUUCAAGUGAAUGUUGUCAUGACAUCACCUCUGAAGAAUCUAAACCCCAGAUCAAAUUCCUCAGGAGGACCAAAGUCUUCAAGAGGAUCAAAAUCCUCAACUGGUCAAAACUAUGCUCGUACCCAUGCUUAUGCGUCUAACAUGCAGGGAAACUACAAGGAAUAUGAUUAUGAGUGCUACUCCUCAAAUCAUUAUGUUCAUAAAUCCUCAAACCAGUUCUCUGCAUACUCAUAUGAGUACUCUAACCCCCCCUACUGUUAAGAGAAGUGCAUUAGCUUCAAUGCCACAUUUCUCAUAUGGUGCUCGCAGGAUGAUGAACGCUUUGCCACCUCUUCAGAUGUGGGUGGUGAAGAAAUCAAACUAAUCACUUCUGCAGGUCAGGUCUCCACAUGAAAAUCAUCAUCUGAAGAACUUGCUGGAGACCUGAGGAAAUGCUUGAUAGGACGCAAGCUAAUGAUUGAUGAAAUAGAAAUAUUUCACACGUCCUUACAUUUCUGUUAUGAUGAAAUUACUGAACUGAUGAAAUUAGUAUCAUAUUCUUCAAAUCUGAAGCAUAUGAGAUGGUAAGAUGUACUAGUUCAUCUGCAGGAAGACAAACCCAAAAAUACUGAGUGGGUUCUCGAUAGUGGCUGCACACAUCACAUGACUGGUGAUAAAAGCUUACUGAUGAAUAUGCCACUAACUCCAUCACCUCUGAAGCAAAUCACAUAUGCUGACAAAGGUAAAAGCAAGGUAUUGGGACUUGGCAAAGUAGCUAUUUCCAAGGAUAGGCAUAUGGUAGAUGCUUUGUGACCUGUUGAAUCUCUUGGUUUUAACCUCAUGUUAGUCUCGAUGCUUUGUGAUCUUGAUAUGAUUGUUAUCUUUGGUAGAUAUAGAUGUGUAGUCAUCAUGGAAUCUGACAGAUCCAAAGUCUUCGAAGGUGUAAGAAGAGGGGAUUUGUACAUUGUUGACUUCUCUAUAGGUCCUCAACCAGCCACUUGCUUACUAGCAAAAACCUCACAAGGAUGGUUGUGGCACCGAAGACUAGGUCAUGCAGGCAUGAGGAAUUUGCACACACUUGCAAAGAAGAAGCAUGUCAUUGGCAUCGAAUCAGUCAAAUUCCUUAAGGAUCAUCUGUGCGGUGCUUGUGAAUCUGGGAAAAUGACCAGAUCCAAGCAUCUCUCCAAAACCAUCAUGACCACUACACGUCCAUUUGAAUUGCUUCAUAUGGAUUUAUUUGGACCUACUCACUAUGCAACACUAACCAAUGCAGCAUCUCUAUAUGGCUUUGUCAUAGUUGAUGAUUAUUCCAGAUACACUUGGGUGCAUAUUAUAGUGUAUAAAACUGAAGUGCAGGAAAUCUUCAAACGAUUUUCUUCAAGGGCCUCGACGAACUUCGGCAUCAAGAUCAAACAUAUCAGGAGUGAUAAUGGAACCGAGUUCAAAAACACUGGUCUUGAUGAUUAUCUUGAUGAACUUGGUAUUACUCACGAAUUGUCUGCUCCUUAUACUCCUCAGCAGAAUGGUGUCGUCGAAAGAAAGAACGGGACUCUGGUUGAAAUGGCAAGAACUAUGCUUGAAGAAUAUCAGACUCCUCGUCGCUUCUGGCCUGAAGCAAUCAACACUGCAUGUCAUAUCAUCAACAGGGUAUAUCUUCACAAAUUCCUCAAGAAAACCUCAUAUGAACUCCUCACUGACAAGAAACCCAAUAUAAGUUAUUUCAAAGUCUUCGGUGCAAAAUGCUGGAUUAGAGAUCCUCAUCAUAGCUCAAAAUUUGCACCUAAGGCACAUGAAGGUUUUAUGCUCGGUUAUGGAAAGGACUCGCACACCUACAGAGUCUUCAACAACUAUCACAACAAAGUUGUUGAGACUGUAGAUGUGCGGUUCGAUAAAACUAAUGGCUCGCAAAGAGAGCAAUUGCCUUCUGAUCCAGAUAAGUUGUCUCCUGAAGAAGCAAUAAAGCUUAAGCCUACUGAAGACAUUGUCCCCACUGAGGAAAUUGACGAAGAAACGAUCCCCAUCGCUAAUGAAAGCCAAGAAGAUGCUCCUGAGGAAAUUGCAACAGCACCACUUCCUCAGCCCAGACAAAAUCCUCAACCAGCUCAUCCGAGGAUUGCAAAUGAAGUAGAACUUGACAAAAUCCUCAACGACAUCAACGCGCCAGGUCCUCUCACUCGCUCAAAAGCUUCACACUUAGUUAACUUUUGUGGGCAUUUUUCCUUUGUAUCCAUCACAGAACUCUCAAAAGUAGCUGAGGCUUUUCUGGAACCGGAGUGGAUCAUGCAAGACGAACUUCUUCAAUUCAAGCUGAAUGACGUAUGGGAGCUCGUCAAACGACCAGAUCCUCGCAAGCAUAACAUCAACGGCACCAAGUGGAUUUUCCGAAACAAGCAAGAUGAGGACGGUCAAGUGGUGAGGAAUAAGGCACGACUUGUAGCCCAAGGCUACACCCAGGUUGAAGGAAUAGAUUUCGAUGAAACUUUUGCACCUGUUGCUAGACUUGAAGCUAUUCGAAUUCUACUUGCUUAUGCUAAUCAUCAUAACAUCAUCUUAUAUCAAAUGGAUGUGAAAAGUGCAUUCCUCAAUGGUAAGCUUGAGGAAGAAGUAUAUGUUGCUCAGCCCCCAGGUUUUGAGGAUCCAAAGAAUCCAGAUAAAGUCUUCAGACUCAAAAAGGCUCUGUAUGGCCUCAAGCAAGCCCCUCGGGCAUGGUAUGAUACAUUGAAGGAAUUCCUCAUGAAGAAAGGCUUCAAACCUGGUUCACUCGAUCCAACUCUUUUCACAAAAUCUUAUGAUAAUGAGCUGUUUGUAUGUCAAAUAUAUGUUGAUGACAUCAUAUUUGGUUGUACUGACAAAAGAAACAGUGAUGAAUUUGCCUAUAUGAUGAGUGAAGAAUAUCAGAUGUCCAUGAUGGGGGAGCUGAAAUUCUUCUUAGGUCUUCAAAUUCGUCAACAAAACAAUGGAAUCUUCAUAUCACAGGAGAAAUACCUCAAGGAUGUUCUGAGGAAAUUCGACAUGCAUGAAUGCAAAGGUGCCAAGACUCCAAUGCCUACCAACGGUCACCUCGGCACUGAUGAAAAUGGUAAAGAUUUCGAUCAGCAGGUAUACCGUUCUAUGAUUGGCUCUUUAUUGUAUCUAUGUGCAUCUAGGCCAGAUAUAAUGCUUAGUGUUUGCAUGUGUGCACGUUUUCAAGCAAAACCGAAGGAAUCACACCAUAAGGCUUUGAAACAUAUUCUUCGAUACUUAGCUCACACACCAGCACUAGGAUUGUGGUAUCCCAAGGGCUCCAAUCUUCAUCUGGUAGGGUAUUCUGAUUCAGACUAUGCUCGUGACCGUGUGGAUCGCAAGUCAACAUCUGGCACAUGCCAUUUCCUCGGAAGAUCACUAGUUUGCUGGUCCUCAAAGAAGCAGAACUGCGUAUCACUCUCCACUGCCGAAGCUGAGUACAUUGUUGCUGGUUCUUGCUGUGCUCAAUUGCUAUGGAUGAAGCAAACCCUCAAGGACUACGGCAUCAACAUGAAGAAUGUGCCUCUCUACUGUGACAAUGAGAGUGCUAUCAAGAUUGCCUACAACCCAGUGCAGCACUCGAAGACCAAGCACAUCCAGAUUCGUCAUCAUUUUCUUCGGGACCAUGUCCUCAAGGGCAAUAUCCUCAUCGACCAUGUGAAGACUGAUGAUCAACUGGCUGAUAUCUUCACUAAGCCCUUGGAUGAGAAAAGGUUUUGCAAGUUGCGGUGUGAGCUAAAUAUCUUAGAAUCUUCAAAUGUUUUGUAAAAACAUGCACACAUCCUAACACUUAUGCAAAGUUGAUGACUUAGAUGUGCAACACAUGAUGAAACGAUUUUCUUCAACCAAUGAAGAAAGUCACUCUGAAUGUGAAGAAAUUAACGAAGAAAUUGAUCCUCAGGGUCCUACGAUAAUUGUACGCGGCGUCUGUAAUCAACAUUCUUAUAUGGUGGGUAACGCCACCGCCCAAUGUGAAAUUCCUCAAGUUGAUUUUCUUCAAAUGGUCAAUUUCCUCACAAUGCAUUUUUCUUCAAAACAGUUGUUCUUCAUUGUGAUGAUCUAUUACAAAAUCUUCAAAAAUACUUGAUGACUUUUAUUUGCAUAGGUAGACUGUGAUUUCGAGUCCUCAACAGCAUUCACUUAUUGCUAUUUCUUCAAGUUGAUGUUUCUGCUAAGUGAAUGUGAUCGGACCCUACCUUCCCUCUAUGCUAUACUUAUCCAGUCUAUUCAAUUCUUCAUAUGCGUUCUACUUGAAACUUUGUUCAAAAUCCUCAGUGCAUCCUUGUCAACUGAUGAUUUUGUAACGAAAAUCCUCAAAUCUUCAAAAAUUGUUUUCUUUAAAAAGAACAGUAACUGAACUCCACUUCCCACGAUCGGAUAACCACGAUCUCCACUAUCUCCACCGCAUCGUACGGGAGCUACACGUGUCCUGCGGAGACGUAGAGGCAAGGGCUAUUCGGUCCGAAACUUUCGCGCCAAACAGUAACUUUCGGGCUAUAAAUAUGUCCUUAACCCCUUCAGUAUCUUCUUCUUCGCCUCAUCGCUCUCCUGCCAUCACUCUCUCCAUCGAACCCUAGCGCCACCGCUGGUUGUCUUGUCGCCGGCAAGGAAGAGCUUCACUGCCUCAACCUUUUCGCCGCCAGUAUCACGCCGGAGUCGGAACAUCUACGUCCGCCGCCGCCGUAGACGUCCUCUGCUGCCAAGUUAGGGUGCAUUGGACACUUGACCGAAGAGCCUCUCCAACACCACCUUUUGUGUUCUUCGUUCGCACCUUCCAGGUUAAUAUAUCCCAUUUUUACAGCAGAUUAGAUCUGAAAUUUUACCUCUCCCAUGUGAAAUCUGUUUUUCCUCAAGAUACGAUGCACACAUGAUUCCUCAAACACUAUCCAUCACCACAAUCAUUGAUGAACUAGCUAAGCAUUUAAGAUUUUCACGAGAUUCCUCAAUUGUGCGAAUUUUUGGAUCUGUACAACUCUGGAACCCAAGAACAGUAUGCUUAAGCAAAUUCCUCAACCACUGGUUAUAUUCCUCAAACUGUCAAACUUUUUCAUUUUCUUCAAAUAUGAGAACGCAUAUGACCUCUCCAAAUUCCUCGCAACUAUACUCUGUUCACAGGUACACACAUGUCAGCUGAUGAAUCUUUCGGUUCUCAUCACAUUAACUCAUUUGCAGCGUUUCUGGAAGAAACUCUUCAAGGCUCAUCAGAAUCUUCAAGAGUUCAAAAUCAUCAGCAAAUUCCUCGUCUAAAGAAAAUGGAGGAAGAAAGGAAACAGAAGGGAGGAAAGAAACUGGAGCAGAACACAGCUGUUGAUAUUCCUGAUGACAUAUACAUGGACUAUUGCACGCCUGAUGAAGAACCUGAGACAAUGGCUAAAAGAAAAAUUAGGCUGCAGAAAAUUGAACGCAGAUGGGCAAAGGAGUGGAAGGAGUACAGGUUUGUGACCCCAAAAUAUGCGAAGAAAUUCGCUUUGAAGCCUCCUGGCAGAAGGGCUCCACUUGAGGAUCAUCAAGUAGCUCAUCCCUCAAGUCUUAUGACACUUGAUGACUACCCAGAUGAAAAAGAAAGGCAUCUGGCCAAGCUCAAGAAGCAAGCCGAAACAGCAGUGAAGAAAUUUAAUGAAUCCUCAGCUGCUGCCUCCGGUGCUUCUCAUUCCUCAGCAGCAGAAACUUCUGGCUCAGAGAUUCCUCAAAAGCAGUUUGCGCCAUCAAAGCCAAAAGCUCCAAAGCCUCAAGAGAAGUCAGGACAGGUUUCUGUCACAAAACCCUCAGCUCCAAAACCCUCAGCUCCAAAACCCUCGGUUCCAAAACCGUCAACACCAAAACCAUCAGCGCCAAAACCCUCAGCACCCAUCUCAUCUACACCAAAGUCCUCAGCUCCACCUCCAAAACCAGUACAGAAGAAAGUUGUGAAACCUACGACUGCCAGCUCCAGCUCCUCACUCCCAGCUGCAACUAGCUCGGAGACAAAGUCUUCAACACCCUUGUGAAGACUUUGGCAACUACUGAACCUGCACCUGUGCCAAGCCCCAGCAAAAUCAUCACAGUCCCGUCUGCAUCAGAGGGAAGUGAUGAGUAUGAUGAUGAAACCUUGCAAGCCAUCAUCAGGAAUAAGCAAGAACGGGUAGCACAAGCAUCAGGCAGUGCUAUUCCUCUGGCCAUGGACCCCAAGGUCCUCCUCGACUUCAUCAAUGUAUGGUAUGAAGACCCAAACACACCCAUUGAUGAUUUGAAACUUCCUCCUGGCGUCAGCCACAUGGUGGCCACCUUCAUAAACGAAGCCAAGUGGAAGGAACAGAAGGCCAAGCAGGCAAAGAUUGCAAAGGCCAGAAAGGAGAAAUUCCUCAGGCAAAAUCUCCUCAAGCUGACGCCUGAAGCAUUGGUGUCAACCCAGGCAGAGCUGCAAGUCUUGACUGACAAGUGUGACAAACUGUCAGACCGCAAAAGCAUCAAACGCAAUUUCAUCAAACUAGCCACUAGUGCUGUUGAUGACUACAACAAGCGACACCCACAACCAGCACCAACUCCUCAGCCCCUGGUUGAGCAGCCAGAAGAUGUAUCUCCUGAUGAGGAGGAAAUUCCUCAAGCUGAGGAACAACACCAAGAGCGUCGUGCUGAUGAGUCGGCCAUUGAAGAAAUCAUCACCGAGACCGCCACUGAUGAAAUUGCAACCCCUGAUGCAACUACUCCUGAUCCAGCUGCUUCACCAAAGCAGGCUGAUGACUCUGUUCCAGCUGGUUCCUCACUACCAGCUGAAGAAUCUGUAGAGUAAACACCUUCACCAAAAGCUUCAAAGGUGAAGAAGGUAAUCCCGUCUGCAUCAGACGCGAAAAAGACAAGAGCUGCUGAGAAGGAAGCGAAGAAGAGAAAAGCUUCCUCGGCAGAAGAAAAGAUUGAGGCAAAACGCCUCAAGGAAACUGAAGAAUCUGCCCCUCUGGACCCGGUGCCUCUAAAUGUUGCACCUUCAUAUGAAAUGGUCGUCACUGGUGACCAAACUACAAGGGCAGAUGAGGAAAUGAAGGAUGCUGCCUCUUAGGAGCAUACUGAUGAGGAAAUCCAGAUUGAUGAAAGUCCUCAACCUCAUGUUCCUCAGACAGAGACUACUCAAGCUUCAGCUGCAGCAGCUGAUGAAUCUGCUUCUGCCACAAAGUCAGCUGAUGAAAACCAAGCUGAAGAAAAUGUCCAGUCUGAGCACGCUCCUCCCACUGAACAGGCUGACCAAACUCCUCAAGCUGAGAAGGAAGAAGAAAUUCCUCAGCCUGAAGCUCAGCCAGAGCAGGAAAUACCAGCUGAUGAAAUUCCUCAACCUGAGGAAACUACUGAAGAAAAUGUUCCCGCCCCUGACAAUGACUUCAUUGUUCUCAACCCAGAGACUGCCAUGGUUGUUUCCGCUCCCAUUCCUCAGCACAAUAUCAAGCCAGUUCAACGCCUGUCAUUCUCGAAGCGGCCAAAGUUUCAGAAAGAAAAUUUCUUUGAGGAACGCAUGUAUUUCAUCGGAGAGAAUCCCUAUGACAAGCCUCAAAUGAGGCAUCUGAAGUUUUGGACCAGGACUCAGAUGAACUAUUAUGCUUCUGUGCUCUGUGGACGCAACAAAAUAUUUCCAACACAGGCACAUUCCUCAUGAUGAACUUGAAGAAAUUCCCUGCAUGGAACCAGUCCUCAGUGUACUCCAUGAUGCAGGUUUGCUCCCUAUGUGCUCAGACAUAUCAGGUUGGAAUAGUGAGCUUAUUCUUCAGUUCUAUGCAACUCUGCACAUCUCGGGCAAUGCUGAUGACAUCAACACUUGGGUGUUCGACUGGAUGACCCAAAACACUCACUACAAGGCUCCAGCGUCUGAACUCCUCAGAGAACUGCCCGUGCCAAUUCCUUCAGACGGGGCAGUGAAGCUUUAUGGUGAGCGUGAGCUGCCAAAUGGAAUGAUGGAAGUCCUCAUGAAGCCUUUGGCUGCAGGAAAACCCUCAAGAACCACAUUCCUCGUCCAUGAGCUCAAGUACACACCCCGGUCUGUCUACUGCAUUCUCUGCAGUGUGCUAGCGCCAAUCAAAGGCCAUCAUGAUGAAGAAGAUGUCGUCGACCUCAUGAAGAAUAUCCUCUUCAACAUCAUUCACGGUAUUCCCAUGAAUAUCCAUGAUUUCUUCUUGAGGACUUUGGCUGACAAUGCAAUGUGUCCCUAUGAUCACAAAAUUUAUGCACCAUGGAUCAUGAGAUUCCUCAGGACAAGGACAGGCAUCAACUUCCACGCAGAUUUCCAGAACCAUGUUGGUUAUAUGCCUCCUAUCCGGGUCAACAAGAAGACUUUCGAGCCCAUUGAGGGAAAAGGAAAGUCUGUGAUUGAUGAAGGCAGCAGGCCUCUUGAUGGCCAGUUUAAAGAGCCAGACGCAUAUUCUUCAUGGGAUGAUACUGAGACUCAUCCACCCAGCCCUGUUCCUCCUCUCGUGCUAAACACCAGAGAGCUUCUCCUCAGUCUUCAUCAGAAGGUGGAUCACAACCAAAAAUGGGUCAAACGUCAGUUUGGUGCCAUUGUGAAAACCCUCACUGAGACACAGAACUCUGUGAAACUUAAUCAUCACUAUCUGCAUGAGGUUUUCGAUCGCACCUGGGCUACUCUUGCACAUCUGAAGACCCAGACUGAGCUUGAAGAAAUGAACUUUGAGCAAGACUUUGAGUGGUCGUGGCCUCCCAAGAAGAAGUUCAGGCCCAUUCCAGUGCCAGAUCUUGAAGACAGCUCCUUCUCGUCAUUCCGCACCGCCGAAUCUGAUGAGGAACAACUCGACACCGCAACUGGCCCAAGGAAGAAGAUUACACCCAAGAAGCGCCAAGGAUCUUUAUCAACCGCAAAGAAAUGAAGUCUUCACGGGCGUUAGUCCUCAGUUUGUCCCUUUUUGUCACUUGAUGACAAAGGGGAGAAACUUGAGAGUUAGUCUUCAAACGGGAUUUAUUUUUGGGGCCUAUGAACUAUAAUUAAGUUACAAACUCUUGGCUCUUCUGAUGUUUUUGUGUAAUGAGUUGUAACUUAAGCCCGAUGGUACUCUGACGCUUUUGAACGUUUUUCUUCGCAUGCUUAUUCCUCAAGUUUUAAUGCACGCAUGCUGGAAUUCGUCAGAUACCAUUUGCCAUCAUGCAUCUUCAUUUUCUUCAUAUGAUAUGUUAUAUGUAUGCAAGAUUUACAAGAUUCAGGGGGAGAUCUCCAUGAUAUAAAUCAUCAAUGUGCAUCUGCUAUAAUAGCAGAAUCCUCAAGGUAUGCACAUCUUCAGGGGGAAUCUCUGUGAAUCUUGUUUUCAAAUUCCUCAAAUGAGUAUUUACACUUCAUAUUUUUGAUCCCUGUUGAAGACUUAACCUAAUUGUCAUCAACCACCAAAAAGGGGGAGAUUGUAAGUGCGUCUAGUGCCCCUUAGUGAUUUUGGUGGUUUGAAGACUUAUAGGUUAAGUAUCUAAUAUGUUUGUGAGUAUACACAGGAUCUAUAAGUCAUUGAGGAGUUUGAGAUAUUUGAAGAAUAUCGACCCCUAAAAAUAUAUGUCUUCAUUUGAAGAAAUUGGUCUGAAGCUGAAGAAAUGAAUCACGAGGAAUCUGCGAUGAAAUUGAUAUUCCUCAUGAAGAUAUUGAUAUUGAGAAGAUCGGUGGUUCCUGAAGAAAAUCAUUUUAAAGAAAUUGAAGCGUGAAGAUUUACGUUUUCUGUUUUACUUUCUUCGCAUUUGAUGAAUAGGAACACCAUACUGUUAAAGGGGGUCAAAGUAACGCUAUGGAAUGAAUUUCCUCAUGAUGCUCAACCCAAGCCAAAUCCUACCAAAAGCCUCAAGUGAGGAAUAUGAGUGACAUGAGGACUCUCACAGUUGAGGGUCCCGACCGUUUCGAUNCCCAGGCUAUAAAUAGCCACCCCCCACAACCACUAGCUGGUUGGCUGCUCCAUUAGAAACUGACACUUGUCAUAAGAGCAACCCAAAUUCCUCAGAGCCUACGAGAGUAAAUCAUCAGUGAGGAAAUACACUACCCACCGAAACCACAAAUCAAACCUAGUGAUUGAGCAUCACUGAAGAAGUUGUUCCUGUGUGGGACUGAAGCCUUUUACCUUUGAGGACUGUGCAUCCUCCAGACGGUUAGGCGUCAUGGUCUAGAGCAAUCCAGCAGUCAAUUGUGGAUCGCCGGGUGACCGAGUUCGUGAGGGUUUGGAAGUCUGCCCUGAAGACUUACCACGAGUGUUGGGCGAGGACUGUGUGUCCUUAGCUCAAGGAGAAUACGGUAGGGACUGUGUGUCCCGGGACUAGGUGUCCUUUGGUUUCAAUACCAAGCCGCUCCAAACCAGAUGUACAACUGUCACAGCAGUUGGAACUGGGUCAUCAACAACAGUCUUCACCAAGAAUCGGGUUCUAAUUCCUCAACUCUUUACAUUCUCUGUAUUAUGUGUUGAUGACAUUCACUUUGACUGUUUGAAGAAUUUGCUGAAGACUUUUUCUGAAUUUCCUCAACUCCAAAUUCUUCACUUGAGUUAAUCAUCAUCUGUAUUCUGCGUGCCUGCUUACUGUGCAAUCUGUUCUCAUAAUCUUCACUGUGUAAUACUGCUGUGGUGAACGUUUGCACGAUUGAUCCUUAACUGUUUCCGUUGUAAGUUAGUCAUCAGUGAGGAAUUUCCUCAAAAGGAAUUUCCUCAGUGAUGAAAUUCUAAAAAUCUCCUAUUCACCCCCCUCUAGUCGAUAUAACGCACUUUCACUAAGUUAACACAACAUCUUCUCGGUCACUCCUCUUGUGUCUUAACUACCACUUUAUGGAUGUACUUCCCUACACAUUUCAGAGAUUGUUGCUUUUAGUUGUUUGAAUAUUUUCAAUCUAACUUUUGGGCAAAUCUGUUUUGUUUAUGUUUUAUGCCUUCAUAUGUAUACACAAAAUUAUAUUCACUCUAUUGCCAAAUUGGACGCGGGUAGCAACGCGCAUCAUCAUGAUCUAGUAUAGGUUAUAACGCACUUGUCUCCAUUGCACUGAAUCGAUUGUUCAAUGUCAUUCAUAUCCACCAUCUAACUAGACAACGUACUCUGCAUUAACAAAUUCACUUCUGCUUCAGUACCCCCCCCCCUCCCCUAAACACAAGAAAGGUCUAGAUUAAUCGAUACCUCUUCAUAAUAAAGGGCAAGAUGGUCAUAUUAACGUAUACGUUGUAUUUUUUUUCAUAAACACACACCCUGAGCACUGUUCAUGUUUUCUUUAUCCCGCCAAAAAAAUUAUGUGAGAGGCAAGAUUUGAACCAUGCACAUUUAGGUAUUAUCAAUGUUGUACUAACCUACUGGUCAACAAGACCUCACAUGCUACAAAUAUGUUUUACUCUAAUAAACAACACUGGAAAUGCAGUAUUCUUUGUUUUGUUUCCUUUUUAUAUUUAUUUUUUCCUUUUCAUUUUGCUGAUUUCCUUUCUAAAUGCGUUAGCUUUUUAAACCUCGCACCAUUUGUUUUUUAAAACGAUCAUUUUUUCAAGUUCGUCAUUUUUUCUUAAAAAUAGGUGAUUUUUUCACAUAUUGCUGAAGUUUUUUUUCUUUUCUAAAUUCAUGAACUAUUCCUCAAAUACGCAAACUUUUAUUGAAAGUUAAUGAAACUUUUAUAAAGUUGAUGAUCUGUUAUUUUAAAAAUUGAUGAACUAUUACUUAAACCGUAAUUUUGGUAUUCAAAACCCUAAACCCUAAAUUGUUGGGAAGUUGUUAACAACUUUGGAAAAUGUAUUGAAGUUUUUAAAUUUUUCAUACAUAGUUUGAAAUUCCAAAAUUGUGUACAAAUUAAAAUUAGGUCCGUUUCAUGAGUCGGAGUAACAUCAGCGCAUUAUAACACCUCUUUCGCCCUUACCGACACCCGUGCGUUCCACAUGAUGUAUAUGCAUAUGUUUAUCGCAUUAUAAAAUCAUCACAUUAUUUUAAAAAUUGAUGAACUAUUACUUAAACCGUAAUUUUGGUAUUCUAAACCCUAAACCCUAAAUUGUUGGGAAGUUGUUAACAAAUUUGGAAAAUAUGCAGAACUUUCUAAAAAUUUCAUACGUAAUUUGAAAUUUCAAAAUUAUGCACAAACUAAAAUUGGGUCCGUUUUCAUGACUCGGAGUAACAUCAUGGCAUUAUAACACACGAUGCACAUACAUACGUUUAUCUAAACUAUUUUUUAUGACCCGUGCAUUCCACAUGAUGUACAUACAUACGUUUAUCUAAACUAUUUUUCAAUUUAUUGAAUAAGUUUCAAAAGAAUAAUAAAUAUAAAAAAGAAUAAAGUGAAUUUAAGAAAAGUUCAAGAUAUUUAAAAAUCACGAAUUUAAAAAAUAAAAAUAGGGUAAAAAAGAAAUACGAAAGAAAAAGGAGCUGACUAGCAAAAUUUAACUCAAAAUAGAGAAACCGCUGUAUUUUUUAUAUAAGGGAAAUAUCAUACUUAAAUUUUGUCACAUCUAGUGGUGUGUUCUAGUGGGGUGUACCGAAGCGGGGCCUAAAUUAGUUUUUGCAAAAAGAAAACAUAUCAAGAUGGGCCAGAGCAACAUGAGGGAGAUGGUCAUGUUCCGGGAUAGACCAACUAUGGUGAAGGAAGUUAAUGGUCUGCAAGAUUACUACUCAGAAUACAUUCAAUCGGGGCCUGGUGCAUAUGUGGAGGGUAGAGAACAAGGCCGCUCUCUCGCUUGUGAGUGCGCUUUAUUAUACAUCAUCAGACACGUACGCACACUAUAAUUUAUGAGCUUUGCUACAAGUACGGACGUUUUACAGGAUUUUUACAGGUAAAGUUAAAGUGUGUUGUUUUGAUUGAUACUUAGAUGAGGCCGGCCCCAUCCUGAGAAUCAAGGGGGAGAUUAGUAAGGAGGAAAACGCAUCAGUCCGUAACCUUCUGUAAAAAAGAUCCGUAGGUCUGGCAUUUUUGAUAAUUUAUAUUUGUCUUGCUGUUUAGGGAGUGCUUGUCUUCCUUGUUGUUGAGAUCAUCUUUCUCCCAAAUAAAGACCACAUAAUAGUAUGGUCUCAUAGAGAAAAUACCAGAGACUGCAUCCCAUAGAGAAAACAACAUAGACUGCAGUCCACUGGACAAAAUAGCUCAUUCAUGCUAAUGUAUACAAAAGAACAAGUCGAGUCACAUAAAAAGUAGAUGAACAAAUACCAACAAGCAAAUAAGAAUUACAAAGUACUAAUAAAUACUCAUCGCACAUGCAUGGAACUAUAGAAAUAAAAUUAAUACAGGGAAUACGACACCACUUAUUCUAGAAAUAACACAUUGCGGCUCCAUAAGGGCUCUCCUUCAUCAACUGUUAUAUAUCAGUAUCCCGUCAAUUGUGAGCUACCGGUGGUUUGCACUUCGGAGGCGGCUUCGGUUUUGGUUCAGGUUUAGGCUUGGGCUCCAUCUUUGGUUCGGGUUUUGGCAUCGGCUUGGGCUUAGGCUCUGGCUUUGAUUUUGAGCAGGGCUCGGGCUUGGGCUUUGGCUUUGGUUUUGGCAUUGUCUUGGGCUUAGGUUCGGGUUCGGGCUUGCGUCCCGGCUUUGGUUUGGGUUUGGGCAUCGGUUCAGGUUUGCAGGGCUCCGACUCUGAGUGUGGCAUAGGUUUUGGCAUUGGCUCUGGUUUGGGUUCUGGCUUUGGCUUUGGCUCUGCAAACUUCUCGACGACAGCAAGGUCUCGUCCAGCGGUAGCUGAUUGCUGGAAAGCGGAGGCUGCAACUAUCCCGAUGAAGAUCACGACGAGGAGGAAGUGAUGCCUCGUCAUUGCUACCUAUUUCUUGUGCUUGCAGCUAGUGUUGCACCUGGUGUGAUUUCUAUGUGUGCACCUGUGUGUUGUGUGGAGAACUGGAGAUACAUAUCAUGCGGUUUUAUAGGGUGGGCGAAACAAAGCAGAUCUGGAGCCUGCAUCAAUUAACAUUGCAACUAGAUAGCUGGAGUGACAAGUAUUGAGUAACAUCGGAAUGAAGUUAUAUUGGUUAAUUACGAAUGAAGCAACCAAUGUACGUACCUACAAGGUGUUAAUAAGCACAGCUGGACUUUAAUUGCCUCGAUGCGAUGAUAGCAGAAGGGUAACAAUAUUUUAACUCUGUUAGUUGCCUCCCGCAAGCAGAAAAUUAUGUUAGUUGCACUGUCCCAUGCUCACACGUCUAUGUGAUCACCCAUCAUCUAGAAAUGACAAGCCACCGUGUAUACACGUUAGUGCAAUACAAAGUAAAAGGCAAUCGCUACCGUUCAAUUCACAAUGGAAAAGAAAGCCCGGUCGAUUGCUAAGAUGUAUAGAUGUGAUAGUUAUUUACUAUUUUGUGACGUGAUAGCCAUUUACUAUUUUGUUUGCAGCAAAGGCUGCAUGCAUUGGCUCACUAUGACUGUCAAGAUAUGGGAAUAUGAGACAAGCCUUGUAUUAUUUUGUCCAGAAGUAAUUUUGAACCACGCCUUCUAAACCCGGAUGGAUUGAGUGGGAGAGAGGCCUUUUGGACCUCAGAUUCCAUGGACCUUUUUUUUCAAAACAAAAAAUCAAAAAUUAUUGUUUGAAGUUUCAAAAAAAUGUUACGAAACAAAUUAUGGAUUCUAUUUUUGGAGCUCACAUGUAAAAAAAAUCAUUAUGAAAGUCUAUGCACAUUUGAAGGUACAUGUGGAUUUUAUUUCUGAAUUUGUUGAAACUUGAAAACAUGGUUUUUGAAGUUUUCUUAAAGGUCUCCAUGGAGCCCAAACUCCAGAACAAACAUGGUUGCCGACUUUAACACCAUGAUAUAUUUAGAUAGGCUAAGAAUUAUGUUGCACCGAUAUUUUUGCCUCUGAUUUCCGCAUUACUGUCAGGUUUAGCUCAUUACUUGCAUUUUCUUUUGAUCAUGCCUAGCUUGGGGGCAAAUUUACCAAAAUGAUUACAAAGAAAAUGAUGCAUUGGAGCAGGAUUCGGACCCUAACGGGGAUUCCUUAGUAGUAGUAUCAGGGAAAACUAAUGAUCUCUCUUACCUACAUAAGAGUAACAUGGAUUGACCUUAUCUUUUUAUCAUUGUAUGCAAGCUUAUGGACCUACUUGUGCAAUUGUCAAGAUCAAGGAUCUAAAUGUCAUGAUGCGCAGCUUUGUACACUAUGGCUCACACUAGCACGUUGCACGGCUCAAAAUGUUACGUUUCUCCUAUUUUGUUGACUUGCGAGUCACCCGUCGAGAUUUGCUAAGAGACUUCUAAGGCCAGGAUCCCAUUGUCGGGGGGGCAACGCUUGGCACCUUUUCAAUACCCGAACAUACGGUGCUAACAUUUUUUUAAUUUGGCCAGGGAAGGUUUAUUAGGCCGUGUGCCCCGUCCAUAUCAAACGCACAUCCGUAGCUCACCCUGGGCGUUUGGUCUUUUCAAUUUGUUCAGUCCGGUCUUUUUGGUCUUUCAGAAUUGAAGAUUGAAAUAAUUUCUGUCUUUUGUGUUCUUCACAAUUCGACCUUCGUUUUUUUCGGUCUUCAAUACCCGAACACCCAGGGUGAGCUAUGUUGAUUGUUUCAGGGGCCUUAGCCCCUCAGCCAAGACUAAAUUACGUGAUUCUUCUAAGAGAGAUUAGAUUAGGAAAAUCAUAGGCUUUUUGUGCCCCCGAACAUCCAUAUUUUAUGUUUAGCUCCCAAGACAUCUUGCCUAGCUCCCCCAGUGGUUUUGUCACACUUACACAUUUGAACAUUCACAAAUUGACCGUAGGUACUUGAUCCAGCUCCUUGGUUUCUUCAUGAUGUCCCUCUUCAUGCUAGUGAUGGGCAUCAAAUACGAAUACCUCAAGAGCAACGGCCACGCCCUCUUCGCCAUCCUCUACGCGCUCACAUUCUUCUUCGCAAACUUCGGACCAAACAGCACCACCUUCGUGCUGCCGGCCGAGCUAUUCCCGACACGUUUGCAGUCCGGAUGCAUUCACGAGAGAGUAAUAAUAUCAUCUCAUCUUCUAUAUCAGGGAAUUAGAAAGGGGGCAAGAAUAACGACGACCCGAUGCAUGCUACUUAAGUCGCCAGGCACUUGGUUUGAGAGUUUAUUUUAUCUGCACGUAUAAUAUUGCAUGAUACCAUCCAUUGUGUUGUUAACGUUACAUUGAAUUUUUAGUGUGGAUGUAUGACCUUGACUAGGGAUUUCCCUUCUCAAUCGUCAUUAUGUAUUUCUAUACUUAUAAUCAUGUCAAAUUUACAGAAUAAAAUAACCAUGUCGAGUAGGCAUAUAUAUAUGUAAUUAUUGUUAAGGAAAUCGGUAACUGGUAGCUGCUCGGUCAGCUUGGGAGUAGAGAUUAAUCGGUGAAUCAUCAUAUUAAUUGGAUUAACCGGUCGCCCAUUAAUCGGUAGAUUAAAUAGGAACCUGUGAACAUAUUCUAGUUUUUUUAUGUAUUAUACCCUACUCUCAUCCUCUCAGCUAUGCGAUAUACCAUAAUAUGGUACUGUUUGAUCAAAUCCUAGCUAUUGAGGAGCGAGAGGAGGAUGGGAUAGGUUAUAUGCCAAAAAGUUGGGCCUUGUUGGCCCACAAGUUAGUAGGCCAACUAAGAUUAAUCGGCUUGACAAGCUAUUAAUCGGUCUAACAUGCCAUUUAAUCGGCCUGACAAGCCAUUUAAUCGGUCCGACAAGUUAACACGAUGAAUAGGUGGUAUUCGAAUCGGCCAUCCAAUGAGUAGAGAUUAACUGACCCAUUAACUGAUUAACCGGAUUAAUUGUAAUGUGUUUUUUUUCUUGCGGUACAGAGAUAAAUUGUAUUGCAUCUCAAUAAGUUAACGAUCGGGUAUUUUUCUCAUUACCAAAUCUCCAACCGAAUAGCCAGAAAGAUAACAAUAGCAUCAUAAUAGACAAGGGUUACUUCAUAUGGACAACGCUUCUGCUACGGACAUAUGUGGGUACCGUGGCAGCGGAGAUGGUUAUUUUGGAAAAGUCAAAAACAAAAACAUAUUUUGAAGUUUCAAAAAAAUCUAAAAAAAAACAUACAUGUUCAUGAGAUUGCACCAUAUAGAGAAAGCAACAUAGAAUGGACAAAAUAGCUCGAUCACGUGAAUCGAUACAAUCGAUACUCAAAAGAACAGGUCGAGUCACAUACAAAGUAGAUGAACAUAUAGCAACAAGCAAAUAAUAAUUACAAAGUACUAAUACUCACCACACGAGCAUGGAACUAUAGAAAUAAAUUGAAUACAGGGAAUACUACACCACUUAUUCCAGAAAAUAGCACAGUGUGGCUCCAUAAGGGGUCUCCUCCAUCAACUGUCACAUAUCAGUAUCCCAUCAAUUGUGAGUUGUAGGUGGUUUGCACUUCGGAGGUGGCUUCGGUUUCGGUUCGAGUUUAGCCUUGGGCUCCGGCUUUGGUUCGGGUUUCGGCAUCGGCUCGCGUUUAUGCUCCGGCUUUGGUUUGGAGCAGGGCUCAGGCUUGGGCUUUGGCUUCGGUUUUGGCAUCGUCUCGGGCUUGGGUUCGGCUUCGGGCUUGGGUCCCGGCUUUGAUUUGGGUUUGGGCAUCGGUUCAGGUUUGCAGGGCUCCGGCUCUGAGUGUGGCAUAGGUUUUGGCAUUGGCUCUGGUUUGGGUUCUGGUUUUGGCUCUGGCUCUUCAAACUUCUCGACGGCAGUAAGGCCUCGGCCAGCAGCGGCUGCUUGGUGGAAAGUGGAGGCUGCCACUACCCCGAUGAAGAUCAUGGCGAGGAGGAAGCGAUGCCUCACCAUUGCUGCCUAUUUCUUGCGUUUGCGGCUAGUGUUGCACCUGGUGUACUUUGUGUGUGUGCACCUGUAUGCUGUGUGGGGAACUGGAGAUACAUAUCGUGAGGUUUUAUAGGGUGGACGAAACAAAGCAGAUCUGAAGCCUGUAUCAAUUAACAUUGCAACUAGGUAGCUGGAGUGGCAAAGUAUUGUGUAACAUCGGAAUGAAGUUAUAUUGGUUAAUUACAAUUGAAGCAACAAAUGUACGUACCUACAAGGCGUUAAUAAGCACAGAUGGACUUUGCGUGUGUGUCCCCAUGCGAUGAUAGCAGGUGGGUAACAAUAUUUUAACUCUGUCAGUUGUCUCCCGCAAGCAGAAAAUUAUGUUAGUUGUACUGUCCCAUGCUCACACGUCUAUGUGAUCACCCAUCAUCUAGAAAUCACAAGCCACCGUGUAUACACGUUAGUGCAUUACAAAGUAAAAGGCAAUCGCUUCCGUUCGAUUCACAAUGGAAAAGAAAGCCCGGUCAAUUGCUAAGAUGUAUAGAUGUGAUAGUUAUUUACUACUACUUCUGUCUCAAAAUAAGUGUCUUAACUUUAUACUAACUCUAGUACAAAGUUAUACUAAGCUUGAGACAGUUAUUUCGGGAUGGAGGAAGUAUUUUGUGACGUGAUAGCCAUUUACUAUUUUGUUUGCAGCAAAGGCUGCAUGCAUUGGCUCACUAUGACUGUGAAGAUAUGGGAAUAUGAGACAAGCCUUGUAUUAUUUUGUCCAGAAGAAAUUUUGAACCACGCCUUCUAAACCCGGAUGGAGGGAGUAGGAAAGAGGCCUUUUGGACCUCAGAUUCCAUGGAUCCUUUUUUUCAAAAAAAAAUCAAAAAAUAUUGUUUGAAGUUUCAAAAAAAUGUUACAAAACAAACUGUGGAUUCUAUUUUUGCAGCUCACGUGUAAAAUGGUUUCAUUAUGAAAGUCUAUACACAUUUGAAGGUACAUGUGGAUUUUAUUUUUAAAUUUUCUGAAACUUGAAAACAUGAUUUUUGAAGUUUUCAUAAAAGGUCUCCAUGGAGCGCGAACUCCAGAACAAGCCAGGUUGCCGACUUUAACACCAUGAUAUAUUUAGAUAGGCUAAGAAUUAUGUUGCACCAAUAUUUUUGCCUCUGAUUUCCGCAUUACUGUCAGGUUUGGCUCAUUACUUGCAUUUGCUUUUGAUCAUGCCUAGCUUGGGGGCAAAUUUACCAAAAUGAUUACAAAGAAAAUGCUGCAUUGGAGCAGGAUUCGGACCCUAACGGGAAUUCCUUGGUAGUAGUAUUAGGGAAAACUACUGAUCUCUCUUAUCUACAUAAGAGUAACAUGGAUUGACCUUAUGUUUUUAUCAUUUUAUGCAAGUAUGGACCUACUUUUGCAAUUGUCAAGAUCAAGGAUCUAAAUGUCAUGAUGUGCAAAUUUGUACACUAUGGCUCACUUAGCACGUUGCACGGCUCAAAAUGUUAUGUUUCUCCUAUUUUGUUACUUGCUAGUCACAUGUCGAGAUUUGCUAAGAGACUUCUAAGGCCAGCAUCCCAUUGUCGGGGGGGGGGGGGGGGGGGGGAAUGCUUGGCACCUUUUCAUUGGUGCCAAGAGAGAUUGCUCAAGAUAUGUGGAGAUGCACACAACAUGUUCUUACAACAACUCUCUCUUGCACAUAUGUCAUCGAGAUAUGGUACACUCCGCACCAGGUAACCCUUGCUUUUUCCCCAUAGAUAACCUCCAAGAUGGUGGAAACGGAGCUCACACACGAAGAGAUCCACCAUGGGAGGAAAGAUGGUGUGAAAAUAUGAAAACUUGAAAACUAUCGCUUGGAGGUCAAGUAUAUAAAAAAAGAAUUCUAGACAAAAAUAUUCUAGAAGGAUGCAAAAAUAAAUAAAAACACGAGGGGAAACAUUAUAUUUCAUUUUCCUCUAGAAUAUCUUCGGUCUGUAGGAAGCUCAGAUAAAUCUGGGGUAACCAGUCCUUUGUUCCAAAUGGUACAAAAGAAGAGAAAAAUAUGUGUGUUCUAUCCUGCAAAAUUCUUACAUUUUUCCUGUGUUUCAAACAGGGUCUACAGUUAAAAAAAGAUCUGCUAUUCCUCGACAACUUAAGAAACUAUUAGUUCUCAUUCAACAAAUGUGCAGCUGACCAAAAUAUGCAAUUGCUCGACAUGCCUUUAUAACAAGAAACAACAUUCAAGAUUGUCGGUUUACAAAAACAACGAAUUUCCUCUUACGAAAUUGAUCCAACUAUACAAUUGUUACUCGUUAGUGCCAUAUUCAAAGAAUACAAUAGAUAUGUACUCCCUCUGUUCCUAAAUAUAAGUCUUUUUAGAUAUUCUACUAGAGACUAUAUGCGUAUACAUAUACGCAUAUAGGCAUAAUUUAGAGUGUAGAUUCAUUCACUCGUCAACUAUGGAUGGGUUAGAAGGUUGGCUCAUCCAUGUAUAUAGUAGGUGAGCUAUGUCUAGGUUUGGAUUUGCCUCUAGGGUGUCCGAGAUCUGACAUUAUGCCAUUUUGGGGGUUCAUUCUAAUGCUUGUGAGCAGCAUCCAAGGGAUGUCUUUUCCUCCUCUGGGAUGUCUUCCAUGGUUGAGGACAACUGUCAGUGAUGCAUUAUGUGGGAGCUCACCCAAUAAGCCUGUUGGUAGUGGCGGAGACAUGAAAAUUGUGUUAUAGAGGGCCACUAAACAGGGAGAGUGGAUUUUCAGCACCCGGGUGCCUAGACACCCUCUAUGAACAGUAACACCGAAACAAAUAGAAAAAAAUUCGAAAAAAUCUAAAACUUUGCAAGAUCAAAGAUGAUAAAAAAAAUUAGGUGCUUGCAAGUUUUCAUGCCAAAAAAACAUUUGAGGAGCUCUACACAGGAAAAACAUUUUCGUAGUUCAAAUUUUGAACACUUUUAGCACUAAAUCUGAACCUUGUUUGUACACCUUCCUCUACAUGAUAUUUUGGCACGAAAACUUGUAAGAACCUAUAAAGUUUCAUCAUCUUAUAUGUUGCAAAGUUUCAGAUUUUUUCAAAAGUUUUUUCUAUUUUUUUUAUUUCACUGUUCAUAGAGGGUGCCUAGGCACCCGGGUGUUAUUACACCUUUCUCCUAAAGAGGGCAACACUUCAUGGACAGGUAGAGCAAGGCAGGGUCGUAGGGGCUGGGGACAGGGGAAAGUUGGGGAAGAGGAACGGCGUAUGGCUGGGAGCUCCGGUGUGUCUUUGGGGUUAACUUAGUGAAAAUUCAAGACUCAUACGGAUCCAAUGAUAUCAACUUGGUAUAAUGUAAUCCAUUUAUAUUUUUAAGAAAAAAAGGACCCAAAACAAAUUUCGAAAUGCAAGCACACCUUACGCUGAACAUGCAAUAUUCGAUAAGGUAUGCUUACCAUACGCAAGUGAGUCUUAUAAGAGCAGUAUAACAAAUAAAGACAUGGCAACAACAUGCAUGUGUACCAAAUAUCUACACAAAUGGUUUUCUUUUUUCUAAGUACACAAACUACUUGUAGAAUCAUAUAAAAAUUUAUUGCGUAUAAUAUAUCAGUAGUAUAAAUGUAAAUACACAAAGAUCAUGCCAGACCGAUACAUCACUUUAGAUACAAAGCCUAAAAAAUGAUAGAUUUGUUUACAAGAGCAAGCAUAGCUUUAUCUAAACAAAAUAGUACAACAAUAAACCCAUGAAAAAUAUCCGUUUGUAUGUAGCACCACACGAAUGUAAAGUUGAGGCUGCACCAAGUGGUUGCGGCCCCUGUAGUGCGUUAUUUUGUCGCCCGGGCGUGUUUGAAUCUGGCAAUGGUUGUACCUGUGGAUAUGAGCCUUGGACAUCUGGUUGCGGCAGUGGCUGCGGGUUUGGUCCCGGUAGUGGCUGUGGCAGAGGCUGCGCGAUUGGGCCCGGCAGUGGUUGUGGCAGAGGUUGUGGUAAUGGCGGUGGCUGUAUGUUUGGAUCCGGCAGAGGCUGUGGUAAUGGCUGUGGCUGUGGGUUUGGGUCCGGAAGAGGCUGAGGUAAUGGUUGUGGCUGCGGGUUUGGGCCCGGCAGUGGUUGCGGUAAUGGUUGCGGGUUUGGGUCUGGUUUAGGCAAAGGUUGUGGAUUAGGGUCCGGCUGCGGAUUCGGAUUUGGCAGCGGUACUGGCGAUGGUCCCAACAUCUGCUGCAAUUUCCGCUGUCGCGCCUGCACGCAUCCUUCACCUUCCGCUGCCACGGCAACGACAACGAGGAGGAAGACGAUGCAUAUGAAACUGGAGGAAGAGUGGCAGCACGUCGCCAUGGCUCGCACCUAUCGUGGUGGUAUGCAGUGGGAGAUGGAUAUGGCCAGCUGAUUGCUUCCACGGCCACUUCGCAGCUUGGUGUUUUAUAGCCAUGGCUAGCCAAUCAACGGUAGUUGUGUGUCCAUUAGCUAUUAAUCAGGAGUAGCUAAUACUACUCCAUUAGGGUAAAGUGCAACGUAUGAGCAAUGGCUAUGUGUAUGAAAUAUUUCUGAUUGGUACCUUGUGACUGUGGCUGCAACUUUUAAGCCUGUACUCCAUAUAUCUACAUGUGCUAUGCGUAUAAAGAAAAGUUAAGUUACAUGGAUGGAUUGGAGGUGCUCAGCCCAUAGUUAUCCAAUGUUUUAACUUCUUCGCAACAAAGUUAUCCUACCUAACUACUCUGCAACUUUACUCACCAGAGGCAUAAGUAUGUAGAUGUCGACAUGUCGUCCUAAAGAUCUACAAUGUCUUCAGGGUAUUAAUUUCGACCUGUCAUCUAUAAGUGGUUGUUCAAAAGUAAUAUUCAAAAUGACAGCAUAGCAUAUCAUAUGAUUAAACCUUGAGCAGCAAGAGAUGACUUGAUUGGAUCAAGAGCCUCUUUUCGAUUUUCUCUGAUAUUGCUUGUCGGCCUAUAUAAAGCAACGGUUCUACGGAUCUUUAAUUCACAACAAACAUAAUAAUCAAAAGAGCUAACUCAGGAUAUCCAUCUGUUUGUGUUUGAUGUCUAUGCAAGCGCGUUGUUAAAUAAAAGGUCAUGUUGAAAAUUAAUUGAACGUUCGAAUACUGUCCUCCGGUUGGCACACUGAAAAUUUGGGUUUACUUAAUAUUCGUCUCAAUCGAGCCACGUGGUUGUGUGUGAGUAGAUGAAGUUGCAGCCUAUGUAAAAAUACCCCUCCCCCCCCCNNNNNNNNNNNNNNNNNNNNNNNNNNNNNNNNNNNNNNNNNNNNNNNNNNNNNNNNNNNNNNNNNNNNNNNNNNNNNNNNNNNNNNNNNNNNNNNNNNNNNNNNNNNNNNNNNNNNNNNNNNNNNNNNNNNNNNNNNNNNNNNNNNNNNNNNNNNNNNNNNNNNNNNNNNNNNNNNNNNNNNNNNNNNNNNNNNNNNNNNNNNNNNNNNNNNNNNNNNNNNNNNNNNNNNNNNNNNNNNNNNNNNNNNNCCCCCCCCCCCCCCCCCCUAGUCAUUACUUCUCUUCCUCUACAUUCUCACAUCUAUCUCUCACAAAAGUUCUCUUUUAGAUGGUAGAGUCAAAAUUACAAAAUUUUAAACUCUUGCCAUGCCAUUCAACUUGCUUGUUUUGACUGCAUAGUACCAACAAAAAUUCGGCACAAAGUAAAGUACGCCGUAGGGGGUCAACCUGAGAUUGUAACAUGGCCGAUGUUGCAUAGGAUGCGCGUGUGACAUGUGUGUGGGAGCUCAGUCUGGGAUUGCGACAUGGGCCAUUUUGCAAAGGAUGGGGCGGCAGCCGUAGAGGCAGUCAUAACAUGGACUACGUUGUAAUGGAAAUGGUUUGUCAUAUGAAGCGUAGAAAGUGCUUCGAGGAGCACAACAUGGCUCAUUGUGAAUGCACUGGGACACACAACUGGCGCAGGAAAGAACACACAAAUGCAACACGAACCAUGUUAUAAACGGACUCAGGCCCAUGGCUGACAUAGAGAAAGAUUGAUGUCGGAGUGGUUGAUGUGAUCUGAUUAUUAGUCAAUCGCCCCCUAGGUGCUUCAACCACAACCACACCAGGUUUCAAACUUCGAUGAUAAAUGGAAUGCAUCUCGCCUCGCAUAGUCGCUGCGGAGACAGACUGUGGCCUCAUCCUCCUGCAUCGCCAUCGGUGACCAUCCAUCUGAUGUCAUGCUUUGCCACAAACAACACUACACCGUCUACGACACCAAUGUCCCCUCGCUCAAGCACCUCCCACACCCCGGGAACGACCACCAAGUAUAAAAUGUCCGAAUAAGGAAACUUAAGAGCCAGACUAGCGCUAGGCAAGAAAGGUCCACAAUCAAAAUUAUCUGAAAGGCUAUAUUAGGUCCUAAUAACAACAAUUGUACUGGCGGUAGUGGAAAACUGUAGAAACCUACUCGGAUCUUUCCAUCAUUUGAUGUGGGAGAGGACCUAGAACCCUCUCCAAGUUAUCAUGCAUGGGUGAGGGGUCUAGAAUACUCUCACCCUACCGCAGUCGAUCGCACUGUGCAAAUUGCACACACCAUGAAACUUACUUCAGGUUGCUCGUCCAUGAGCUAUGAUUCGAACAUCAUUUGGUUAACUCAGCUAGUACAACAAGCAAGCCAAUAUGAAAAUCCUAGUAAACAUCAAACUGUCGAAAAAUCAAGUCCAAGCCACCUAGUAAACAUCAAACGUACGUACCUACAGCUCGUUGUCCCAUAUCAUGCAGAAGACAUGAGUCACAUAUACCAACAUGCACCCAGCAGCAAUCAACGGGCAAUGUAUACCGAAAAAAAAAUUCACCCCUUCAUUUCUAUAAAGUAACUAGAUAUGCCAGUGAAGCACGAGCCUCGCUCAUCAUAUCUCACACCCGGAUUAAUCAUCUCAGCCCUGCUAGCACCAUAUAUCAUGCACAAGCUGCACCUUAUCGUCCCGGCAAUCAUAUGAAUCCCUGGCUAGCUAGCUUGUUCGGAGAUAUUUGGAGAUCCUACUUGCACUGUAGUAAUAGAAUCCGUGGUCAUCUCGGUAUUUGCUUUUGUACCUGGCGCAUCAAAUUUAGCACACGCAUGUCUUCAGUACUAGUUUGGAAGAAGCAAAAAGCUAGAUGAUCCAUACACAAUUGCUCACUCCGUCCCAUGAUAUAAGAGCGUUUUUAUAUAAUAUAAAAAACGCUUUUAUAUUUAAGGGACGGAGGGAGUAGUACUUAGCACAGCCCUAAUACAUAACCACUACUUUGGGCUUCAUUGUGAAACAUAGUGCUGACGAAAAAGGUCAAACUUGUCAGAAGAUGUAGAGCUCUAUAAGGUAAAUGCUACCUCCAUCCCGAAUUACUUGUUACAAAGGCGAAUAAAAUGGACUAAAACUAAAACACGCCUAGAUACAUCCAUUUCUGCAACAAGUAAUUUCAGACAAAUGGAGUAGUUGAUAGUGGUAGAAUCCAGCAACACCUCAUGUACAGGAAAAAGUUAAUUGUUCUGAUGAGAAUUCAAAGCAACAGUAGAAUUGACAGCAUUUUACUUGAGUAUCGGCCAUAUAAUAUUACCAAGUCGGAGGGGGGUGAUUGACCAACUAAGUGGGCGCGUAAGAAGGAAAAAAUGACUUGUUAUCGUUGUGGAGAGAACGGUCAUUUUGUGUCCGAAUGCUCGGCUGAUCUAUGUGAGUUCUGUCUCAAGCCAGUUCAUGGAUCUUCUUCGUGUCCUCUUAUGUCGGGUCCGAUGCCUGUUAUGGCCAUCUAUGGGAUGCGUUCCGAGGAGCUUAUGUUUUUCGAGUCUCCAGCGGUGACUACAAAGGUGCAUGUCCCAGAUGUGGCUCUUACUGGUAAGAUCACUGUUGCUAGUGGGAAGAUGACGGUUGACCAGGUGGUGCAACAACUUCAAGAGCUUGUGUCAUCUACUUUUCGCUGGGAGCCUAUUACGAUUUCGGAGAGUGUUUUCAAGGUGGUGUUUCCCUCCAAAGAUGAUCUAGCAUGGUUACUCAAGUUUGGUAUGUGUAGAGUGCCUAGUACGUCCUGUGUCCUGGAGUUUGAUGUGUGGAAGGGAGAUGAGCCUCAGGGCCGGGGGUUCCUCUUGAUCAGAUUUGGGUUC